rnacentral:lncRNA from 1 species
CCUCUCCCUCCUUCUCUAUCAUCUCGCCCUCUCUCCCUCUCUUUCACUCGAUCUCUCUCCCUCUCUCUCACUCGGUCUCUCUCCUCAUCUUCUUUCCAUCCAUCCCGACUGCACCCAGCCAAUAGGCAGCAGCACACUGAAGAUUGACCCAGGUAUCUAUCUUUUCUUAAUUCUUUAUUUUUCUUCUUUCUAAGGUCAGAAUCAGGCUUUAAUGCCUUAACUUGAAGAUUUUGGUAUUGUAAUUAGAUUCAAUCUGGAAAAUUAAAUUAAAGAUUGGGGGUUUUAGUGUUAAAUCGAAUUUUGGGGUUAGGAAUUUUAGGGUUUUAGUGUUAAAUCGAAUAUUAAGAUGUUGAUGGUGUUGUGCGUUGUGAGUGUGAAUGAAAAACCAAGUAAACUUAGGUAAAUUUGACAUCAUGAAUCUCUGGGUGUGAUAAGCGUUUGGAAGAAUUUCUAUAUCGGAUAUCGUCUCUGUGUACUACAUUGAAUAUUAUUGAAAGAGUUAGAAUGUUUAAUUGUUGUUGCUCCGUUAGUUUUCCGGGAAAAUGUAGGAAAAGUAAACCUUUUGUCGAAGUUAUUUCUUUUAUUGAAUGUAUGAACUAUAUGAGCCCAUUGGGGUAGGAUAGAUUUCUUAUAUUUUUCUCAUUAAGUAAAGUUGUCAUUGGAGAUGGAAUGCAACUUUUAAGAAGCUAAUAACCAGCUGAAUUCUUGAGAAAACAAAAAUGUUUUAUGAAUGUGCCGGGAGAAGAGUGAAGAUAAUGUGCUAAUAAUGCUUUAACUAUGCAGAUAGAGAAAACCCAGCAAACAUAGAUAUUGAAACUCGGUUGUACGUGUUUCACAUGAUUGUGUUGUUUAUGUUAUUUGGAAAAUAAUCUAUCUUUUUUCAAUGGCAUUGUUGCUGCAAUCUUUGGAUCUAUGGGGUUCCUUGGGCAUUAUCUUGUGCAACAACUUGGUGAGUUAACUGUCAAUAAAUGCUUUUAAUUGGAAUUCCAUUGAAUUGCAUGUAUGCAUUGUUUCAUACUGUGAUUGUUAUGAUUGAGAACAUUUCUAGUAGGUGAUUGUUGGACUGAACUUGAUAUGGGGAAAUGUGAUUUUGUAUUUUAUCCUUGAAAAAAUGACAGAGGUAUAAUGGGUUGUUUGGCAUUUACCUUGAGGAUAAUUUAUGGUUUUCAAAAAUCAGAUUCAAGAAGAAUACCAAACAUCCCUUAAGUGUUUGUAGUAUUUGUCAAGCAUGCUGGUGCUGAUUCUUUACUUCUCUUCCAGCCAAAACGAGAAGUCAGGUGUUAGUUCCUUUCGGUGGUUCUGAGGACUCCCAUCGUCACCUCAAGUUAAUGGGGGAUUUAGGACAGGUAGGGUAAUCUGUGUUGUUUCUUAGUUAAUGUUCCUUUGACUGGGGAACUAAUUUUUCUCCAUUCUUCAAUUAUUAUGUUUCUGAUGUUCUCACAUUUCGCUUACUCAGAUUGUACCAAUGAAAUACAAUCCACGAGAUGAAGAUUCAAUUAAGGCAGUCAUUGCAAAAGCAAACGUGGUUAUCAAUCUCAUUGGUAUGCAUUCUUGAGUCGUGACUUUAUAUAUUAAAGAUACUUUAAUCUUUGGAUUCAAUGAAGGAACACUUUGUAGCUUGGCAGGGAGGGAUAAUGAGACAAGAAACUUUAGCUUUGAGGAAGUGAAUCAUUCCAUGGUGCAACAACUGGCAACGGUAGGUAUCCUGCAUUGACAUUCAUGACAUUAUUUUCGUUCCUGUGCUGCUUCUGAUCUUACAGCCAUCUACUUCUCUUAAAAGUUGGUUCCCAAAGCAUCAUCCUUAACAAAAAUAGUAAAAAAGUGUUUAUCAACAUUAUUUUGCCACAGUUACGAUAGUUUGUUGUGUAUCAUACACUUCUACACAUGUUGCAGUGUGCGAUGCAGCUAUUUAGCCUGCUUGCAAUUGGACUUUUCUUUCAAGAUAGAUAGAAGUGUCUUUCGGGAUCUGAAAUUCUGUUCAAUAUCCAAUUGGUGGAGAUAUAAAAGUUGGAUGUCAUUUAUUCAGGUUUUGUUGUUAGACACAUAUCGGUCUUCUUUUUAAUCUCUAUAUUUCUGCAGAUUUCCAAAGAACAUGGAGUUAUCAUGAGAUUUAUUCAAGUUUCUUGCUUGGGGGCAUCUUCCUCGUCUCCCUCUAGAUUUCUAAGGACUAAAGCUGCUGCAGAGGAAGCUGUUUUAAGUGAAUUGCUUGAGGUAGAGUUAUUUCCUUUCCUUCUUGUAUGUUGGCAUGCUUAUUUAAGGAGCAGUGUCUAACAUUCACUUUCAUCAAUAAGCCACCAUUUUGAGACCUGCUGUGAUGGUUGGUACUGCGGAUCGGAUUUUGAAUCGCUGGGCCUUUUUUGUGAAAAAAUAUAGCUUUCUUCUGCUUGUUGGGGAUGGAUCUACUAAGUAUGUCUUCAAUCUAACAAUUGAAUGCCUAUUUAUUUUAAUUUUUCAAAUUUUGUAAUUUAACAACGUUGCUCAUGGACAUAUCUUUUUCUGAACCUUCAUUAAAAGUUAUUUACUUCCUUAAGUUUCUCACAGAAAGCUGUAACCUAUCUUCUAACUUUUUAUUUUCCUUUUUCUGAUUACUUACAGAUGUCCUACAUGACUAUAGGCAGGAAAAAUAUGCCAGCCUCCUUUGCUUUGUUCCUACAAUUUUUUUGGAACAAGUAUUCUUUUCACAAGUAUUUUUGUUGCCCAACUAGAGCAGCUAUGAUAGUCACUUUGAUUUGUUUUACUGAUAUGAAUUUACAGCACAUGAGAAAUCUUCGAUAAGUUUGCAUAUGGAGGAAUUGGAAGAUCCAGAAAAAUUUGCAGAAGAGGGGGGCAAGGUCAUCACGGGCCAGGAAUAUGUUUCUCGAUUGCAUGAGCUUAAAGCUGAAUUAACUCAUGCAUGGCAUGCCGAUGAUCGUGUUACACCCUGAAAUUAUCAAUAAAAGUACAUUUUAAUAGAUAAUUCAGUUUAACCAAUUAAUCUUACCUGGAGAGAAUUUGUAAUAGAAGAAAACAUUAAGCAUCAAACCUAGAAGACUACUUGUUGUAGAUUUUUCUUUUUUGUUCGGACAUCUUGUAUGUACAUUUUCAUAUAUUUUAUAAUUAAAUAUUUUUUCUUGGUUUAUUAAUUAUUGUUUAGAAUUUAAUUAUAAUAUUUAUUAAAAAGUAAAUAAAAAAAAUUUUGCAAAAAAAAAAGGGUUUGCGCGACGAAGAAGUAACAUACAUCGCGCAAAGUGGCUUUGUGCAACGCAUGUCCUAUGUCGUGCAAAACUACUUUGUGUGACGUAUGUUAUUUCUUCGUCGCGUAAAACUACUUUGCGCGACGCAGCCCUACGUCGCGCAAAGUAGUUUUGCACGAUGUAAGACCUACGUCGCGCAAAGUAGUUUUGCACGAUGUAAGACCUACGUCGCGCAAAGUAGGUUUGCGCGACGUAGGUUACUUCUUCGUCGCGCAAACCCUUCUGUCACUGCCUUGCUGUGACGGUUGGCGCGCGACGAAGGUUCAUUGCGCUAAUGUUUGUGCGAUGGUUUUUGACUUUGCGCGACGAAGGACCUGCAUCGCGCAAAGUUUUUUUUACUAGUGGGGGGGGGGUGUUGGAGUGGUGUUGUGAGACUGGAAGGGUGGAUUUUUGGCUGCAGGGGAGCAACAGUUUCCAGGGAUCACUUCGGUGCCGCUCCUGUAGAUGUUUGCCGUGCGGUAUGGUUUGUAGGUGGCACAAGUGCAAGGCUUUCAGCAGGUCGUGGUCGAAAGUGAUUCGUUGAAGGUUAUUGCUGUUCUUAAUGGGACCUAUGCAGAUUCAUCGACUUUAGGUAUGAUUGCAGAGGAUGUAUAGUUAGCUUCCACCUUCUUUAGGGUGAAAUUUAUUCAUGCCUCUCGUUUAUAUAAUGGGGUUGCCCACCAGCUUGUUGCUUUGUCUAGUAGCAAUAAUCUAGUUUGGAUUGUGGAACCUCCUACUCUUAUUCAAGAGCUCCUCCUCUAAGACAUAUGCAACUCUGAAUGAGUUCAGUUAUUCAAUACAACGCUUCCUUUCCCCAAAAAAAAAAUUCUUGAGAUGUUGUUGCAAUAUUCUAUGACAUUAAGUGUACAUGGGUAUUAAUUGGUCACAUGAAGGUGAUGAAGGUAUAAGAUAUGUUUCUUUGAAUCUCAACUCGUUAAUUUCACGUUCGAUUGAAUGCAACAUAGUAGUGUGGAUUUUCCACAAAAUCUUGUGCCAUAAACAGUAAUUCAAUAUAGUCAAGAUUGUUAAACAUGAUCUUGAUGUCUUAGAGAUGAGUCAAGGUCGACCGCCGUUGGACUUGGAGGCCGGGAAUUACAAGAAAAGAAAGAUAAUACAUGUUAUUGAUGACGUAUUACCUAUUUUCACUAUUGUUGUUGACGUAUUACGGGGAUACUCUGAUACUCAAUUCAAUCAAUUUCGACGAAAAAAUGAUUUAACUGCUCAAAUUUGAACCAAUGGUAAAAAUAAUAAUAUAAACUAAUCCAAAGAAACUCCAACCAUAAAACUCAUCGCAAACUUUGUAAGUACUCAUUCAUUUGUUGAUAAUACACAAAAUCAACAUUUUUUUCACUCUCACCCCCAAAGUUUCUUCUAUCCUGUCAUGGUUCAAAUGUAAACCUUUAUAUGUGGAACUAAAAUUUAAUCAACUGAAUAUUUGGACUACAUGCUAAUAUGAUGGAUUAGUAUAAUCACACGAAUAUAAACUUAUAAGAACACACAACACUUACUUGCAGAGUUUUCCAUAAUGAUCAGAAAGCAAGCAACGAUAAUGCUGAUAAAACUAGGGUUUGUAGUGGUGAGUUUACUGCAGAAACUUAUGGGGAAUAAAGGAUGUGUUCUUCUCUUCUAUGGGACUCGCAUACGUUCAACAAACGAUGGGGGAUGUAUAUAUUGAACUGGUGUCCGAGUCGAGACACCAUGCAGCAGUUUUAAUCACAUAAAGUCAUAAUUGCUCCAUCCAUUGUGGUAGCAGUUAUGUCACGAUGAGGAGAGUUUGGAACCAACUCAUCCUCUUGAUUUUGUGAGUUAGUGAUUUCCCUUUAGGUGUUUUAUCAUGACUAAAACACAUAUUGUAAGUCCAUUAAUAAUAUAAGUCCAUUAAGUUUUCUCAAUAUAUAAUUAACAUGGUUUUGUUACAACUCACAUUAUCGGAAAAACCUUACAUUCUCCCACAUGAGUGUAAUUAAAACCAUAUGCAAAUUAUGUUCAGAAAACAUGGUGAUCACUGACUUAUACAUACAAAUUUCAUAAUGACUUUUACAUCCAAUGUUACUAGCUAUCCACCCACAUAUGAUUGGUAUCCCUUAAUAUAUUUUUGUAUCCUUUAGUAGUUCUUCAUUACCAAAUAUUUCAUGAGUAUCAUGAAACAACAAAAUAUGCAUACUGUAAGAGAUGUUUGCAGCUAUACCAAACACAAUUACUUCAUAAUUAUGAAUUCACCAUUAUGAGUAAAAUACCAUACGUUACUCCCACAUUUAAACAUAAUCAAGACAUGCUUGUAAACCCAUGCUCGUGACAUGUCUUCAAAAAGCUGUAACAUGUAGAGCCUUUGUUAAAGGGUCUGCAAUCAUGCUGUAAGUGCCAAGAUGCUCUAUCUCGAUCACUUUCUCCCUUACUUUAUCUUGUACCUUCAAAUAUUUGAUAUCCAAUAACCUUGAAGCCUCUGAUCUCCUGUUAUUCUUGGCAAAAAAAGACUGCUGCUGCAUUGUCACAGUAUAUCUUUAAAGGUUUUUCAAUGCUUUUCACAACUUGUAGUUCAUGAAUUAAGUUUCUCAACUAGUUACUUUGUUUCAUUGCUUCAAAACAGCCAUUGUAUUAUGAUUCCAUUGUUGAGACAACUCGUGUAGUUUGCUUCUUACUUCACUACAAAAAAAACGUAGUCAUUACCAAUGAAGAUUUUGCGAGGGCCUAAAAAAACCAUCGUAAAAAGCACAUUUUGUGACCAUAAAAUAUGGGUCGUUGGUAACAUGGCAUGAAACAAAUUUUUAUUACCAAUGCAAAUAAUGUCCGAAGAAAAAGUCUCAAGUUUCAUCGGAAAUUCACUUUUUUUGAGGGAAAAAAGGUACUCUCGAUAAUGCUUUUAUAUUUUCGAGGGUGAUUAAUUGUUGUCGAAAGUAAUCAUAUUUUUUCCGACAAAAUUUUUUCUUUGUCAGAAUAAAUUUUUAAGGCAUAUGGUUUUGUUGGAAUCAAUUAUUUACCAAUGGUCACAUGUGUCGUUGGAAUAUUCUUGAAAUAAGUUUGAUGCUUAAUUUAAAUUCUACAAUAAAUAAACAUAUAACUUAGAAUACAUAUGGAGAAAAUUGGACCAUAAAAUUAAAAAUAAAACCGUUGAGCAAAAAAGUGUAUAACUUAAUAUAGUAUUCUAUGAUAAAGAAAUAAUUUGCAUGCCUUUGUUAACUCAUAACAUUUAUCAUGGGCAUUGAACAAAGUAUCACUACAAAAAAAAAAGGGUCAUUUACGACCAACUGUUUACAAGGACCUACGAAUACCCUUGAAAAAAUCAUUAUUUCCGACCAAAAAUUAUGCUCCGUCGAAAAUAGUUCGACAAGAGGCAUAUUAUUUUCUACACUCAAAAUGCCCUUGGAAAAGGGUUCCCUCGCCAUCGGAAAUAGCUGUUUUUUUUGGAGGGAAUUUUUGGCGCCACAUUUAUGUACGAUGAAACUUGUAUUAGUCGGUAAUAGUUGUAUUUUUUUCAAAGGUGUGUUUAAGUUGUCGGAAGUAAUUGUUUAUUUUUGAGGGAAACAAGAGGUCGCCGGUAGUAAUUUCUUUAUUUUCGAGGGUUAUUAGUUGUUGUUAGAAUGGAUUGUGUAUUUGCGAGAGGAACUACAUGCCGUCAAAAAUGAUUAUCUAUUUAAACUUUAUUUAUUUUUUAUUUUAUUAUAAGAAGUGGGAUAAAUUUAAAUCAACUCGUAUACAACAAAAAGAUUGUUAGGCUGACAAUUUUAGAUUAAUCUAGCAAAGUUUUUUACUCUCAUACUCAUAAAUAUUUUAUUCUUAAUAUCACAUACGUGAGAUUAAAAACUUCCAAAGCAAUUUUAAGAUACCAAAGCACAUGAAAAAAUUCAUAAUAAUUCAUUUACAAGUGUGAAAAAUGUGAAAAAAAUAAUGCAAAACGCUCAUAAUAAUUAAUGUAGAAGUGUGAAAAAUGUAAAAAGAAUAUACAAUCACUCGUAAUAACAAGCUUUACAACUUUCGUGAAGGGGUCAAAUCUGAAAUUUGACACCAGAACCAUAAACCCUAGAUUUAUAUUUAACCGUCGAUUGUCAUUUAUGCUCUAUUCUUCUCACCGGAUUUUAUUUUUUGAAAACAUGAUCUUUUAACAGAUGCAAACAAAUGAACGAUUCAGAUUAUUGAUAUCACGUUCCAAUGUUUACGGUUAACUGAAAUAUGAGUCGAUGUUAUAUAUUUUCUAGAGGGUUUAAAAACUCAAAGCAAUAAUUUCACAAACCAUAAAAAUCUGAACGUGAUAUCAAUGAGCUGAACCGUUCAUGUUUCUGAAUUCACUAGAAGAUUAAGUUUUCUAAAAACAAAAUUUGAAAAACAAAAUUUUGUGAGAAGAAUGGAGCGUAAACGUAAACGACAAUCAACGGCUAAAAUUUAAUCUACGGUUUAUGGGAUGAUAGUGGUGAAUUUCGGAGUUGAUCUUUUCACAAAAGUUGUAGAGAUUGUCAUCACGAGCAUUUGUAUAUUUUUCUUAUAUUUUUCAUACUUCGACAUUAAUUAAAAAACUUUACUACAAUAAUAACCAUAGGAUUUAAUCUCACUUAUGUGAGAUUAAAUCCUUACCGUGUGUUUAGGAGAGUUGCCAAAAUUUUGGCAUUUUUAGCUCUUUAUUUUCAAAAUUUUGGCAUGGCGCCCAAAAACUUGAGUCUCUAUUUCCAAGGAGAGUGCCGAUUAUCUCUUUCUCGCAGCUUUUCUGUAUUUCCUCUUCAGAAGCAAAAGCCUAGCCUCCAUCCUCCAUCCUCUAGUAGCCGUACGUGAUGAUGAUAGAAACCAUGGAAUCCUCACACAUGUUGUUUUUUUCAGUUUAUAUCUUAUGAGGUCUGACAUAUAUAUUUUCAGGUCUCACCUGAAUUUGAGAUUUGGAAGCAGAAAACGAGAAGGCUAAGAGGAUGGUGAAGGACGUGGCUACCUACUUCUCUAUGACUUUGGGGGCUUUUGUGUUCUGGCAAUCUUUGGAUGAAGUCCACGUCCGGAUCGCUCUGCAUCAGGACGAAAAGGUAAAAAUCUCUUCUUUCUCAUGCUUGCAGAUGCAAUUUCUCUUUUAGAUUGGACUUAUAAUUUGGGUGAUUAACAAUAUUUUUUUUAAGAAUUUGAUUGAAUUUCAUAAACACAAGCGCAGAAUUGAGAAGGUUCUCAUCGAAUGGUUCAAUUAUGGCGGAAAAUCCGAUUUUUAGGAAAUUGGCAUGAAAUUUGGUGGUUAGGUUACAGGGAAAUGGGAAGUAGGUGAUGCUACAGAAUUGGGGAGGAAAUCAGGGGUGGGAGAAAUACCCUAUCUCUCAGACUUCUCCUGUCUCUCAUUCACUUUCUUUUUCUCUCUGUCUUUCAGACUUCUCCCCUAUCUCCAUCACCGUGACCCAACAUCAUGACAGCCACCGCCGUCUCAUCUCUCAAUCUUGGAAUAUAAGUCUUUACUCUCAUUGAAAGCAACCACCACCGUCCGAUUACGAACCCCACCGCCACCCUCCUUGCUCCACUGUCACACUGGCUUCCUUCCCUCAUUUUCCCAAACCCAUUUCGCCUCCCUCUCCUCAACUGCCGUUGGCAUGUCCCUAACUCACUCUCCACCACAACCACUACCAGGAGGUACAUAAUAUAAGAAACUCAAACCCCAAGCUACCCUUCUUCUUUUUUUGUUGGUAAUUUUGCGAUUUAAUCCAUUUUUUCUUGUGGGUACUCACGGGUACGUAGUGUUAUGGGUGCUCUAUUCCUUAACCUUGACAGAUGAAGAUUUGGACACGUUGGGGUUCGAGAAGGUCACCGAGGAGUUCAUCGGAGAGUGCAAGUUGGAAGCUUUGCUUCUCUGCCAUAAAAAGACAGGUGCCUAAGUCGCUUCCAUGUCCAACGACGACGAAAAUAAGGUUUUUGGCAUCGUUUUCUGAACCCCACUGUGAGUACUCUUCCAAAAUCUCAAAAUUUUCAUUUUUUUGUUUGUUUGUUUAUUUAUUAAUAAAAUGGAGCUACCCAUUUAUGUAGUUGUUGAUUUUCUGUGCUCUGCUAGCAGUUAGUCUGAUAUUUGUAUCAUAAUUAAACUUGUGGUUGUGUGGUUUCGGUGUAGUGAGAUAUGAGGAAUGAUGAAGGAGCUACUUAAGUAGUGAGAUACAUGAAGGAGCUAUAUGAAGGAGUGAUGAAAAAGCUAUAUGAAGGAGUGAUGAAGGAGCUACAUACACUGUAUGUACAAAAGGGAAGAUGCUUUUACCUGCACGUCUUCAAAAGAAUUCAAGUUUGCAUUUUCGAAGUAUGGGGACUAGUGUUGAUAUGUUCAAACACAUAUCUUAGGUUUGCAAUGAAUGUAUUGGCUUUACCACAUUGAUCAUAUAUACGUUUUUAUUAAUGAUAAUACAAAAUAUUCUUUAAAUAAUGCUCAGUGGAAUUUUUACGAAAAAGCAUAUAUUUCUUGCCUCAAUUUCCAUUGGAAAUGUCUAUUAUUUUAUUUUUUUCCGAUGAAAAUAAUAUUUGUGACACAUUAGGGUAGUAGUUAAUGGUUGAAAAUUGUAAUUGCGACGAUUGUGUAGUCUCACAAAUAAAAAUUAUUUUGUUGGAAAAAAAUUUUCUAACACAAUUAUUUGGUUGAAACAACAUCAUCGCAAAAAAAAAAGUCUUUUGGAAAGUAAUUUCGACAACGAUAUAAUUAUUUACGACCACAUUUCCAUUUCAAAAAUAAAAUAAGUUUGUCACUUUGAAAAUUCAUUUCUGACGAAAAACUAACUACUAACAACAAGUCUUGUGCGUCGAUAAUAAAGUAUUUUCGACAGCUAGUUGGAAAAAAGGUAUUUCUAAUGGGACAAUUUGCGACGCCCAACGAAGGUUUUUCCUCGUUGGAAAUAAGUAUUUGUGACGGCAAAAUGCCUUUUUCGACGACAUUUGACCCUCGUUAAUGACACUUCAUUUUGUAUCACUUCCACAACUAAAUUUUCAGAGCAAAAAAAAAAAAAAACCACAAUCACAAUGAGAGCUUAUCCCACAAUUUCAUCAUCUUAGAUGAGGAUGGUAGAAUGGAUUCUCUAAGUUCCAAAAAAAGGGAAUCUUUAAGUCUCCACACCAAGGAGAGCAUUGAUGAGGAGAUGAGUGACCUAGGAAGAUUUAGAUGCUAGUAAAACCUUCAUAGGGUGGCCGACCUCUAAGAGAGAAAAGGGAGCUUGUGUUCUCAUCUUUUCUCCAAAAGAAACCCCAAUGAUGAAAUGGCUAUAAAGUUGCCUUUAUACCACCUCACAAUGAAGUGGCAAACUUGCAAUUAAGCCAAGUUCACUACCCCUCUCUAUAUGGCCGGCCAUUAAGGGUUCAUUAGGUUUUCAAGCCCUUUGCAUUUUCAAGUUGUCAUACAACUUGAGUUAAUAGGCUUGACAUUCAAAUCCCAUUGGGCCUUGCGGCCCAAAACUAACCCGAGGUCUAUAAUGAACAUAUUCAUUUGAUUAAUUAACAUAUUAAUUAAUCCUAGCCAUAAAUAAUUAAACCAUUUAAUAAUCCUUACUCAUCUCCGUUGUUUCGUCAAUCUCUACCUUACUCAAUGUACGAUCCAUUACGUUCUUUUUAGCGAGGCAGUGGGCGAUUGUUACUUUUAACAAUCGAUUGUGAAUUGAAACAUACUUUCAAUUCUCCCUUUAGCGAUUACUCACCUUUGGGCUUCCACAAACCAUAAGUGACACCUAGCAGUAUGUCAUGGCUACCUAAGCUAAUCAGAAGAGGUGGAGAACCUAUUUAGUUUAGGAUUACAAUGCAAUACGACAUUUAAUUUCUCUAUUACAAUACUCUUGACCACUUUGUUUGGUUUGAUAGUUUAUUCAUGUCUACUAGCCGACAUUCACCUCUCCCAGACCCUGCUUAAAGCGGGAGCCUUGUGCACUGGGUACGACCUUUAUAUGAUUACCUUGAAUGUGAUUUGGAAUGACUUCCUAAAUCUCAUUCAUACUCUGGCCAGAGAUUCUUAAUCAUAUCAUAAAGUAUUCUCCCUCAAACGGUUUGAAUGUUAGAGAUCCUUUGUUGUGCAUUCACUUGCCUCCAUGACUAAGUGGCUUAACCCCAACUAUGCCAUGGACACCUCCUGAUGGAGUGACUUUGACAUAGUUAAAGAUUAAGGACCUAACCACAAGACAACUAUGAUGCCUCAGGUAAAAGGACUACUUUGCAUAUACCUCAACCAUGAGUUCUCAUGUGACAUGAGUAUGAGAACUCCUUAUUGAUCAUGUUUAGUUGACUCAUUCUCUAUUGAGCACCUACAUGCUUGUCUUGGUGUCAGUCACACCAAUGACUCGAGACUAGUCACUCUUUCUUAGAGAAGACAUAACACGUACUGAUCUUAACGGACUGUCAAUGCCCAAUUGACAAUCCUAUGAUCAGGAAUGUUUAGAUCACAUUCUCCUAAUAACAUAUUCCUUGGACUUAUCAUUUAAGCAUAUAACAUUUAUAUGAGACGGCUUCAAAUAAUAAUUUUUGCUUUUUAUCUUAAACUAGAUUAGUUUAACAUGUGAAAUGUCCGUAAAGUAUCAUCAUAUGAUUGGUUUUAGGGCACAUUUCCAACAUUUUCGACGCCCAGCAAGGGCUUUUUCCCGUCAGAAAUAAGUAUUUGCGAAGGCAAAAUGCCUUUUCCAAAGAUAUUUUACCUUUGCUAAUGACACUUUGUUUUGUAGUGCUUCUCUAGGAGAUUUCACCUCCACACAUGAUAAAUACAUAACCACUGGUUGACAUUCUGUCAUCCACACAACCUCCCAAAUUAGCAUCAGUUUAAUACACCACUUCCAAAUUCUCUACAUGACGAAACCCUAGCACAUUUUCUCGAGUUUUCUUCAAAUAUCUCAGGAUUUUCUUACUUGCAUUCCAAUGUGCCACACCAAGAUUCGAUUGAAUCCUUCAAAGUACACUCAAUGCAAAAGCCAAAUCUAGCCUAAUGCAUACCUAUGCAUACUUUACACUGCCUACAAGUGAGGCAUAAGGUUUGUUCUUCAUGUCUUCCACUUCAAAGUCUGUCACUAGACACUGAGCCAAAGAAAGUUUAUCACCUUUAGCUAUAGGGACAUCUCCACUACUACAAUUAGACACGUUGAACCGCAUAAGUACUUUGUUAAUGUAGUUCUUCUGUGAAAGACCUAUAGUGCCUUUGGAUCGAUUUCUCACAAUUUCAAUCCCUAAAACAAAGUGUGCUUCACCUAAAUCCUUCAUGUCAAAGCUGGCUGAAAGCAUGCUUUUUGUUUCAGUAAGGAGUUGAACACUGGAACUUGUUAAGAGUAUGUCAUCAACAUACAAUACCAUGAAGAUGAACCCUGAUCUUGUUGUCUUCAAAUAAAUGCAGCUGUAAAUUUUGUUCUCACUAAAACCAAAUGAAGUUCCCACUUGAUCAAACUUCUUGUACCAUUGCCUAGAAGCUUGUUUAAGUUCAUAAAUAAACUUAUUAAGCUUGCAUACCAAACCUUCCUUCCCCCUUUUAAUGAGUCAUUGGGGUUGUUUCAUAAUUUGUUUCAUCAAGAUUGCCAUUUAAGAAGGCAGUCUUCACAUCCAUUUGGUACAGCUCAAGAUUGAAUUGAGCUGUGUGGGCAAUGAUGACCCUGAAGGAAUCCUUGGUUGAAACUGGAGAAAAAAGUCUUUGUGUAAUCCAAACCUUAUUUUUGUGUAAACCCCUUAGCUACUAAUUGAGCCUUGUGUCGUUCAAUGUUGCCUUGGAGUCUCUCUUAGUCUUGAACACCCACUUAUUCCCAACUGGUUUUAUGUCACUAGUUCCCUCAAUCAAACUCCAAACACCAUUUUGUGCCAUCAAGUUCAAUUCUUCUUCCAUUACAGCAUACCAUAAUGUAGCCUGUGAACUGUGCAUAGGUUUAAUAAAAGUUAUAGGGUAAUCAUCAUCACCUAUAUCAUACUCCACUUCAUUGAGAUGAGUCACAUAAUCACUGGAUAAUGCAUGUUUUCUUAUUCUCUUAUUUUCUCAAUUCAGUGGUGGAAGGUACAAUUUCUUUAAGAUUGGAACAAGGAUUGAAAUAUCGGCUGAUACAUCGAUAUAUCGGCCGAUAUAUCGAUAUUUUCAAUUGUUGAUAUCGAUACUGGGGGGUAAGGCCAUAUCUUCCCCUAUAUCGACGAUAUAUCCUCGAUAAGUGCGAUAUCUCCGAUAUUUUGCUGAUAUUCUCGAUAUUUCCCGAUACCUAUAACAAAACCUAAAAAAAUUCAAAAGUUUUGAAGCAAAUUGAAACCCAAAAGAUUUUUUGGAGGUAUGUGGGCAGUGAUUAGAUAUGUGUGAAAGCUUUUGGCAAUAUCCAAUUCAAAAGAUUUUUUGGAGUAUCCAUUAAUUAUUACUAUAAAAAAUCUAUGCACAAUGAAUUGAGGGGACAUACGUGUCUUAUCUGAAGAGAAGGAAAUACCCAAAUCCAAAUAUUAAAUUUCUGGUUAAAUAUAUCUUUAAUACUUGCAAGAAAAUGAUGCACAUGUGUUUGAGCUUCUUGUGGAACUCUUUAUCAUUUAAUAUUUGUUUUGUUUUUUGGUUGUUUCUUUUUUUUUCUUCAGUUUUUGAAGUCAGGCAAUUGGCAAUAUGCAAUGCACUGCCCAUAUACCUCCAGAAAAAUCUGAUUACCUUUAUUUCCAUCAAAGCUAGAGAAUCAUCCAAAUGGAAUCCAUAAAAUAAAAUCUGCAAAGCCCAUAUACCAUUGUCCCCCAAGCCCCAAAACUUCCCAUUGUUAUCACGAGAGAAGCCUUCUUUAAAUCAGAGGCUGUUUUACUUUUUUUGGGGCACCAAAUCUUCACUUCUCUUCUUUCUCUGCGAGCUUUUCAAUUUUUAUUUAGUCUAUGAGCUUAUUUCCUUGUUUGCAAGUUCUCUUUGACUGUUGUUUCAGGUAUGUGGCUUUCCCUCAUGGUUUGUAUUAUUUUUGUGAUAGAUUUGAUAUUGUACGUUAAUUUAAUAUAUUUAAGUGUGAUAGAUUAAAAAUGGCAAGUAGUAGUAGACCAAGUGGAGUUAGUGUGCCUGGUGGUCUUGAUGUGGCAUGGAAAUAUGCUCGUCUAAUAGAACGCAAUAAGCACGGCACAAUAUGCACAUUUUGUGAAUCCACAUUUCAAAGUGGUGGAAUUACAUGGUUAAAGUAUCAUUUGGCCGGAUUUGAUCCACAUAAGAGUGUAAAGAAGUGCAGAAAAGUACCACCAGAUAUUAAGAAUGAGGUAAUUGCAUGGAUAAAGGAUAAAGAGUCUAGCAAACAACAUAAGAAAUCUGUUAAAGAAAACAUAAGAUCUACAACAAGAGGGGGAUACAUGGGCAGUAAAAGUAGCAAUCCUGUUGAUAAUGAUGAUGAUGAGGAUGGAUAUGCAUAUCCUCCAUACAUGCACCCUGCGGAGAAAGAAGAUUACCUUGCUGCCAUUAGAGCGUCGAAGGAAGAAGAAUGGUUUAGACAAUGAGGAGUUUAUAGAAUGGGAAGAAAACGAUUUGCAAAGGGAGCAAGUGGUAGUAGUCAACCGCAAUACCGUCGCACUUAAAGCCUUAAAGACCCACUUCGAUCUUCUUCAAACCAAUGCAACACAAGAACACUAGAGCAAAAUAGAGAACAAUCAAAGGCAUGAUUAGAAACUCAGCAGAGGUACUUAGAAGAUACUGUAGCAAAUUCUUCAUACUUGAGAAUGUGGCUCCUCAAAAAGCAAGUUCCCCUCAUUUCAAGAACAUGAUUGCUGCAGCCCAACAAACGGGUUUUGCUUUAUUCAUUAUGACUUUCCUUUCUUCAACUUAAAUAUUCUAAACACACCAAUUGCUUAUAUGAGUUCGAUUAUAUUAGGUCAAGGUGUAGCCACACCAUCGCCGUAUGAAAUAAACCAUAAGUACUUAGAUAUGGAACACACAGACAUGCAAGCCUAUGUGGAAAAGGUAAAGGAAGAUUGGGGCAUGUAUGGAUGCACUAUCAUGAGUGAUGGAUGGACUGGCUCGACGAGGUUGUCCGUAAUAAAUUUCAUGGUCUACUCAAAUGGGAAAACAAUUUUUUUGAAAUCAGUGGAUGCUUCAAAUAAAACCAAGGAUGCAAAGUACAUCGCCAAAUUGUUGAAGGAUGUCGUAAAAGAGGUUGGGCCAUUGAAUGUUGUUCAUAUUGUCAUCGACAAUGGUUCAACCUUUGUUAAGGCUAGAGACAUUUCGCACUGAGAUGGCCGUUGUUGAUGCACAAAAUCCGGAGGAUCUUGGACCAACGUAAAUCCGACCGUGAAUCACACAAAUGCUCAAGAACACAAAGAUGUAUCGUGGUUCACCCUAAUGUUUGGGCUACAUCCACACUAAUGUUGAUUAUCUAUGUAUGUAUGGAUUACAAUAAAUCAGCAAGGGAGCUUUCUGUGGAUGAAGCCCUUGCCAUUUUUGUUUCUGUUUGGCUAAGAGGGUAUUGCCCUCUAUUUGGAUGUGUGAGGAUCUGAGAUCUGAGGUCUUUUUAUGAGGGUGAGGGAAAGUCCCUUUUAUAGAAUAAGGGCUCCCUCCCCUUUUAUAUUUAUCAUGGGCUUAGGGAUGAGGCCCAAAGACGAGGCCCAAUAUAUGGUACCAACAGGAGUCCCCUAAGUCUUUUGGCUGGAGACUUUAAAUCCAAUCCAUGUACGGGCUGAAGUGGCUAGAUAUCUUGAACUAAUACUCAACACAAGGCAAUGCUCAACAUAAAGCAAUACUCGGCUAGAGGUAUCACAUGUAACGAGACUGCUUGGCUGGAGGCGACGCUCGUUGCGAGGCUGCUGGGCUAGAGGCUAUGCUCGCGGUAAGACGGUUGCUCUGCUGGAGGCGAUACUCGUGGCGAGACGGCUCGGCUCGUGGUAUUCCUCAUUACAAGUAUCCACUUUAUGUCGACAUGCUCUUAGUAUGAGUUGAUUCUCGACAUAACUCAGGUCCGCUUGUCAGGUUCGUAUAUUGGGUUCUUUUAAUCAGCAACAAUGUUGAUCAGUAAAAUCCAUGCCAUGAACCACCAAAGUUAUGUCACCCUAACAUUCAAAUAAUACAAGGUAUAAUCUGGUCAGACUUGCCACAUAUUAUGGAAAAUAGUCAUGUGAUAAACCAUUAAUAAUAAUGUAAAACAUAUUAUUAUAACAUGUCACCCCGUUCGUUUAGGCAGUAAUGCAAUUUAUAUAACAAUAAAAUAAUGAUAGUAGUAAUGAUGUGUAUGCGUUGUGACCCGGCAUAAUAAGUGAUGUAGUGGGUGUACAUCUAGCAAAUUAUCAUUGCAAUAAUACAAUAAUACUCAAAAUGAUGUAAGUGGGUGUACGACACGAAUAAUACUCAAUUAUCGAACGGCAUAUUAGACACAUACUGAGCUGCAUGCAACAUGACAAACACUCAGUGCAUGCACAUGUAACACACAGAUGCAAACAUUGAUACAUCAGCAUUAUGUUACACAUAAGGUUAGCAGCACAAAAGGAAGCAUGGCAAUACAUACAACAUAGAUGCAGCUGAACAAGUGAUAAUUACAUAAAAUUAAACUAUUACGUGGUAGUGCAUUAUUGCAUGUACAUAAUAUAUAUAUAUAUAUAUAUAUAUAUAUAUAUAUACACAUACAUUUAAUAAUUAGAUAUUUACGUAGCAUGUUGAUACAUUGUGGUGCUAGAAGGAGGGUUUGUAGGUGAAUGUGAUUAGCCUUCCCAUGUGUCUAAUGGUUUAAAAUAAUAAAAUAUGUGUGAUGUGAUAUGUUUUUGGUCAACAUAAUAUUAAAAUAAUAAACAAUAUAGUUAAUAUUAAAAUAAUAAACAAUAUAGUUGUAAAGGAAAAGAUGCUCUUAUCUCUCCGAUGGAUUUUUUCAGACAGAGGGAUAGUGGCAAGCGUUUGUAAAGCAUAUGCACAUUGUAAAAGAAUAUGCUCAUUGUAAAGCAAAUGCUGUCCCUCAGUAAUGAUGUGAGGAUGUGGUUUCUUUUAGCCAUGGCAGACAAUACCAAAGGAGAUUAAUAAUAGAAAUAUUGUAAGAAAGCUUAUCUUCUUCCUGGUUUUCCACUGGUGGUUGUGGUAUUCGCAGGAGGUGGGAUCCCUGUAUCUGGAACCCAAGAGCUCUUUUCCCCUCAAUUUCACAACUCAAGUAAACAUAUCCUUAGGUUCUGGGCCUUCAGAAAGUGAUUUCAUAUGGCUACCACCCUGCAAAGAAGAUGCAUGGGAUGGGUCAUUGAGCUCUGCACUCCACCCGCUAAGCAUCUGAUCCAUUUGGUCCUCGAAGAUAGCCAUGUUAGCAGUCCGACCCUCUUUCCAGGCAAUUUGAAUAUUGGUAAACAUCCCUCGAAGCUCUUGGACUCGAGUCCUUGCUUUUUCCUUCAGUAGCUUGUGAGAAGCAUACGGCGGUUUUCCGAUCCUGACUUGGGAGAAGUAUUCGCCGCUACCCUGACUCUUCUCAGAAAUGGUGGGGCCUUCAAAACCAUCCGCAUCGAGUUGUAACCUGCUACUGUUUCCACAGGUUUAAGGUCCGACGUGGCGACACCUCUAACGGCCAGAUCCAACCGAAUGGUGAGAUAUCUGAUUUAGGUUUUCUGGUUUUGUUUAUUCGCAGCUGCUGUUGCUCUGCACCGUGUUUGAGUGACAAGAUAAACUAUCGGAGCCAAGAAAAUGAUCAACUUUUUAUCUCUGGAGGAGGGUAUGAUCCUUAUCAUCUCCUUAACAACGUGCUUGAUGAGCAUCACAGCUAUCAUCGUCUUCCCAGCUCCCGUUUCCAGCACCGUAAUCGUGUUCUUUUGCUUUGCAACCUCAAACACUUUCACUAGGUACCUUCUAGGGAUGAACUAAUCAAGAAAAGUGGGCUCCAUGAUACCAUUAGACUCUAUGUUUGUAAAACUUGAAAUAUUUUUUUUCUGUUCUCUCUCUUCUGGAGAUUCUUUUGAUGAGAGAGAAAGUGAGAGCUUUGGUUUGAAGGUUGUGAAACAAAUAGACAGAGAGAGGGAGAAAGAUGGAUUAUUUUCUUUGGUUUUGGUGGGUUAGACUCAUCGAAGCUCGAUGCUGCCACCUCGUAGCUGAUCGCUGCUCGGACCAAGAUAGCGAACAAGAAACAGCGUCAGCCGAGCCAUGUUCCUGCUGAUAUGUCGGACGGGGGAGAUUUUGCUGCUUGAAUAUUGGUGAGGGAGGCCUGGCUAGGUAGCCGUAGCCAGUCAGAUGAAUCCAUGCAAACUUGCAGAGAAUUAUGACCCAUCAAACAAAACUCACCGAACCCAGAUGAGAGAGAAAGUGAGAACAGAGAAGGAAUGCUUGAGGAGUAGGGAGCCAAGUGCAUGGGUUUUACAGUGACUGUGCAAGUGUUUGGUUCUUAGGUUUCUCCAGAUUCAUGGUGGAGGUUUGAUGAAAAAAUGAAAGAGAACCGACAUAGCUUUUCAUGUUGUUUCCCACAGACGGUGCCAAAUGUUGAUGCACAAAAUUUGGAGGAUCUUGGACUAACGUAAAUCCGGCCGUGAAUCACACAAACGCUCAAGAACACAAAGAUGUAUCGUGGUUCACCCCAAUGUUUGGGCUACGUCCACACUGAUGUUAAUUAUGUAUAUAUGUAUGGAUUACAAUAGAUUGGUAAGGGAGCUCUCUGUGGAUGCAGCCCUUGCCAUUUUUCUCUCUGUUUGGCUGAGAGGGUAUUGCCCUUUAUUUGGAUGUGUGAGGAUAUGAGAUCUGAGGUCUCUUCAUGAGGGUGAGGGAGAGUCCAUUUUAUAGAAUAAGGGCUCUCUCCCUUUUUACAUUCGUCAUGGGCUUAGGGAUGAGGCUCAAAGACGAGGCCCAAUAUAUGGUACCAACAACCGUCAAAUCAAGAAAAUCGAUCCCCCCAGCAGAAUGGUGGAAUCUUCAUGGUGAUUCUGCCUCGAAAUUGCAAAAAAUUGCUAUGCGUAUAUUGUCACAGACAACAUCAUCAUCGGCAUGUGAGCGAAAUUGGAGUACAUUUGCUCUUAUUCACGCGAAACAAAGGAACCGUUUCGCAUAUACUAGGCCGAAAAAGAUUGUCUUUUGCUAUUAUAAUAUGAAACUUAAGCUACGUGAUGAAGAGGCCGAAAUGAACAAGGUUGCAGAAAAUGACUACAUAUAACUUCUUGACAUUGCAGGGCAACCAUCUAAUGAUGAUAAUAAUCCAAUUCAACAAUGGAUUAUGACAGCUCACUUGGAUGAUGAACAAGGCAACCCUGAUACCGUUAUAGCAUAACAUGCUGCCCAAGAAGGAGUUGAUGUUGAUAGAGUCAUAUCCGAAGAUGUUAGGAGUGGAGAUACUUCAUCAUUUGAAAGGGAUAUGCUUGGCACUCGGCAAGGUCAAAGACGUCCCUUGAAAGACGAUGCCAGUACUAGUAGAAAGGAAAGUUCAUCCAAUUCGUCAGAUAAUGAUGUAGGAAGUAAUGCUGGAUCAUGAGGUAAUGAAGAAGGAAGACAAUAUAGCCUAUUUACUAUUGAGGCUGAUUUUACUAAUGCCACCCAAGAUAAGGAUCAUGGAUGUAGAGAAGUUGGACCAGGCAUUGGUGCAAUUGGGAAGCAAUACUCAAGGAAAAGCAACCAAUCAAUCCAUCUGAAGAUGACAUGGCGAUCAACUUUGGAUCUAUAAGCAUAGGAACUAGACCUAGUACUAACUCAAAUGAAUCUUAUGAUGGCUAUAGGUAUGUCAUGUCUGAUAUAGUGGAACUAGUUAUGGAGCUCAAGAUGAUGAAACAGACUAUGAACUUACUAGUUGGGUUAAUCCUAACUAUCCCAUGUAUGGGAGAACAUUAGGGAGCUCAAGAGAGACAUAUGUGCACCAUGUUCAAACAUGGCUUACAAACUGCUUGGGUUACAUGACGUAUCUAAAUUGUAUGAAUCUAGAUGGUUGUUCCUCAUUGUACGAACCUUAUAGGAGCUCUUCAUUUAUGUAGUUGGACACUUAUCUAAAUUGUAAUCUAAUGGUUAAACAAACUAUGGAUUUAUGCAUGGUUUACUCAUUCUAAAAAACAUUUUAUUAGAAAACUUUUCGUUAACGCGCAUUACAUACCACUUAUAUUUCAUCAUAUGUGUAUCUUAUUAUUAGUAAAUUUUGAGUUUUAUUUGUUCAAUACAUUCAUUGAUAAUGUACAUAACAUCUAUGAAAGUUUUAGACCAAAAUUAUGUGUUUCAAUGCCUAUAUCUGUCAUUUUUGUUGAUUUUUUCCCGAUACCUAAAACGAUAAUGAUAUAUCCCCCGAAAUAUCAAUAAAUUGGAGGCUCGAUAUUAUCUGCACAGCCGAUAUUUUAAUCCUUGGAUUGGAAGAGCCUAGUGAGAAUUAUAUGAACCAGAAUCUUCCACAAACUUGGCAUUAUUGGUUUCAACCAAUCUUGUGUGAGAGUGUGUGGGCAAUAAAACCUAAAACCCUUGGAUUUCUCAGGAUAGCCUACAAAAUAACAACUUGUAGUUCUGAGAUCCAACGUUUUCUCCAUUGGAUUAUACAAUGGUGCUUCACAUUUGCAUCCCCAGCUGUGCAAGUGUGCAAGACUUGGUCUUUUACCUGUCCAUAAUUCAAAAGGUGUGGUCUGUUGCUUCCAGGUCUUAAAGUUGUUGCCAUUUAACUUCUCAAUGUUCAUAAGAUUGAGCAUAUUAAAACCUGCCAUUAGCAUAUGUAAAGAUUCAUGUAUUGACUAAUGAAUGAAAACUGAAGUUCAAUGUCACUAAAAAACUAUGGAUCCAAUCACACUUUUGAGCAAGAGAUUGUCCAUAUAAUCAAAAGUAUGAAUCUUAUAGAUUUGCAUAGCCAAGUAUAAACACCAAAGUACAUAUAAAGUACCGUCAUUGGACAAUAAUAAGCAUAUUAUGUCUCUGGUUUCAUAACUCACUAUACAUCAACUUAUAGCUAACCCCAGUAAAUAGUUUCUUUAGAAAAUACUUUACUUGUUAGUGCUUACAAAUUGCUUGCUGUUCGUCUUUAUUGGAACUCAUGAAAUCAAAAUAGUAUCUCUACUAAAUAUUUCAUGAAAUCAAUGAACAAUACCAUUAUAUCUCUUAAUAAUAUGACAAUAUGUUGGAAUAAAAAUACGCAGCAAGUAUGAUUAUAUAUUUGACAGUCAUGAAAGUCCCAAAGUAAAUUUAAAAAUAAAAUAAAAUUGAACACAGCAUGAUGGAAAUGUGUUUAUAUCACAAACAUAACUUAAGCCAGAUGAUAUCAUUAAAUUAUGCAAUGGAAAAGAAUUGCAAAAGUAUACAUUUGAUCAUAAAUGAGUCUAAAAUUUAAGUUGACUGGUUCUGAUACCACAUGUAAACCUUUAUAUGUGGAACUGAAAUUUAAUCAACUGAAUAUUUGGACUACAUGCUAAUAGGAUGGAUUAGUAUAAUCACACUAAUAUAAACUAAUAAGAACACAACUCUUACGUGCUGAGUUUGCCAUAAUGAUCAAAAAGCAAGCAACGAUAAUGUUGAUAAAAAUAGGGUUUGCAGUGGUAGUUUACUGCAGAAACUUAUGGGGAAUGAAGGCUAUGUUCUUCUCUUAUGUGGGACUCAAAUACAUUCUACAAAUGAUGGGGGAUGCAUAUAUUGAACUGGUGUCCCAGAAGAGAGACCAUGCAGCAGUUUUAAUCACAUAAAGUCAUAACUGCACCAUGUUAGCCUUAUGAGGUUAUACAAUUAAAACACAAAUGAAUGAGUAACUGACCUGAUUCCAAUGAUGGCCAUGGAAAUCGAACACAAAAGUAGUAGGGCACGGCAACACCAGGAUCUUCUUUAAACUCCUUGCCGGAUACAACUACUCUAUGGGAAGCAUUAUGUUUUGUUCUACGGCUUAUAGAGACCGGUGUUUUAUAUAGGCUAAAAGCUAGGGUUUCCAUCCUUAAAGGAAACCUAAACUUUACUUUCUUAGCCUCCAAGUCAAGUAUCAUAAUCAUAUUCAAUUAAGGAUUCCAUCAAUCCUAUUUCCAAUAUAAGACACCUUAUAUAGGAUUGAUAUCUUUAAGAGAUCAAAUCACAAUCAACAUUAUUCUCCAAUAUUACAUUCCUAUUACAUGUAGUAGACCACUUAAAGGUCGAUUUAUAUUGGAUAAAUCCAACAUUCUCCCACUUGGUCUACAAAAUGUAAUAUUCAUGUUUCUACUUGAGAUUGGAGAUUAAUGUCACUUUAGUGGCCAUAUAACAGUGAUUACAUCUCAUCCUUAAUGCAGCUUCUAUCAAAUGCAUUUUUUAACAUGGAACUAACAAGGUUGUAGGAUUGACACAACCCAGAACCUUCAUAAUCACACAUGCUAAGAUCCUCAUUCACAUGAAACACAAAUUAUGAUCAAGAGAUGAAACUUUAAAUUAACUUUAAAUUAACCAAAAUGUCUUACUUUAUAUCAUCUCAGGUCCACCUUAUUGUAACUCACAAGUUACCCUUUAAGCUUUUUCGAAGCCUUAAAUCUGCCAAUGCAGAUAUCCUUCAUCUAAUGAAACCACCAUAACCUGCAGGUGUGAAUAAAUCUCCAAAACAAUUAUGCAUCACUUUCAUUAGAUCAAUAAUAAUACAAACGAUGUUUGUAGCCAAUAGACACAAUUGAAAAUACCAAAUAGGCACAUGUCCAAGUAAAAUAUCCCAAAAACUUCAUAAAACAAAUUAAUUCAACAAUUGUGAGCAAGAUGAAUUAGUAUGUUUUUGACACUGAUCUAUGCACCAUACCAGUUACUUUCAUAGUGAUUUCCAACACCUGCGGGCAAGAUGGAAAUCCUCACAACUGAGGUAGUGCACAAACCAUGUCAUGUCAUUUAAUAUGCAAUUUGAUAACAACUUGAUAUCUGAUAUAUAUUUCAUCAAAUAAUUGAUUAGCACACGAAAAAUGUGACUUAAUGAAUCCAACUGGAGAUUAAUAUGAAUACAUGGAUUCUAUACAUACUUUAUAGGUCAUCUACAAAUGUUAGGCAUUACUAACACGAAACUCAAACUCCCACUGAUCUGCAACAUCGUUACUUAAUUUGGAAAUCAAUACUUAAAUCAUACUUUUGAAAAUAUGGAUUUGGGAAUAGCCUUACUUAGUCAAUGAAUGCAUAUUACCUCAAUGAAAGGUACAACUAAGCAUGAAAGCAUCCACUGCUGUUUACACAAAAAACGUGCAUCCAAUAACCAUCUUAUAUGUAUUAAUAAGUCCACAUUUAUGCUAAGUCCUUAUGAGCCCCAAAACAAUAUGAUCAAUCGUGAAAUCUAAAUGAUUGCAAAUAACAGAAAUAUGUACACAUGUACUAAGUAGCCAUUCGUGCAACUUAAACAUAUUAUUGUUAUUCGAGUAACACAAAUUCAUGGAAGAUAGAAUAACACUUUUAAUAAAUUCAUGCAAAACCACUUAAUGCUCAAAAACUCCCACUAAGUUUUCAGAGUUUAUACUUGCAAAUAAGUUAAUGAGUGUAAAGCCCAAUUUUCGUUCACUAAUUCCCCCACUUGGGCAAACACUUGUUAAUAUAUUCUUUCAAAGAUGUUCCUAAAGAAAAUUGCUCUAUAUUUUAGACAUAAUAAAAUAGACAUCUCAACCAACAUAAAGUUGUCAAACAGAAUAUCAGCAAUGAGUUACACUUACUUUAGAAUUUAUCAUAAUUAAUUUACAAGCUUGAUGGCUACCAAAGUUAUACUGAUCAAAAUAGACAUACUAAUCUUCAUAACAUAAAAAUAUAGAGCCGUUUUGGGUCUAAAUAGUAGUAUAAAGUCAUGUCUCAAAAAGACCAACACAAUCUGCCAGUAAAACUGCCUAUAUGAGCAUGGGUUACUAGUAAAUUCACCAUAAUUAAAAUACACGGAAAAAAAUUACAAACAUUUGCAGACACAUAUUAGAUAUUUAUAUGUUGAACAUAUUCAAAAUUCAGGUCAUUUGGUGACCAUUAGAUGUGUCAUUCACCCUAUUUAAAUCAAGACACGGAAUCUGCCAGAAACAAUUAUGUGCAUCUAUCAUGAAUUUAUGCAUCCAUAACAAAUUCAAUCUCGUAUCAUUUCAAUUUUGAUGUCCAAAGGAAACUUUAGUAGUCAAAUUUCAUCCUUUAAACCGACAUCAUAGUUCAAAUUGAAAAGAUUUACAAGCAUAAAAUUUAAACAAUGCGUACCUUUGCAAUCCUUGAUUAACCUUUAUGGGUCCAAUACUUUGCAUCAACCAGUCUCAUGAAGAGAUACAGAAUACGUCAUGAUGCAACCGAUUUCCAUGCCUUCAAACCACAACCUUUUAUGGGGCUCAUUGUGGAAAUAUUUGUCACUAAUGGCAUGGCACUUUAUCCCAAUAAACUUCAUGAAACUAAAUUAAUUUACACCUGUAGGCAAGAAAAUUAACUAGUUUCUAGUACUAUAUUUUAUGUCACAAAAGUACCUUCAUGAAAACUUCAACACCUAUAGGCAAGAUGAAGAUUUUCACAACUUCUGUGAAAUAAAACCCAUACUAUGCCAUCUUAAUUAAACUAAAAGAAGUAAUCCAUACCUGUAGGCAAGAAGAUUAUCCCUUUUAUUCUAAUUAAGAUGCAAAGUUGACCGAAGUAACUCAAAACACAGUCCCAUCAUCAACUAAAAUGUUGUGGCUUGCUUUAGUUGAAAAGACAUUGAUCAACUCUGCCCUGAAACAAUACAAGAAGUCACAUGGAUUAAUUAACUGUAAGUGACAAAAUUAUGAUAACCUAAUUCGAGCUUCGAGUCUUGCCAACAAAUGACACUAAUUCCUUCAUGACUCCCUUUGACAUUUAAAUUAAUCUCAAGAAACCUGACAAGAUACUUGAAAGAGAUUAAUCACAUAUAGAAUAAGUUUCAUUCCACCACAAGAAUGUCAAUACUUAUCAUUAUGGAGUCAAUUACUUAAAAGCUAAAUUGCUCAAAUGUUUUCUUAAGUUAAACAUGUUCCUUUCCUUUUUAUAUAUUUCUUUCCGUAGUACAAAACUACUAAACAUAGCAUUAAAAUCAUGCAUUAGCUUUGUAAAUACCAAAUUAAAUAAAAGGAACAACCAAAAUUAUUUUCUUCCAUACAAAACAUCUCCAAUAUGUGCCGUACAUUAGCCUUAAAAAGUUCUUUUCUUCUCCCCUUAUGACACAUAAAAAUUUACUAAUCAAAGCAUUGUUUAAAUUCUUAAGGCAUAGGAAAAACCACAAACAAUAAUACAUAUUUGAAAUUCAUGCUUAUCAAUUAAGCCACAUACUUUGAAUGGAUUACAUACCUCAUGCCUUCAUAUGUUCACUACUUCUUUGUAAACAUAUAUAUAAUCACAUGACCAACCAAUUCUCAUAUAAGAAUAGAUAAAAAUACAAAUGAGAACUGUCCCAUAAUUACUACAAACCUUAUUCAUUUGUAUAAUACCCUUGUUCUUGUCACUGGAUGCUUUUUGUCAUUCUCAGUCAAUCCACAAAUUAUGCAUCAAUUUUAACAGUUAACUAGUCAUGUAUAAUUUAAAAGGAAAACUAAUGAAAAGGGCUUGAAAACUUUGAGUUUUAACGAUAAGGAUAAAUUAAAGGGUAAAGUGAAUAGUACCUGGAUUGACUUUUUAGUGUAAAAAUGUGGUUUUUCGUUAAAGUGAACAAUAUCGGGAGCUUUUUGUUAAAGUUCCCUAAUUUAAAUAACUAUACUGAGAUAAGAAAACAAAAUUGUAGACAAACUUGAUUGAUUAGUCAUGCACAUUUCGUGUGCUAUUAAUGGCAUAAAAGUUCAUUCACAUCUCGUGAAAAUUAGUGGAAACAACACUACAAUUCACUAUAGUUCAAAACUCACGCAAUAUUAAAAAUAUGUUAUCUCAUGCUUGAACCAAAUUAGCCAUACAAGCAACACUAUACAUGCCAUUUGCUUAACAAUAUUAAAAAUUUGGUUCAAGCAAAUUAGUUACAAUUUAUCAUAUGCCACGGUCAUGGAAGAAAUUGUGUCACCUUACACAUCUUUGAAACAUAUCGGUGAUGCUAUAGAUGCAAUAACAAAAAUUGCCAAAAUUUAUGUUGACCUGCUUAACUAUUUGUACCAUACUUGACCAAUCCCGAAACUACUGAGCAUCGGUCAACGUUAUACCGUCAAGGACCCAGAAGAGUUUCCCUCCAACUAGGAGGCCAAUCACAGCACGACACUUGUCGACAUUAGAAGCCAAUCAUAGCGCGACAGGUGUUAAAAUUAGAAGCCAAUCACAACACGACACGUGUCAAUAUCAGAAUGAAACUAGAAAAUCUCUUCUAUAAAUAGAGAUCAUUCUCUCACAAUAUUUCCUAAUGUCAUUUGUACUAAAUCAUUCACUAGUACUCACUAAAUGAGAGCUUGAAUCUAUGUACUUGCGUAAACCCUUCACAAUUAAUGAGAACUCCUCUACUCCGUGGAUGUAGCCAAUCUGGGUGGACCACGUACAUCUUGUGUUUGCUUCCCUGUCUCUAUCCAUUUGCAUACUUAUCCACACUAGUGAUCGGAGCAAUCUAGCAAAGGUCACAAACUUGACACUUUCUGUUGUACCAAAGUCCUCACUGAUUUUGUGCAUCAACAACCUCUGAUGAUCAAGUAAAAUCUGACCAUCAGAUUCCUGCAGCUAGUCGAGCUUCCUCUUCAUGUUUGUAGCAUAGUCAUGUGCGAGCCUGUGCAACUGUUUAUUCUCAUGCUUGAGCCCUCUGAUCUCCUGUUUGAGACUUAUCACUUCAGCCACCAAUGAUUCAAUUUGGCGGGUUCGAGCAAAUAGGCGUUGGGCCAUAUUAGACACAUAACAUGCACACUAAACACUGAGAGCCAGAAAAUCCUUAACAACCAACUCAUCAGACCGUUUGGAAAAUAGUCUGUUAUCUUUGGGAGUGAGAAGGUUCGUAGCCACCACCGCAGCGAUUCUUCAUCACAUAGUCCCCAACGGUAAGAGGACCAGUAGGGGAUAAGAAGGAUGAGCGCCAUAUGUUGUCUUGAGAAGGCAUGGCUGCCUCUUCACCAAAGUUCAAGUCAAAACGACGGUCGGAUGGGCCAGACAUUUUCAGAAAUGAUGAAGGAGAAAUAAGGUGCAAUAAAUCUCUGAAGUACAAAAAUAAGGGGAAAAUUCCUACAAGCAAUAACUCUCUGAACAUACUUCUUGCACACUAUUGGUGCCCCUAUAAAACAAAGGACAACAGGGUUGUUGGUUCAAAAAAAAGGCACCACUCUCCAGAUUUCGAGAAGCAGAUUUUCUUGAGUAAAAUAUGUCAAUAAUCCCCACACGCAAUAUCAGCUCCUGGGGUACCACAAAUAACUUUGCCAAAGAUCUCUGACAAAGUUUAGACACAUAAAUUUUGAAGGUUCAGCUACCCUACCAUUACCCACAAUGGUAAAAGGAAGAGCACCACUGCUUGAUAACUGGAAAGUCCCUGUGUGUCUCAACCUCUGCUCCAUGGCAAGGCAGAUUGGCAAAAAUAUCCAACCUUUACUCACAUCAAGAAAACACUCCCAACAUGAUUACUUGCUCAAAAAUCGAAAAGGCACCGCUAUUCGACUCUUGAGAGCCAGACUCACAACAGGAUUGUUUUCUCAAAAAUCGAAGAGGCACUGCUCUCUGAAUCUCGAGAGCCAGACUCCCAACAGGAUUGCUUUCUCAAAAAUUGAAGAGGCACCAUUCUCCGAAUCUCGAGAGCCAGGUCCCUGACAGGAUUGCUUGUUCGAAAAUCGAAGAGGCACCGCUCGCUGAACUUCAAGAGCCAGAUUUCCUUGGAUAAAGCUUAUCUGCAAUCUUCACAUGCAACAUCAGCUUUCCAGAUACCACAUACCACUUUUUCAAAAUGUUCUGACAAAGUUAAAACAUGUGAAUCUUGCAGUUCCCACUACGUUGCUAUGAUCAAGAAGGGUAAAGGAACAACGUUACUACUCAUUGUUAGGACAAUUCCUAUAUAUGCCAACCUUCAUCCUCCACAGCUAGGCAAACCUGCAAAUAAAAAAAAUGCUAAACUUUUCUUCACAUCUGAGAGGGUACUCUCAACAAAGUCUCUCAAAAUACUCAGCUUAUUUUCCCCUGAUAAUACCUUUGCAAACAAGCCACACUAGAGCCAGAGUAUCUCAUAUCAUCAGGGUUAAAAGCAAGAGUAUCCCAUAUCAUGCUUUUUCCCUGUCUUUUCCUUUGGCGUUGUUCUUACCUGCAAGACAAGGAGAAAGAGAGCAAUCAGUCAGCACUUGGAAUCAAGUUUCCAGUCAGGAACUGACUGCCUGGAACCCCUUGCCUGAUUAUUUACCUGGCAUUGCUCUCAAGUACUUAUCUUCAACAUCUUAUGCUUCCAAAAAAGAUACCACAUCUGCCCGAGGAAUAGAUAGGGCAAGUGAGAAGGAUACAAGGAAGCAUGUGGAGACAAGCGCAACAGAACACGUGCUGUUUCAUCUAUUACUUUGUCAAUAGCAAACGUAUCCCAUAUCAUCAAGGUUGAACGCACUCUUGAUUUGAUGGACUUGUUUUGACCCUCAAAUUCUUGAGUCGGCCUUAUACUCUGGAGAAAACUAGAAAACCCUCAAGCCCAGUUCAAGAAUAAGCCUGUGGAAAGUUACUUCUUCAAAAGCAAAAGUAUAUCAUAUCAUCUCUUCUCCAUUUGCUUCUCCUUAUCCUUGUUACUGUUUACAACACAAGGAGAAGGAGAACAAUCAACCGGAAGCCGAAGUCAAACCUCUGAUCCAGGUUGCUUGCUUGGAAGUUUGAUUGCUUACCUUGUCUGUUACCUCUUUCGGCAAAUCUCCUAGCUCGGCGACUUGAGAGACUCCUACUAUAGGGUUUGUAUCGCACUUAACCAAGCCCGAAACUACAAGUAAGCUUCAAGUGAAAUUGAUACAUUACCUUGUACAUCUUCAUUGGUUAAAGAUACCACCCCUGGAUGGAGGAAAAGUACUUCUAGAAAAGAUGCCACAUCUACAUAUGAGACAGAUAAGGCAAGUGAAUAUGAUACCACACUUUGGUACUUAGAAGUUUCGUGAUUACUCAAUGGCUUGGAUCUUGCAAGUCCCCAACCGAGGAGCUUCCCUCACUCGGGAACUUAGGGGAGCACUGUUUGUACCAUACUUGACCAAUCUCGAAACUACUGAGCAUCGAUCAACGUUAUACCAUCAAGGACCCAAAAGAGUUUCCCUCCAACCAGGAGGCCAAUCACAGCGCGACACGUGUCGACAUCAGAAGUCAAUCAUAGCGCGACACGUGUCAAUGUCAGAAUGAAACUAGAAACUCCCUUUUAUAAAUAGAGAUCAUUCUCUCACAAUAUUUCCUAAUGUCAUUUGUACUAAAUCAUUCACUAGUACUCAUAAAAGGAGAGCUUGAACCUAUGUACUUGUGUAAACCCUUCACAAUUAAUGAGAACUCCUCUACUCUGUGGAUGUAGCCAAUCUGGGUGAACCACGUACAUCUUGUGUUUGCUUCUCUGUCUCUAUCCAUUAGCAUACUUAUCCACACUAGUGACCAGAGCAAUCUAGCGAAGGUCACAAACUUGACACUUUCUGUUGUACCAAAGUCCCCACUGAUUUUGUGCAUCAACAUAAACUUAGCAUAUACAUUCCUGCAACACAACUUUAACAUAUGUUAUCACAAUCAUAGGUACAACAUAUCCCAAUAGUAUUGAUAAAUUAUAGAAUAUGACUAAUUCUGUCUCCUACAAUCAGUAAGAUGUCAUGACAUGGUUGGAUUUUAUGGGAACAAAUAACACUUCAUGACUCCAACAUAACCGUUCCUUAUAUAAUUUAUCGUGAAGACCAAAAGGAAAGAUCAUACCAGAAUUUCAUAUACCGAUGUAAUACGAACCUCUUCAUUGGGCUUGUUCGACUGAGGGAUCUUAAGAAAUUCUCCAAUGCAAGGUUAGAAAAAAUGUAAAUACAUACACAUGCUAUGCGAACUGUAGAUACAUAAUUGGCUUAAGAAAAUUAUGUAUACUUGCUUGAACAAACAAUUGCUGGCACUUAUGCAAUUGUUUCUUGUCACAUUAACGUAUCACCCGUAGCAAUUCAUAUAGAAUACAAUUCAUGGAAAAUAAUAUUAGUUCUUAUUCAAUAAGCAUAUGCCCAUUUAGAUACGUAUUGCCACAAUAUAUAAAAAUUGGAUCCAUAUUCAUGACAUACUUAACCGAUAUAUCAAUGUAUGUACAUGCUCUAGAAUAAUUAGCACAUCACUCAUGCAAUUAUAUCUUUAUCUUAUUAGCAAUUUAAGCUUUUAGGGAUCAACCCAAAUAUAUAUCAACCAAAAUACCAUAAACCAUAAUGGAAAUCAAAGUCAAUGAAACAAACCAUUUUGCUUUGGUAGAUGACUUCGUUAUGCUUGCUAAUUGGAGGGACCUCUUCAGUAAGGUCAGAACAAAUAUAGCAUGCUUACAAAAUUGAGAUCAUCAGUGUGCACAUGGUAAAUCAAUUCAACCAAAACACUAGCAUGAAGAUUGAAAUAGAACAAAACUGUUAUUCUUCUCAGUGCCAUGGUUUCCACUGUAAAAUACAUAAUAUAAAACCACGCCUUACAUAUUCUUUACGUUCCUAUAUGAUUAUAGGAUUCCAAUUCCUAUAUGGUUUUUAAAUUUCAUGCUUAAUCAAAAAUGCCUCUAAGCGUAGUCCAAUUUCCAAUUGGCAAGCAAAGCUAUGUGGUUAUAUGUAAUACACCACAUACAAUAUUAUGGAUUCGUGCUAUAAUCAGGCAACUUGUCUUGCUGAUAAUAAUCAGGGUAUCAAUUAGCAUAGUUCUUAAUAAAUUUCCCUUGACUGCAACCAUAAUAUUAGCGAAAAAUAUUCUUGAUUAAAACUGAAUAAUUAUGCAACCUGAUCAUAAUCAACAAUUGAACUGAUUCAAAUAGCAUGGUGAUGUUGCCGAGUAUAUGCAAUGACAAUUUGGAUUAAACACGCAGUUCAAGAGAAUAUUAUAUAAUCCAACAUUAAACCUAAUAGGUUUUUAAUUAUAUAACCAGUGGCUCUGAUACCAAUUGUUAGCCUUAUAAGGUUAUACAAUUAAAACACAAACGAAUGAGUAACUAACCUGAUUCCAACGGCGGCCAUGGAAAUUGAACACAAAAGUAGUAAGGCACGGCAACACCAGGAUCUUCUUUAAACUCCUAGCCAGAUACAACUACUCUAUGAGAAGCAUUAUGUUGUGUUCUAGGGCUUAUAGGGACUCGUGUUUUAUAUGGGCUAAAAGCUAGGGUUUCCAUCCAUAAAGGAAACCUAAACUUUACUUUCUUAGCCUCCAAGUCAAGUAUCAUAAUCAUAUUCAAUUAAGGAUUCCAUCAAUCCUAUUUCCAAUAUAAGACGUCUUAUAUAGGAUUGAUAUCUUUAAGAGAUCAAAUCACAAUCAACAUUAUUCUCCAAUAUUACAUUCUUAUUACAUGUAGUAGACCACUUAAAGGUCGAUUUAUAUUGGAUAAAUCCAACACACCACCCAUCGUGGUAGUAGUUAUGUCACGAUGAAGAGAGUUUGCAACCAACUCAUCCUCUUGAUUCUGUGCGUUAGUGAUUUCCCUUUAGGUGUUUCAUAUUGUAAGUCCAUUAAUAAUAUAUCCAUUAAGUUUUCUCAAUAUAUAAAUGACAUGGUUUUGUUACAACUCACAUUAUCGGAAAAACCUGACAUCAAAUGGCUCAAAUGGCAAAGAAAGGUCACACAAGAAAUGGCGAUUGGCACCUAGUGAACGUGUAGCUUUAUGCUUUGGUUAGUUGUCUAUUAUGGAGUACAACUUUGAGUAUGUAAAUCCGGAUAUAGCGCCACUCUUAAAGGCCAGAUGGACGAGAUAAAGAAAUAAAGAUGCCUUAUUUGAAGGUAUGUAACUAUUCAUGAAUCAUGAAAAGUUGCAACUCUUCAUUGUUUAGAGAAAUACAUAUUUCGACCAAAAGACACCACUUUUAAUUUUCAUUCAACAAAUUUAAUAUUAUAAUAAUAAAAUUAAAUUGCCAACAAAUCAUUGGUCAAGAAUACAACGAACUCAAACAUUAUUUUCUAUUCCAAAUUCUAACUUCCAAGUCUCAUUACUUCACACCACUAACUCUAAUAUUUUAUUAUAUUUAUAUGACAUAAAAUUAAUCUUUAACAUUUCAUUAAAAAAAAAACCUUAACAUUAAACCUUCACUUUUUGUUUUUAGAACAAACGAUUUCAUUUACACUAAGAGAGUGAGAAAGUGGGGUAAGCCUCACAAUAGACUAGCAAUAAUGUGAUUCAAAUUCGCUUUCGGUCUCACUUACAAGUAAAGAACAAUAUCAUUAGAACGUAGUACUAAGUGACAUUAAACCUUCACUUUUAAAUGCGUGAGUAAUGCAAAGUCAAAUGAAACGUCUAUGAGAUGUCAUCAGGGAUAUAAUCAACCCAAGGUGGGUGCCUUGUCAAAACCUCAUUACGUAGCAAAAACCCAAUGGGAAAAAUGCUCCUAAUCGUAGGGAAAAAGAGUAUAUUAAGAUCAAGCAAGUAUACUUCAGGAUACUCCCCUGAGUUUGACACAAUUCCAAAGAGAACUAACAAUGUUACAACUCAGAAAGUUUAUGCAUACCAAUUCCUUGAACAAGAUUCUGAAACGUCGCCUUUUGUAGUGAUUUGGUGAAGAGGUCAGCUAGAUUGUCUUAUGAACAGAUUUGCAUGACUUCAAUCUUAUGAUGCUCUUGUUGUUGAUGUGAGAGGAAGAACUUUGGUGCAAUGUGCUUGGUGUUGUCUCCUUUGAUGUAACCCUUUUUGAGUUGUUCGAUGCAUGAUGCACUGUCUUCAUAGAUCAUCGUCGGGACGUCAAUGACGGGGUAAAGAUCGCAUGAGCUUCGAAUAUGGCCCAUAAUUGCUCUCAACCAGAAGCAUUCCCAAGUAGCUUCGUGUAGGGCGAGAAUUUCAGCAUGGUUAGACGAAGUGGCAACUAAGGUCUGUUUAGUUGACCUUUGUUGCUAAAAUUAGAUUAAUCGAAAUCAACCCAAUUAAGUCCAAAUUUUAAUGCUCACAAGUGUACAAAUUGUAGUAUAAUAUGGUAGGCAAGCACAAGAUUGUUCCAACUAAGAUUGAAUGUAAUUCUAACUAUCUAACUAAUUUAAGUUUCACUUGAAUUGGAAUAGAAAAAUUGAUGAUUUGAAUAAGAAUUUUGAAAUGGUGAUUGUAAAUAAAAUGAAAUGAACUUAGCUAAGUGAUGACAACAACAAAGUAAACAAAUUAUAAGUCAAUUGUUAAAAGCACUAGAGCAUCCGAUUCACCUUAAUUAAUCCUACUUAAUUCCAACAGUUAAUUAUUAACGAAUAAACAUCCAACUUGACGGUCUAGUUCCUCUAAUUCAUAUAGUAUCCAUGGCAUCUAGAUUACUACGUAUAAUAUGUGCUAAUAAUCUAUGGCAUCUAGACUACUAAACACACACAAAUUCAUUAAUAAUUUGGGAACUAACUAAAAGACCGCAUGAAACCUAGUGUAUGGCAUCUACAACAAGGAAUUCAUGGUACCAUCUGCAAGACGCUAAAACCAAAUUAAUAACAUGGCAUAUGCGUUAACUCGCAUCACAUACACUCGAUUCAAACCCAAGUGGUAGCUAAUCACAAGAAUUAAAAUCAAGUUCAUAAGCACAACAAAAUGAUACUCAAGGGAAUGCAAAUUCAUAAAUAAUUCAACUGAAAUAUUAAGCAAUCAUGGUUAGGCUACAUCAUAGCCCUAGCAAAAUGAAAUUAAUUCCAAAACAUAAUCGAAAGUGGUACUAAAUCCUUAAGAAAUAAGAAGAAAUUUAGUUUAGAAAAAACUUGAAAAAUCCCUUGCUUUGUUGCACCUCUCGUCUGCCUUCUUCCCUUAGUCCCUGUUUUUUUUUUCUUGCCUCUUCCAAUCAUGACCAGGUUGCCUCUUUGAUUCCUCCAAUCAGCUGUUUCUUUUUUGUAACCGUCGAGACGUUAACGCCCAUUUAUUGAUUAAAAAAAUAGCAGAUAAGAAGCGGAAAAGAAUUGAAUUCUUCACCAGCCACUUCGUACACUCAAGCACCCAUGUUGCCUCUUUUCACUCUCCGCUUGAUUGGUAACUGAUAUUUCAUCAUCCAAUUCCACUUCCAAUAAAUCUUGAACUAGCCAAACUGCCCACUGCAAGUGAACGGAAUGGGCAGCCAAAAUGUGAAAACUGAAUAUGCCCACACCAUUCGUCCACCGAUAACCCACAAACAAGAGAUUGAAAUAGAAAUUCGGUGUGUCGGUUCUGAUCUACUCAUUUCAUUCUCUCUUCCUCUUCUGCCAUGGUGUGUCGGUUGUAAGUCUAGGAAAAUGAGAUAAAAUAAUGCAAAUUCUUCUUUCUUUUGUGGGUUCGAGUUCAAGAAAAACCAGCCUGGUAGUCACGUGCAUAAAUUUGUUGCACUAAUAGGUUGACAAGUCAACUUCCUUUGCUUGCAAAAGGAUAGAAAUGCUGCUCCUUGUUGGACAAAAGGGCAAACCUGGAUAACAAGUUUAGCUUUUUAAUAAUUCCCAAGAUUAAAUUGGAGCCUAACAAGUCUUUUGUGUGAGCCAAUUAUAUAAUGGUUACUUUUUUAAACAAAAGAUAAAAGAAAGCAAGCCAGUUAUAUUGCAAUUCAGUCAUUUCUUUUCCCUACCCAUAAUGGUACAAAGACAUGUAAAUUCUUUCAUUUAAAUCCAACAGAUCAUAGGAAAAAUGUAAUUUGUCGGGCAAAAUAAGUAGUAUAAUUUGUGCUCACCAAAUACCCCCAAACUUACAAUUUGCUAGUCCCCGAGCAAAGAAAGAAAAACAUGAAAAAGUAAAAGCAUGGAAAAUGUUAGUUUCCCCCUAUGCAACCCUCAAAGAAAUCUAGUCAAGAUUUCAGAAUAAUCAAGAAUUUUCGUAAGCACAAAGCAAGUGAAUCAAGCAUAUUUCAAAUGUUAGCCGAAACCUUUCAAUCAUCCUUGAGUUGUAGUGCGUGUAAUAGCCAUGCCAAUGCAAUUCCAAGCUUCUUAAAUCAUCAUAUGCAAACAAAUGACCUUCUUACAAGACAUACACUCAUUCACACACAUUUCUGGGUUAUGUAUUUCACUCUAAUGAUCUCAUUAAAACAUGAUGUCAUAUGCUUGCUUAUCAACCUAACUCGGAAUCAAUUUCAAGUAAUUCCUUGGAUCAAAAGGUCUUUUGUCGGGUUGUAAUGGGGCUAAAGGUGAUAGGCUAAUGAAAGAAAAGAUGAGGAAUUCAAAAAGUGUGAGAAAGUAUACCGUAGAGGUCUUCCAACAUCAACAACACAACCUAAAGCACCAACUUCUUCCCCAUCACAAAUUCAACUGGGAAGUUACAUUUUACAUCAUAAUCUAACACUUCCAGGAUAAACAAUUUCAUACUCCUCACUUAUGAUAACAGUGAAUAUACAAAACACAUUUCCACAUCUGAGCAUUUAUUCAAUUUUUUUUUACACCAAUGAAUGAACUCAUACUACCCCCACAGAAAUAUCGAGCAACCGGCAGAUUUUUUGUAGCAGUUUCUGGCUAUUAAUGAUGCUCAAAUACACAAAGCUACAACACCCCUUGUUUUCGUAUUUCAAUGUAGUCACACUCUCCAUCCAGUUCUUCUAUGUAAACAAAAUCCCAAUUGCACGACCUCUGUAUUUUUCAAAACAAUAAAGGAUUGGUAUGUGCAUAAGAGCUCAACUCCAAUAUUGGAGAAUGGUAGGGAGAUAUGGCUAACAAAGAAAAGGAUCAAUUUAAGGCUCAAAGGGCUGCUAGGAUAAAAUUAACAUAUAAGGUAGGCAUGAAAGGCUCAAACGAUCCAAAAAUUGCCUAUAUCCUUUCCAAGUUAUUACAGGAAUUGAUGAAUGAAUUGAGAGGUAUAAAGCAAGUUCUAGAGAUACAUGUAAAAAAGAAAUCAAAGGCACAAGAAUAAAUGUGAUUGAUGCAUGGUUGUUCAAUCAUAUUAGGCUCAAAAGCUCACAAGGGUUGCAUUAGAUUGCUAAAUUUACAUAUGAAGCGCUAAGUCAUGCUCUAGUUUCACAUCAACAAGGCUAUGUGCAUUCGUGUUUCAAGGAUGAUCCAAUGUGUACAAAGCUAACAAAGGAAUAAGGAGUUUCACCUACAACAUGCUUACUACUUUCUCAAUCACCAUCGUUUGAAUUCAAUCCAAUCAUAUCAUUGAGUUGGGAAACUAACAAAAAUCUAAAACAAAAUAAUGAUUUUUGGAUUUUCAGAAUUUUUUUUUUUUUUUUUUUUUUUUUUGAAAAUUUUCUGAUGUUUAGGUUUUUUUUUAUUUUUUAUUUUUUUAGUACUAAGGAUAAAACUAAAAAAAAAAACUUCCAGUGCAACGCAUCAGGAAACAAACAUAAAACAUAACUAAAUGAAGCAACAUAAAUACAAAGCGUCAGUUCUUGUUCAAUUCAUAAUUUUCUUUUCAUACCCCCCAACUUAAAUUGGACAUUGUCCCCAAUGUUUAAAAACAUAAGAACUAAAGAAAAACAAAGACACUUCCCUGGUUUAUGCACCAAAUGGUAGCCAUUGUGUUCCAACUCUUAAAUGCAAUUUCCAAAAAAAUCACCACCGCAAACUUUGAUGUUUCACAGUCCUAACUUGUGUUGGAUGACAGCAACAUGAACCUACAAAAACAAAGAGUAAAAGGAAAGAAUGAGUAGCCGAGCAAGAGACAAAGCAAAAUUCAAAACUAAAUAAAAUGAUAGAAAAUAAAAGGAAACAGAGGAAAAAUAAAAGGAAAAUUUGGGUUGCCUCCCAAAAGUGCUAAAUUUAGAGUCUUUAGCCAGACUAUAGUGUUGCUCAGGCUCGAUCAAAUAAAGGGAUGUCAAUCUUCAUUGCAUCGAAGUUGACUUCCAAAUAAGGCUUCAAUCGUUGAUCGUUAACCUUGAAUGCAUUCCCGGUCUCCAGAUUUUGCACUUCAAUUGCACCAUGAGGAAAGACUUGUAAUACUAGAAAUGGGCCAUACCAACGUGAACGAAGCUUUCCAGGAAAAAGCUUCAAUCUAGAAUUGUACAUAAACAUUUUUUGACCAACAUAGAACUCUUUUUGCAGGAUGUUUUUAUCAUGCCAACGCUUGGUUCUUUCCUUGUAAAUUCGAGCAUUCUCAUAAGCCUCGUUUCUCAACUCCUCAAGCUCAUCUAAUUGAAAAGCCUUUUCUGUCCAGCAUCUUGAAUUUCGAAAUUAAGCUUCUUGAUUGCCCAAUAAGCCUUGUGCUCAAGUUCAAUUGGCAAGUGACAAGCUUUCCUAAAAACCAAUAUGUAUGGAGACAUCCCAAUGGGCAUUUUGUAAGCUGUUCUGUACACCCAUGGAGCAUCAUCUAAACGAAGAGACCAAUCUUUUCGUGAUGUAUUCGCCAACUUCUCCAUAAUUCGCUUAAUUUCUCUAUUUUACACCUCCACUUGGCCACUAGUUUGAGGAUGGUAUGGAGUAGCGACCUUAUGAGUGCUAUUAUACUUUUCCAAAAGAGCUUUAAACUGCUUGUUACAAAAAUGAGAACCUCCAUCAUUGAUAAUUGCUCUUGGUGUUCCAAACUGAGUGAAAAUGUUGGCCUUGAGAAACCGUAGAACAAUUCUAGCAUCAUUGGUUGGUGUGGCAAUGGGUUCCACCCAUUUGGAAACAUAGUCGAUAGCCACCAGAAUGUAUUUGUGUUGAUAUGAUGAAGGAAAAAGCCCCAUAAAGUCUAUGCCCCAUACAUCAAAAAGCUCAAUUAUCAAGAUGUUGUUCAACAACAUCUGAUUUCUAUGAGAGAUAUUACCAAGCCUUUGACAUCGAUCACAAGCAACAACAAAUGCAUGAGAAUCCUUGAACAAGGUUGUCCAAAAGAAUCCAGAUUGCAAAACUUUGGCAAUGGUUCAAAACACUUUGCUGCUCAUCUUCGGGAACACACCUACGAAUGAUUUAAUCUGGACAAUGCUUAAAAAUAAUGCUUCACUAUAGAGAAGAAUUUCUUCAUUUGUUGAGAAUUCAAAUCCUUCAGAACCACCCCAUUAGCCAAGUAAUUUACAAAGUUAGCAAACCAAGGGACUACACCAGGUUGGACAGCAAACAAUUGUUCAUCAGGAAAAGUUUAAGUGAAUGGAACAAUGACAUCAACAUCUUCUUCUUGCACUAUCCUGGAUAAAUGGUCUGCCACCACAUUUUCAGACCCUCUUUUAUCUCAAAUCUCGAGAUCAAAUUCUUGGAGAAGAAGUAACCAUCUAAUCAACCUUGGCUUUGCAUCUUUUUGGAUAUAAGAUAUUUCAAGGCAGCAUGGUUAGUGUACACAAUGACCUUUGAACAAAUAAGAUAGGACAAAAACUUGUCAAGUGCAAAUACUACAGCUAAUAACUUUUUUUUUCAGUGGUUGAAUAGUUCAACUAGGCAUCAUUUAGAGUGCAACUAGCAUAGUAAAUAAUAUGCGGUAAUUUUUCUUUUUGUUGUCCCAAAACUACUCCCACAACAUAGUCACUUGCAUCACACAUCAACUCAAAUGGAAGACUCCAAACGGGUGCUGUAAUAAUAGGAGCUGAUGUGAGAAGCUUCUUCAAAGUGUUAAAACUAGACAAAUACUCUAAAUUGAACUCAAAUGUGACAUCUUUUUGCAGUAGGUUGCUAAGAGGCUUGGCUAUUUUGGAGAAGUCUUUAAUAAAUCGCCGGUAGAACCCCGCAUGGCCAAGGAAACUUCGAAAUCUUUUAACUGAUGUAGGUGCUAUAAGCUUUUCAAUAAGCUCAGUUUUUGCUCGAUCAACCUCAAUGCCCAUGCUAGAAAUUUGAUGCCCCAAUACAAUGUCCUUUUGCACCAUGAAAUGACAUUUUUUCCAUUUUAACACUAAGUUCGUCUCUUAACACCGUUUCAGCAUAAGAGUCAAAUUAUGAAGACAAUCAUCAAAGGAAGAUCCAAAGACAGAAAAAUCAUCCAUGAAGACUUAGAUAAAUCUUUCAAUCAAGUCAGAAUAAAUACUCAUCAUACACCUUUGAAAAGUGGCAAGUGCGUUGCAAAGUCCGAAAAGCAUUCUUCGAUAAGCAAACAUCCCAAAUGGACAAGUGAACGUCGUUUUCUCCUGAUCUUUCAGCGCGAUGGCAAUCUCGUUAUAUACAGAAUAGCCAUCUAAGAAAUAGUAGUGUGAAUGGCCUACAAGUCUCUCCAACAUCUGAUCAAUGAAUAGCAUAGGGAAAUGAUCCUUGCGUGUGUCAUUGUUUAGCUUCCGGUAAUUUGUGCAAACUUGCUAAUCUAUUUUCGGUCUUAUGGGCACUAACUCAUUGUUGUCAUUUUUAACCCCAGUGAUUCCUUUCUUCUUUGGAACUACUUGAACCAGACUUACCCAUUUACUAUUGGAUAUUCGAAAGAUAACUCCCAUGUCUAAAAGCUUAAGAACUUAUGCUCGGACAACUUCCUUCAUAAGUGGGUUGAGUCUCGUUUGUGCCUCAAUGAUAGGCUUGCUGCCUUUUUAAGAAGAAUUCGAUGCAUACAUAAGGUUGGGCUAAUGCCUUUGAUGUCAGUUAUAGUCCAUCCCAAUGUUGUAAAGUAAUUUUUCUCUUUGAGAGAAGUUAACUUGGUUGCAAUAAUCAAUGGAAAUGACUCAAAAGCACCUAAAAAUGCAUACCUCAUAUGGGUAGGCAAUUGUUUCAAGUCUACCUUCGGUGCAACUUUAACAGAUGGAUAAAUUUUCACCGGGGCAGGUCCCAAAGCUUCGUAAUGGUGUCUCCAAUGCAGAUUGUGUGGAAGCGCAGAAUUGAGAAUAUUGACAAUUUUAAUAACUUCUUCCACUUCAACUCUAGGCAUGUAUGAAUGAAUUACACAAGCUUCGAGAUGUUCAGUUGGAUGUUCUGCUCGGAACUGCUCGCUCACAAUCUGAUUCAAGAUAUCAACACUAAAACAUUCUUCCUGCUCUCUUGGAUGCUUAAUAGCUUCAAAACUUUGAACACCACUUCUUUGUCUUCAACUCGCAAAUUAAGCAAACCACUUUUGACAUCAAUCAAUGUACCGGUAGUAGCUAAGAAUGGACGACCAAGUAUAAUUGGAAUCUCUCUAUCUUCUUCUAUAUCAAGAAUCAAGAAAUCCGCAGGUAAGAUUAACUGAUCAACUCGAACCAACACAUCUUCGACAAUGCGUCGUGGAUAAGUGAUAGAUUGAUCCGCUAGUUAUAUAGACAACAAUAGUAGAUUGCAUCUCGCCCAAACCUAGCUGUUUAAAAAUUGAAUAUGGCGUCAAGUUAAUACUAGCACCAAGAUCACAUAAAGCAUUUUCAAAAGAAGAUUUUCCAAUUGUGCAAGGAAUCGUAAAACUCCUUGGAUCGGUCAACUUCAGUGGCAACUUCUUUUGUAAAAUAUCGCUACACUCUUCUGAAAGCAUUACUUUUUCGUGCUCCAAAAGCCUCCUCUUGUUCUUGCAUGCAUCCUUUAAGAACUUUGCAUAACUGGGAAUUUGUUUCACUUCAUCAAGUAGAGGUAUGUUAAUGUUCACUUUUUUAAAUAACUCUAAAAUAUGAGAAAACUUUUGGUCUUUCUUAGCCUUAUGAAGUCGCUGAGGAUAUGGAAUGGGUGCAACAUUGGCCUACUCCAAAAUUGAAUCGCCUAGAUGUGUAGAAUUUGAUGUAUCAAAAACAAUAUUAGGCACUAGAGUGGCUAAAUUCAUAAAACUCUCAUUUUGUGCUUUGGUGACAACAUUCUCAGACUUUUCAACCAACGUCCCAUUUUCUUCACCAUUUGUCUCUACAGUUCUCCCACUUCUGAGUGUAAUAGCCUUUAAUUGCUCCAUAUUCCUUGGAUUAAUCUUAGUUUGACUGAGAAACUUACCCUUUCCCCUCUCAACCAUUGCAUGUGCAAUCUGCCCAACUUGAUCCUCUAGCUUGCGAAUAGAUGCUUGCUGAUUUUGUAGAGAAGUUUGAGUUGCUUGCAUGAAAUUAUUGGUGUUUUGAGAGAGAGUGUUGGUAGUUUGAGCCAAUUAAGCCAUCAUAUCUUCCAUUGAACUUUUCUUGGCUUCAUUGUUCUGGAACGGUGGAGGUGGGUUCAUUUGAUUUUGUUGAUUAUUCUUCCAAGAAAAAUUGGGAUGAUGAUGCCAACCAGGAUUAUACUUGUUAAAGAAUGGAUUAAACUGUUGGCGAUUGAACUUUCCAAUUUGAUUGGCUUGUUCUUCAAUGAACUCCGGAAAUGAACCCUUCAUAGGACAAUCCAUACUAGAAUGUGGACCUGCACAAAUUUCAGACAUAUUAGAAACCAUUUUUGAUUGAUUAGAAGACAUUAAAGCAUCAAAUUUCUUAUUUAAGUAGAAAUUUGGACAAGCAUAGCCGUAAAUGCAUCAAUCUCAUGUAUGCUAGCUUUCUUUGGUUGUUCUCUUUAUUCACCCCAAUUUUGAGAAUUGGCAGCCAAGCUAUUGAAAAGUGUAAAUGCCUUGUCAACAAUUUUAGCCAUUAUAGCACCCCCAUUGGUAGCAUCUAUCAUUCGCUUAUUGUCAGUGCUCAAACCUUGAUAGAAAGACUGAAGUUGCAACCAUUCUGGCAAACCAUGAUGUGGACAUUUUAGUAACAAGUCUUUGAAUCUCUCCCAACUCUCAUAGAAAGUAGUAAGAAAUAGAGAGGGAAGAAAAAUGUAAGAUUUAUGGGUUGGGGCAUCUGGUUAUUGUAGUAGUUGUUGUUGUAGUUUCUGAAAGAGAGAGAGAGAGAGAGAGAGAGAGGAAUUCAGACUUUUGUGUCAAAGCAUGGCUGGAAACUAGUUUGUUGGGUUCUUGACUUUGAGUUCUUCCAGAUUCCAUAAAACUUGAAAGCAUUAAAAUUUUUGGAAUAAAGAUAAAAGACCUUUGAAAUUUGCACUGCAUUGCACGCUCAAGACUUUGGAGUCUCCCAAGGAGUAUUAAAGUUGUUGGAGAAAAAAAAAGGGAUUUCAUUCUUUUAUAAAAAAAAAUAUAAAUAAUAAAUAUUUAUAUUUUUUAUUAAAAAUGGAAACGAGGCGGGUUCGGGUAUGGAUUCGGAGUGGAUACCCCCAUAAUCAUAACCGAACUUGAAACCGACCAAUUUACCCAACGGUUACCCAUAACUGUAAAGAACCCGAAAUUUGAUCCUCGAAACCGAACUGUUUGGAUCAGUUACCUGUGGGGAUCGGGUUUGACGGAAGUGAAUGGAGCCAAUUCUUCGCCUUAUCUUUUAGGGAAAAUGAGAACAUGUGUAAUCUGAUAGCCUCACUUGGCACAUGAUGAAUCUUGAGAGUGUCAUAUGUCUCGAGGAACUCAUUGAUAUGCAAGUGAGGAUCUUCAGUAGUCGAGCCAUAAAAUGAUGGCAUCAUUUGAAUGAAAGACAACUUCAAUUCGAAGUUAUUGGCAGCAACUUCCGGUCGAACGAUGCAUGAUGGUGAGGUUGUCACAGUAGGAGUGGAAUACUCCAUCAACAUUCGCUUCUUGUGCGGAUUAGGGAGAGCCAUUUCAUCAGUCGGUUCUUGCUUAGUUUGCUCUCUUUGUAGGUGAUGGAAAAUCCUUUCAAUCUCUGGAUCAAAUGGUACAAGCUCUAUACUCCGAGAACGGCAACCGUGCAUGAACUUCAAAACAUACCUAAAAGCAAAAGAAAACAAAAACAAAAAUUAAAAUCACACAAAUAACAAUAAAAAUAAGUUAGAAAUAGAACUAACUCAAUCUUCGUCGACGGCGCCAAAAACUUGUUGCUAAAAUUAGACUAAUUGACAUCAACCCAAUUAAAUCCAAAUUUUAAUGCUCGCAAGUGUACGAAUCGUAGUAUAAUAUAGUAGGCAAGCACAAGAUCAUUCCAACUAAGAUUGAAUGUAAUUCUAACUAUCUAACUAAAUUUAAGUUUCACUUGAAUUGGGAUAGAAAAAUUGAUGAUUUGAAUAAGAAUUUGAAAUGUUUAUUGUACAUAAAAUGAAAUGAACUUAGCUAAGUGAUGACAACGACAAAGUAAACAAAUUAUAAUUCAAUUGUGUAAAACACUGGAGCAUCCGAUUCACCAUAAUCAAUCCUACCUAAUUCCAACAGUUAAUUAUUAACGAAUAAAAUUCCAACUUGACGUCUAGUUCCUCUAAUUCAUAUAGUAUCCAUGGCAUCUAGAUUACUACAUACACUCAUAUGUGCUAAUAAUCUAUGGCAUCUAGACUACUAAAAACACACAAGUUCAUUAAUAAUUUGGGAACUAACUAAAAGACUGCAUGAAACCUAGUGUAUGGCAUCUACAAGGAAUUCAUGGUACCAUUUGCAAGAUGUUAAAACCGAAUUAACAAAAUGGCAUAUGUGUUAACUCGCAUCACAUACACUCAAUUCAAACCCAAGUGGUAGCUAAUCACAAGAAUUAAAAUCAAGUUCAUAAGCACAACCAAAUGGUACUCAAGGGAAUGCAAAUUCAUAAAUAAUUAAACUAAAAUAUUAAGCAAUCUGGUUAGGCUACAUCGUAGCCCUAGCAAAGUGAAAUUAGUUCCAAAACAUAAUCAAUAUUGGUACUAAAUCCUUAAGAAAUAAGAAGAAAAUUUAGUUUAGAAAAAGCCUGAAAAAUCCCCUGCUUGCCGCACCUCUCGUCUGCCUUCUUCCCUUACUCCUUGUUUUUUUUUUCUUGCCUCUUCCAAUCAUGGCCAGGCUGCCUCUUUGAUUCCUCCAAUCAGCCGUUUCUUUUUCGUAACCUUCGAGACCUUAACGUCCAUUUAUUGAUAAAAAAUAGCAGAUAAAAAGCAGAAAAGAAUUGAAUUCUUCACCAACCACUUCAUACACUCAAGCACCCAUGUUGCCUCUUUCACUCUCCGCUUGAUUGGUAAUUGAUAUUUCAUCUUCCAAUUCCACUUCCAACAAAUCUUGAAGUAACCAAACUGCCCACUACAAAAAUAUGAAAACUGAGUAUGCCCAUACCAUUCGUCCACCGUUAACCCACAAAUAAGAGAUUGAAACAGAAAUUCGAUGUGUCGGUUGUGAUCUACUCAUUUCAUUCUCUCUUUAUCUGCUGCCAUGGUGUGUCAGUUGUGAGUCUAGGAAAAUGAGAUAAAACAAUGCAAAUUCUUCUUUCUUUUGUGGGUUCGAGUUCAAGAAAAACUAGCCUGGUAGUCACGUGCCCAAAUUUGUUGCACUAAUAGGUUGACAAAUCAACCUCCUUUGCUUGCAAAAGGAUAGAAAUGCUGCUCCUUGUUGGACAAAAAGGUAAACCUGGAUAAAGUUUAAGUGAGAACAAGUUUAGCUUUUUAAUAAUUCCCAAGAUUAAAAUGGAGCCUAACAAGUCUUUUGUGUGAGCUAAUUAUACAAUGGUUACUUUUUUUUAAACAAAAGAUAAAAGAAAGCAAGCCAAUUAUAUUGCAAUUCAGUCAUGUCUUUUCCCUAGCCAUAAUAGUACAAAGAUAUGUAAAUUCUUUUAUUUAAAUCCAAAUAUCAUAGGAAAAAUGUAAUUUUUCGGGCAAAAUAAGUAGUAUAAUUUGUGCUCAUCAACCUUCAAGAGAUUGCGAUACCUCCAACGGUAAAGACCUAACCCGUUUGAGAACACACCUUGUGCGGAUCAGAUAAGUAUCUUGCGUCAGUAUAACCAACAAGGCGAGAAUUGACUCGAGAUAAGGGGGUGCGGCAUCACUCGAGGAUUCGUAGGGAUAGAACAAGCUUAAAUCCAUGGUACCCUUAAGGUAACGGAAGAUGUCUUUAACACCAGUCCAGUGUUUGCGUGUUGGUGCAUUACUGUAUUUUGCCAAAAGAUUAACAGCGAAGAAGAUGUCAGAUCUAGUGCAUUGAACUAAGUUGUGAAAACCAGUAUUUAAAAAAAAAUGUAUAUUUACUAUAAUUAAUUUUUUUUAAAUAAUAGUAUAUUAGUGGGUUUUUGUUACAUGUGUUGUUUUUAUUUUAACUCGUUAGACUCACUAGAUCCCACCCAUUCAUUUUUACUAUACCACCUGUCAGUCUACCUCAAGCAUUCCUACGAAUGCAACACCUGCUCUUCUCACUUCAUGCAAACUGACAGCACCACCUUCCAUUUCAUUCUUCUCAUUACUUUAGCAAUCAUUACGAGUGCUUACUGUGCACUCUAUUGUGAUGAUCGUAUGCAGCUAUUAACUUAUACGUGUUUCAUGCUUAAUCCCUGCAUUUGACACCUGCACCUACAAUUUGAUGACUCUUAUAAUUGGUAACCCAUUGUUCAUGACACCUCCAACUUAAGUGGAACAUGUCUUGCAUGUAGCUGUCAAUAUCCUAGAUGAUUUCUUACAUUCUAUUGCCACCACUUCAUUGAAAGGCUUAGUCACGCAUUUAACAUUAAUAAUAGCCGACUCCAAUCCCCUAUAAAUAAGAGCAAGGGCUCCAUUCUUUUGAAACCACAGAAGCAUGCAAUGCCUGCAUUGCGUAGAGAUAAUGUAUAUAUAGUAUAUAUCUAUGUGUAUAUAUAUGUAUAUACGUGUGUGUGUGUGCAUGUGUAUUAUAUGUUUAGAGAAGAGAGAUUAGAAAAGAAAAUAGAGUGAAAGAAAUACAUGGCAUUAGGAGUGAUCAAGGAGUUUGCUUAAGUACGUGGAGUCUAGCUACUGCAGUAGUGACAUGGAUCUUCGUUUUAGCUUUGGAUUUGAGGUAGGGGUUUCUUGGGGAACUUAUCACCAUUGGGGUAUUUGUCUUGUUUAAGCUUGGUGAAAUAUGUGUUAUACUUAAUAUAUCUCUAUAAUUGAUAUAAUUAUGUAUUUUGAAAUAUGAUUUAUAUUAUUGUUGAUAAUGUGGAUAUUGUGAUGAUGAUGGUGAUUAUGUGCAUAUGUCAUUGCAUAUUGAAGGGGAUGGAUUUUAUUGGUUUCGAGAUUGGGAUAUGGAAAUGGAAAUAUUCUUUUGUGCGGUUGAGUUCGACUCUCGUAGGGACCAGCAAGGUUGGCAAAAGUGAAAUAAUAGGAAUGGUAUGAAGUAGUGGGGAUUCUGGCGACUGAGAGAAGAACAAGAUGACAACAAAAAUGGGAAAUUUUGGGAUGAUUAAGUUAUGAGGGUUAGUUUAUAUAAUAGAGCAUUAGGACCAUCGCUGCAGUGGUAAAAUGCAUGGUAUGGGACAUGCAGGUCCACGUGUUUUAUUAUAUAAAUUAAUAGAUUGGGUAAUUGAAGUUAAGUUGCAUUUAUGGAAUAUAAUAUAUAUUUGAUAACAUGAUAUAAUUUAUUUAUAUGAGCAUGACACUUGGCUUAGGGCUGGUUUGGUAUUGCUGUGCUUUGAAAAAAAGCUGCUGUGAGAAUAAGCGGCUGUGCUGUGAGAAUAAGCGGCUAUGAAAAAAAUUAGCAGAGUGUUUGGUAAACUUUUUUGUAAAAGUGCUUUUGAAAAAAAAAACAGUCUGAUAGUGGGUCUUUUCAUUAAAGGAGCACUGUAGCUCUGUGUGCUUUGAAAAAAAGCCAAUUUUCCAAAGCUACAAAUAGCAGCUUCAGCUUUUUCCUUUGAUUUCAGCUUAUUCUCACAGCAGCUUCCAAAAUAAGCCUUUUUUUUUUUCAAUUUACCAAACACCUAAAACCCUCACAGCUUUUUUUCAUGGGUGUUUUUUUUUAAGCACCUCACUCCCAAACCACCUCUUAGCUUUGAUAAUUACCCUUGAUAAGACUUAUAUCCCUACUGAGCUGUGAUUUUGCUCACCCUAUACAUUUUAGACCUUGCAGGUUCGGUACAAGAUUAACAAAUGAUAGACGAGUUGAGGUUGUGUUAGACGAGAGAUCUAAGAGUUUUAAUUUAUUAUUUUUGUACACUCUGUAAGGAUUUUGGAGUUAUUUUUAUAACAGAAGUUUAGUUUUUUUUCAUUUUUAUUUUUACUUUUACUCACAUGCUGGGUGCGGGGUUUAUUUUUUCACCGACCUUGAGUCCGGGGCAUGACAGAAGUACAAUAAAGCGCUUAUCACACUUAGAUAAGGAACUUCAGUCCAAAAUCUCUUCAUCAUCCUCUUUCGGAUGGAAGGGAUCUCGUUUUGCAUGUAGCGAUCAAACGACCAUAGGAGUAUACGAAGGCUUCACCUUAUCAUCGUUAAAGCAGCGCAACACCUUCUGGUUGUAGUUCGAUUGAUGUACUAAGUCUUUCAUAGACCUUUCAUCUCAAAUUCCGACUUCAGAUGCAUGGUAGUUCUCACGAGCUCUUCAAGAGUUCCGAUGAGAUUCAUGUCAUCUACAUAUACUACAACAAUCGCAAAACUAGAAUGUGACUUCUUAAUGAACACGCAAAGGCAUAGUUCGUUGUUUUUAUAUCCCUAACUAGUCAAAUACUCACUCAAACGGUUAUACUACAUUCUUCCGGAUUGCUUCAAACCGUAGAGUGAAUGCCUCAGCAGAAUUAAAAACGUGUUCCGGGGUUUGGAAAUAUUUGAUCCAGUUAAUGUAAGUCUUUCGGGAACUUUCAUAUAAAUUUUUGUAUCAAGAUCCCAAUAGAGAUAUGCAAUUACUACGUCCAUCAACUGCAUGUGGAGUUACAGGUUGUGAGAAGCCUUGCGCAACAAAAUGAGCUUUGUAACACACAAUUUCAUUCUUCUCAUUACGCUUCUGAACGACAACCCACUUUUAGCCAACGAGCUUCACAUGUGGAGUUACAGGUUCAAGCACCUUACAUUUUGCAAGCGAAUCGAGUUUGACUUGGAUUGCUUGUUUCCAAUUUAACCAAUCAAUUCUACGUCGACAUUCAUCAAUGAAAGGGGGUUCAAUGUCAUCGCUCAUCAUGAUCUCAGUAGCUACUGCAUAUACUAAUGCAUCGUUGAUGAUCAUUUCAUUUCUACACCAAACAUCAUCCAAGCUAACAUAAUGGACUAAAAUCUCGCGAUUCUAGAGAGGUGGAUUCGUCUCUUCAAGGACGGUUCCGUAAUCUAGAAUUUCCUCAUGAGUUGGAUAGAAUAAGUAGGCGACAGUGGAUUCACGGAAGGCUCUUUAGGGCCCUGUGUCAUGGGUUUCCUCUUCUAGGGGUGUGAAUCCUUUGAACUAAGUGGUCUGCUACGCUUGUGUGUGGGGCAAAUAAUUGGCUAGCACUAAUGUACGUUGAUCGGCCAAAGUGGCAUCCUAGUCCUCUAGGAAGGAAGUCCAUUAUACAUUUGGUACAUCUAUCUUUGUAGGCACAUUCGCAACUGGAAUAUGUGAUCUUGUCACUCACGCUAGAUCGAUGAAAGGAUUUGGCAUGCUCUGAGCUACACUCUAAAGGUAUAAUAUGCACGGCACUUCACUCUCAAACUGAGCGAUGCGAGGAUCCAAAUGAGACAAAGUGGGAGUCGUCCACAAUAAUUUGCGUCCCUCUUUAGGAACGUCAACAUUUUUAUCUCCCCCUAACGACGGGAAGAUUAUCUCAUAGAAGUGACAAUCCACGAAAUAAGCGGUAAACAGAUCGCUUGUCAAAGUUUCUAAGUAACAAAUGAUUGAAGGAGAAUCAUAUUUGACAUAGAUUCCCAUUUUUCGUUCAGGCCCCAUUUUUGUACGUAAGGGCGGCGAAAUCGGCACAUAAAUCACACAACCAAAAAUGCGUAGAUGUGAUAUGUCGGGUUCGUAUCUAGUAACCAACUGAAAUGGGCUAUAUGGUUGGGUUGUAACAAGCCUCAGGCGGACCAACAUGGUUGCGUGUAAUAUUGCAUGGCCCCAAGCAGUGAUUGAGAGCUUGGUAUUUAUGACCAACGAUCAAGCAAUCAUUUGCUGCCUCUGCCAGGUCGUUUUGGGUGUGAACAUGGGGUAUUGGAUGUUCAAAUUUAACCACAACUGACAUGCAAUAGUCAUCAAACAUUUUAGAUGUGAAUUCUUUAGCAUUUUCCAAUUAAAUAGAUUUGAUCGGAUAAUCAGGAUGGUGAGCCCUGAGCUUGAUAACUUGAGCCAACAGUUUAGAGAAUGUAGUGUUCCUUGUGGACAAUAAGCACACAUGUGACCAAUGUAUGGAAGCGUCAACCAAAACCAUAAAAUAUCUAAAUGUUUCGCAGGGAGGGUGAAUCAAUCCACAAAUGUCCCCCUGAAUCAUUUGUAAAAAUAUAGGAGGAUUCGAACGAGUCUUGUCAUAAGAAGGCUAAAUAAUAAGCUUUCCCAUGGAGCAGGUUUGACAUGUGAUUCCUUGAAUCAAACCUAAACUUUGGGUUAAUGGAUGCCCUUGUGAUGAUUUAAAGAUACGGCGCAUCGCUGUUCGUCUAGGAUGUCCCAAACGAUCAUGCUAAAGUGUAAUUUCGUGAGCAGUCCUAAAGGUAAGGCCGGUCAUAUAGUGUCUUUCUAUAGGGCGUAUGGUUAGAGUAUACAAACCACUCGUAGUACGCUCUAUCUUCUCUAGAAUACGCUUCUAGCCAUAUUCGUAAGAAGUGAUGCACAGAAAUUCAACUCCGUUUUCUACAUAGGUUUCAGCUUGGUAAUUAUUAUCUCUAAAAUCCUUGAAACUCAACAACAUUCUUCCGGAAUGCAAAGAAUAAAGUGCCUCAUCAACGGUCAAGAUUUUACCAAUGGACAACAUUAUACGUGCCUUACCGUAUCAUUUGAUCAGGUUGGAUGGGUCUGAGAGAGUUGUCAUAGGUGCAUUCUUAGGUAUGAAGUUAGUGAAAUAGAUGUGUUCACGCAAAACGAUGUAUGUGGUUGCACUAUUUGCCAGACAACUAACUGUCCCAUUAGUCAUACCUAGAAAUACAAAUUAAUUUGAAUCGGUCACAUGCAUAAAAAUUCUAAAAACAAAUAUCCAUUCCAAAUAAUUUAAGUAUUCAAGGAUGGUAAUUAAUAAAAACUUAAUAUCCAAAAAACAAAUCACCAACAAAUAAUCCAACAUAAAGGAAAUUGUUCAAAAUUAAACAAAAAACAAGGGGGGGUUCAGCCACUAGGUGGAAUUCGGCCCCCAUGGUUCUAAAUUCAACUAAAAAAUAGCUCAAGUCUAAUAUUCUAAUCUUCCAUAGGGUUGGUAUCCAUCAUCCUGAAAGUCAGAAACCUCCAUCUUGGUACUCUUCAGUUCUUCCACUUGCACAAAGUUUGAUUUAAACUUCUUACUACGAGAAUGAUAUUCAACUACCACUUUUUGGGGAGCUCGGCAAACACAAGACCAAUGGUCCUUUGAACCAUAGCGAUAACACAUAUCUACAUCUAUGGUUUCAGGUGCUUUGCCCUUAUUCUUGAAGUUUGGGGCCUUGGGAGCGAUGUUAGGGCGCUUCUGGGCUCGAUUUCUUCCCUUAGGUGGGCCUUGGUUUUGUUGACCUUUACAGGGUGGCUUCUGGCCGCCCUUACCAUGCCUAUGUUAGUGUUUUGGGCGUUGGUUUGUGCUACAAUGUACUUCAUGCACAACAAUCGUCCCAGUAGGUCGAGCUUGAAAAUUUUUCAUUAACAGCUAAUUCUGCUUUUCAGCAAUAAGUAAAACAGAGAUCGUCUAAAAACUUAGUGAACUUCUAAGCCCUAUAUUGUUGCUGCAUGAGAACAUUAGUAGCAGAGCCGGUCGAAUAGGUCUUCUCCAGGAGAUCCUCUUCAGUCAAGUUCUCGUUAUAGAACUUGAGAAGUGAUCGGAUUCAAGAAACUUCAUAAUUAUAUUCAUUCACAGACUUAAAGUCUUUGAAGUGCAAAUGUUGCUAGUCAUAUCUUGCUUCAGGCAAGAAGAUGUCCUUUUAGUGAUCAAAACGAUCAACCAAAACGACCCAAAGUACCUAUGGAUCUUCCUUAGCAAGGUACUCGGUUUAUAGUGUAUCAUGAAUGCGUCUUUGAAUGAAGAUCAUGGCAGUGGCUUUCUCAGCUUUCGUCAGUCGGGUUGUUCGUCUCAUCUUCAAUGGCAGCACGUAAAUUCUUUGCAGUGAGGUGGAACUUCACAUCUUGGACCCACUUGAGGUAGUUUCUUCCAGAAACCUCCAAAGCGGUGAAGUCAAGUUUGUUCAAAUUUGACAUGUUCCUAUCACAAAAUAAAUGGACAAGAUGUGGUUAGUGUAAUGGAGAAAAAAUGAAUCCAUUCACAUAGGAGUAGAACAUUCAAGUUCUAAUAGACAUGUAUUGGUUUAAAUGGACAAGAUGUGGUUAGUGUAAUGGAGAAAAAAUCAAUCCAUUCACAUAGGAGUAGAACAUUCAGGUUCUAAUAGACAUGUAUUGGUUUAAAUUUACAAGAAAAAAAAAAACUUCCGGUUUUUCAUGGGUGAUGUUUUGAAGGAAAAUUUCAAGUUUUCAAACAAGGCAUACUUCUAGAAACUUCAGGUUUUGAAAUAAUUAUGAACUUCAGGUUCAUAUGUUCCUGCAGACAAACAUAAAUAUAUAUAUAGAAAUAUGCAACAAGAAAAUAUGUAAAUAGAUCUUCAAGUCUUGAUAAUAAUUGAAUUAAUUAUUUGGACUUCAAGCCAAAAUUAAAUUUUGGGUGAAAAAAUUAUAAAAUCCAUAAGGCCUAAAAAAAUAGGCAUUUAAACUUAGAGCCCAAAAUAAUGGGCCAAAGCUGACGGGUGGGCUAAGUAAUUUAAAAUGUGCGGCCCAGGCCCAAAAAUUAGGCUGGGUUGGGCUCGGCAAGAAUGUAUGCCCAAGACAAAUAGGCACGGAUCCGCUGCUUCACAGCGUAUGUGUUCCCCAGAGGCGCGAUUGAGUGCGUUGUAGGCCAGGUGCAUUGAAUCACCAGUUACGAGCUGUGAUGUGGUGCGGUUGGGUGCAGGGAACCUGUAGAGCUCUACAGGGGCUGGGUUCUACUGCGAUGGGGACAUAGAGACACUAAAGCGCAAUUGGGUUGGUGUCAUUUACCGGCCGCGCUUUGAGUAAAAAGCCCAUAUGCACAAACGUUGGCUGCAAAUGCAAGCCCAAAUGGAUAUAUCCUAAAUAAGGGCGCCACUUGUGUGCAAUUUAGACACGGAUACACCAGCACAGCCGUUGGGAUCUAGUACGGUGGGAACACCGUGGCCAAUAGGCAGGUGUUAGGCCGAGAGAAGCAUCAAAGCCCAAGGGCUGAUGUUUGCUGAAAUAUAGGCCAAGCCCAAUUAGGCUUAGGUUUUUUUAUCCAAACACCGUAGCGUGAGCUAGGUGAGCUCGCCAGAGAAGAAAACCGGCACCACUGCUUUAGGCAGCUGUGUCGUGGUGCAAACAAUCAUGGUCAAGGCCGUGGGUUCAACGACAAUCCAAAAAUUUGAAUAGAAGGUAAAACUCUCAACGUUGUUUUUCGAAACCCUAAAAAUUAAAUCAAGAUUUCGAAAGAAAAACCGAUGAGAUUCAAAUGAAUCUCAUUCGAGACUCGUUGAUGAUAACUUCUGGUUGUCUGGGAGGGUAGCCGUGGUGGCUAGGCAUGGUUGCAGACCAUGCUAUUCGAUGGUGCAAGAGAUGCGAUGUCGUCUAGGAAUUGGGUUUAGGGUUUAGGCCUGGAGUCGUGGCUCCAAGAUUGGGUUUCUCAGCUCAGGGAAAGGGAUGACCCGUGCGAAAUGGUUGGGUUUCAACAAAACCCUAAAAAAAAAAUUAAUUCAAUUCCAGAUUAUAAAAUUAAUGAAAUUUGAUGCAUAUUCAAUACAUAAUUUAAUGCAUGGACAGAUAUAUAAUGCAAUUCAUGGCAAUAUUAAUUCACAUAAUUCAACAAUUACGGAUAUAAUGCAUACACAAUUUAUGUAGAAUCUAAAAUUCGAAAAACGUAAAGUUGGGUCAUGCAUUAUGGUGAAUGUUGAUGCUAUUAGAGCUGCAAAAACAUUGAGAUAAAAACCAUUGUUUUGAAAGAACAUGACUGCGUGAUGAUAUUGAUGAACUGGUUUGAUGCAGAAAACUUCCACAUCAGAUUCCUAAGUGUAGCAGUAGGAGCGUGCUGAUAAUGUGUUGUGGCCUAUAUUUAAUUGACAAGGAAAGAGGGAUGUUGGCAUAGAGAAAAUAUAUAAAGAGAGAGAGAGAUGUGUUUGUAGGGUUGUAUAGAGGAUGUGUUAUUCUCCCUACACAGUGCCUUCUCCUCCAAAGAAUACAAGUCCUAAUAGGGAAGAAUAACUAGAAUAAAAUCUAAUAUAGGAUUUACACAAUCGCACUUAAAUAAGAAGUUUAUAACACUUUGAUCUUUCUCUUUCACAGUGCAACCACAAGUAGGACUCCAUGUCUCCAAAGCUAUUAUUCUAUUCAAUUGUAAAAUCUAUCUUAUUCUCUAUAACUUUUUAUUGUUUAUUCUCUAUCUUACCACUUACUUAAGUGUUAGUGUUUAGAAUUUUUUAUUGAUUCUUCCUAUUAAAUUUAAUAGUAUACAUGAUAAGGUUAUUAUGCAACGAUUAAUAUUAUACAUGCUUAUAAGUACUUUUAAAAUGAAUGAAAGAACUUUUAGUGAAAGUGUUUUUGGGUUCCAAAAACAUUGUAACUAAAUUUUGGAAGAAUCACUAAUUAUGUACUCCUUUCAAGAAACACUUCAAAUUCUUUGUUUCAUGAUUCACUUCCAUUUUAAUUAAGGAUUUGUUCAAAAAAUACUUUUAUUAAAAGCACCUGCAAUCAUUUUCAAAGCAUUUUUAAACACACCAUUAUUUAUUAUUAUGCUAUUAUGAUGCUUUGGUAAGUAGUUUUAUAAUUGAUAUCCGCCAACUUUUUUACCUUUGUGAAAUGCCUCUUGUUACAUGAAAUUCUGGCUCCACCACUAUUCAAGAGGAAUAGAACGAUCACAAAUGAGUUCUGGAUACAUAUGCAUGGAAGUUUCUUUCACAAAUAAGGAAGACGUCACCCGCAACAAAAUUCGUUUAACUAAAACUAUGAUUUAGCUUUAGCACAUGGACAAAUACUGUACUUAUAUAUUCAAAACGCGUGCAUGUUUAUUUGACUGUGAAGCAAGAAGCCGGCUGGAAGUUGAUGCAGAGCUUCCAAAGUCUUUCCUUUUGAAGUUGACACGCUUUUAAACGUGCUCAAUCAUUCACGCAACUUGCUUGCAGUCGACCUCUUUUUAAUUAACUAUUUAACACAAAGCUUGCAAUGCAGUCAAUCCAACCAACUAGCUAAUUUAAAAUAUUAAUACAACAACAAAGUUAUCUGAUCCUGUAUUUUAGAAAUAUAUGUUUAUUAUUAUUAUGGGUAAAUUACAUAGUAACCCCUCAUGUUUGAGGUCUAUUACAACCACAUACAACUUCUUUAAAACAUUUCACUUUCAUAACUCAAGUACUAUUUUAUUUCAAUUUCAUACAUCUGUUAUAUUUUCCUUCCAUUAAUCUGUUAAGUGCUGAUGUGGCUGCCAACGUGGCACACUAUGUGGCAAAAAUAAUAAUUUUUUAAUUAAAAAAACUUAAAUUUUCUAUAUAUUUAUAUUAAAAUUAAAAAAAAAUUAAAAAAAAAACCCCAAAACAAAAACCCAAAUCUAUCCCUCAAAUCCCCGUAACCCCAUAUCCCCCAAAACACAUAUUCCUGGUGCGACGCUCGUCACCACAGCCCCUCCUGGGACGCGAUGUAGGUCAACCCAGAACCCCCCUCCCUUCCCGCAAUGCAAGUCACCCAGAACCCGACCUCAUCCCUUCUCUCAUCUGCAACCUCACCACCCACCCUUUUCUCCUCUCUACACACCCCCCACUCUCCUCUAAACACCCCCCACUCCAUAAAUCCACACCUGUUCCACGAACCCGACGAUGGCGAGACGGGAUCUGGGUUUUUUUUUUGUUUUUUUUUUCUGGGUUGCAGGUAAGGGGUCGGGGGAAGAAGAUGAAGAUGGGGGAGAAGAAAGGGGAAGAGGCGGGCUAGAAAGACGAACUAAAGGGGGUUUUUUUUCUUCUCUUUCUGGGUUGCAGGGAAAAAGAUGAAGUGGGGGAGAGGUUUGGGGGUUGUGGGGAGAAGAGAGGAGGAUGAGGGGAAUAAGGUUUUAGUUUUUCUUUUUUAUUUUUUUCAUAUUUAGAAGAUUUAGUUUUUUAAAAAAAAUAAAAAAAAAUUAUUUUUGCCAUGUGGGACACAUUUGGCAACCACGUUAGCACUUAACAGAUUAAUGGAUGGAAAAUGUAACGGAUGUAUGAAAUUGAAAUAAAAUAGUACUUAAGGUAUGAAAGUGAAAUGUUUUAAAGAUGUUGUAUGGGGUUGUAUUAGACCUCAAAUCUGAGGGGUUACUAUGUAAUUUACCCUAUUAUUAUUAUUAUUAUUAUUUUAUAUACAUAUAUUUCUAUUUUAGUUUAAAGAGUUCAAUUGAAACUCAAUUUUAUGUACAAAUCCGAUAUACCAUUAUUCUCAGCUCAUUCAAAUAGAUACCUUUCUACCAUUCUCAAUUACCUUCUUCUUGGCUCUAGAAUUGAUGACUAGAUUGCAACGUACCUAAUUUGUAUGAGAAGUGCUGACAGAGCACUCUAUUAUGCAUACUAAUUGAAGCUAUCAGUUGAACAUGACAUGCAUAUUAGCUAUGCAUUUGACACCUUGUACAUACAAUGCUUUAGUCAUCUUUGGCCGCAAAACCAUCUAGUUGGAAGCAAGUUUGACACCGCCUAUUUCUACUAUAAAUAGAGGUUGCAUUGCAUUCUUUCAUUCACCAUUUUAGGAAACAUAUGUUGGUUAAUGAGAAGCCAUGCAUGUCUGCAUGCAUGGUCCUUGUAUAAGUAUAUGUGUGCCUCAUCCCAGUCUCGACUCCAUCGUAGCACGAUAUUGUUCACUUUGGGCUUACCAUUCCCUUACGGUUUUGUUUCUAAGAACUCAAACGAGAACUUCUCAGUGGGUCACCCAUCCUAGGAUUGCACUUAACUUCGGAGUUCCAAUAGAAUCCGAAGCUAGCGAGUUCUUCUCGUUCUUAGAGUAAAUCAAAAUGUCAUCAAUGAAGACGAUUACAAACCUGUCUAGGUACGGACGAAAUACCCAAUUCAUCAGGUCCAUAAAGGCUGUCGAAACAUUAGUCAUCUUGAAAGGCAUCACAAGGCCUUUUAGGAAUUCACUAGCUUUGAAUUCCAUCGGAACUCCGAAGUUAAGCGAGUUCGGGCGAAAGCAAUCUUAGGAUGGGUGACCUACUAGGAAGUUCUCGUUUGAGUUCCCAGAAACAAAUCUGUGAGGGAAUGGUAAGCCUAAAAUAGACAAUAUCAUACUACGGUGGAGUCGAGUCUGAGAUGUGACAAUUUGGUAUCAGAGCCACUCUACCGUUCGAUGUGGAUGUGCCGGCGAAGACGCCAGGUUCCCCUUAAGUGGGGUGGAUUGUGAGAUCCAACAUCGAUCAACGAAGAGGGGGUAAUGUGUCUUAUACGUGCAUGCUCCCCUCCCUAUAGCACAAGGCCUUUUAGGAACUCACUGGCUUUGGAUUCCAUCAGAAUUCUGAAGUUAAACGAGUUCAGGCAAGAGCAAUCCUAGGAUGGGUGACCCACUGGGAAGUUCUUGUCUGAGUUCCCAUAAACAAAUCCGUGAGGGAAUGGUAAACCCAAAGCGGAUAAUAUCGUGAUACAGCGGAGUCGAGUAUGGGAUGUGACAGUGUGUGUAUAUAUUACGUUAUAUAUAUAUAUAUAUGUAUAUGUAUGCAUGUGUAUAUGUUAGAGAGAGAUAUUAGAAAAGAAAAUAGAGUGGAAGAAAUACAUGACAUUAAGAGUGAUCAAGGAGCUUGCUCAAGUACGUGGAGCUUAGCUAUUUCGGUAGUGACAUGAAUAAGUAAGUGGAACUUAACUAUUUUGGUAGUGACGUGGAUAAGUAUGUGGAGCUUAGCUAUUCUAGUAGUUACGUGGAUCUUUGUUUUAGCUUUGGAAUUUAGGUAGGGGAAAUACAGCAGACGUUUACGGAAAUUGAUUUUAUUAAAUUUUGUAAAGCACUAUAAUAUUCUUGAUCUUUUUGGUUGAUUAAUGUGGUUGGAUAUUAAUUGGCUAAUUACUUCAGUUAAGUGUUUACUUGUUAUUGGUUAUGAAAUUAUUGCUGGAAUGUUAUUCGUUGAGAACAUACUGUGAUACGUGUGAAAGAUGAAAUGACAUUAUUUGUGCAUCACUCAUGUUGUGAGAUGUGGUUGGAACUUCAGUGUUGAGAUUGGAAUUCGGAAAACGAAGGUAGGUCGAAAGGAUAUUUUGUGUAGUUAAGUCUAUUCAUUAUGAAACUAGUUCCAGGCAAGCCUAGUGUGCACAUUAGAAUAGGAUAUCGAUGGGAUAAAUUAUCGAUGUGCGUGAUUUGGGUUGGAGAUCAAUGAAUUAGAUAAGGUAACUAGCUAAAGGGGUUUAUGAAGUUGGGAUAUCUUAUGAGGGUUAGUUUGUAUAAUAAAACAUUCAAACCACCACUGCAGUGGUAAAAUGCAUGGUAUGAGACGUGCAGGUCUGAAUGUUUUAUUAUAUAAAUUAACGGGGGUUGCCAAAGAGAUUGCAUUGCAUUCAUGCAUUGUUGUAAAAAAAAAAUGAUUUGAUAUUUGGUUAUGUGAUUCCAUGACACUUAAUUUUAUAUUGUAAAUUUACUGUGGUAAGGUUAUGUCCCUACUGAGCCGUUGAAGCUCAUCCCUCUAUUGUUAUGCAUGUAUACGAACUAGACAUUUAAAAGAGUAGACAUGAUGAGAUCAGAUUAAAUGUGAGAAUAGAAAGUUUAUUCAUGUAAAUAAUUCUUGAUUUGUUUAAGAAUCAUGAGUUAUUUUUAUAAAAGAAAUUUGUUUUCUAGCCCGUUUUAAUUUCCUUUUAUUUAUUUAGUUUUUAACUCACGUUUCUGAUUCGGGUUCGAAUCUUUCUAUCGAUCCCAAGUUCGGGGUGUGACAAAAGUCUUUUUACAUUAAGUGGAGUCAGCUGCAUGAAUCUUAGAAUGUCAUUGUGCUCGGUUCUGUGCUUAAUUUAAAAUACUAAUAAUAUUAUAAAAUUGUUUUUAAUAAAGGCAACCUACAUUUUAGACCAUCUCCAAAGGAGAUGUCAUAUCCUAAGUGGAAUGUCAUGUAAUUAAAUUUGAAGGCAGGAGCAAGCUCCAACCGAUAUGUCCAUCCUAUGGAUUAACAUAUGAGUUUUCAUAUAUCAAAUUUGGCAUAUGAGAAAAUGUGAUGUCAAAUCAUUUUUAAUUAUUUUAUUGUAUAGGUCCCAUUAAUGCAUCAGUUAUAGAUCUUGAAAAUUUAUUAUAAUUUAUUUCUUUUUACAAUGGGUUCUAAAAAUAUCACUUAUAACAAAAAAAAAUCAGUUGAAAAAAAUAGAAAAUCUGACAUUGUCACGUCAGUCAUCAAAUUAACAUUUAUAACAAAAUGAGAUGCUAAAUCCUAGGUGGAGAUAUGACUGUGCAUAUUUGACAUAAAAAAUCCUUCUAACUGAAGUGUUAUUUGUUGACUGGAUUUGAAGCUUGUGUUUAGAGCAUCUCUAAAGGAGAUGUCAAAAUCCUAGGUGGAAUGCCACUGUGCACAUUUGACAUCAAAAGUCUCUCUAACUGAAGUAUUAUUUGCUGAUUGGAUUUGAAGGUGUUAGGUUGAUAUAAUAGGUAUAUUUUGUAUCUCUUUUACCUAUUAAUUUAGUCAUGGUUUGAUAUAAAACAGUUGGAUUUGAUGUGUUUUGUGUGAAUUUUAUAGAAAUUAUGUUUAAGAGAAAAUUGGAUUUUUGAGAAGAAUUACAGGGAAAGCACAAAAGAAGAUCGAAGUGAGGUGCUGCUACGUGAGAUUUGUGCUAGUACAAAAUUGUCUAACUUGUGUAAAUUGGAAAGCCCAGAGUUCUAAUCUAAAAGGUGGGCCGGUGCUUAUUUAAUUUCCGAAUCCAAAUUGGUUUGCUCUCCCUUUUCCAAAAGGGAUAAAGGUGAAUUCUUUGCUGCUAGAGCUUGGGGACAAAAAUGGUAGAGAAAGGGGGAAUAUAAAAAGGCACGACAUAAAUUGAAAGUGGGCUUUCUAUCAUCAGGCACACACAUACAUGCAACAAUUUGGCAAGUACCCCAGAGAGCUCCAAGUUUUUCGUCCAUGUUUGUUAAUAGUUUGAUCAUCGAAUUCAUCCAUGUUUGUUAAUAGUUUGAUCAUGAACUAAGUUCUUUUACUAGGACUAAGGUGUACUCUUAUCAUGAACUAUAUUCUCAUUAUUAUAUAUUAAUCUCAGUUAUUUUCCAUGUUGAGUAAUUGUUAUUCUGUUUCGUCGUUAUCAAAUAACUGGCCAUUAUGUGUGUGAAGAACUAAAUUGUGACUGACAGGUUGAGUUUAGUAGAUUGCUUCUCAUAACAAUUACCAUGAAUUACAUAAUUGAGUAGACAUGCUGGUUAUGAUUUGUGUAGUAUUGUGAGUAUUGUGUAAUUAUCCAUUGAGCAUAAAGGGUUUCAGUUAUCUAUAUCUGUGGCUAGACAUAGCAGGGGUAGAUGGUUAGAAACACGGUUAGUAUAUUCUGACAGGAAAUAUUGACGAAUCAAGGGAUAAUUGGUAGCAACAUGGGAAUAAUUUGAUGUUAAUAUGAAUAACAGGAUUAGAUGGGAUUGAGAAUGAGGAACCUGAUGUCCUAGUGCUUCCAUAUAUUAAUCUUGCAUAAUUCAUUCACUUUUACCUCGUGUUCGAUCAAUUAUUACUUUUACUUUCGUUUAGUGUCUUUGCAUAAUUAAAGCUGUCAUUGUAAUCCUUCUUUUAUUUCAGUUUAGUUUGAAGUCAAUCUAAAUAGUAAAUUUAGGUUAAUACGAUCCUUAUUUGAACGACACUCUACUUAUCACUAUAUUACUUGGACAAUAGUGUACAUAUGCAAUUAUCAACAACAAAAGGCUUGGUGAUUUGGAGUCUAAUUUCUGUCAAAUUUAUUUGUAAUUUAUUUUAAUGGUAGGUCUCUUAUUCCAUUAGCAUUUCAACCAAUAAAAUUUUGUUUCAACAAUUUUUUUUUAAUAAAUAUAACCAUUUAAAGCUUUACAUUAAUAAAAAAAAAUAUAUAUUUGACAACUCAGUUGGAGAAACACAAAAUUUAAAAUAAGACUUCAAAUUGUCACAUCAGUCAUUAAUUGAAAUUUGACAUUUCCAUUGAAGAUGGUCUUAUACUUUUCAGGUUUAAAGUGAUUUUUAAAAGGAGUUUUAACGAAAAAAGCCUAACACUAUUCAUUCUUAACCAAAAGAACAUUUUGUGUAUGAAAAGUCCAUAAUGGGCCAAGCUCUUUUCUUUAUUUACUCUUAUGCCAUUAUGUCAUUAUUGUAGCGGGGUCCACAAUGAUGUUGACAUUUACGUCUGGAAAUACAUUAAUUUACAUGAUGCUAUUCAACUUAUGCUAAUUUACUGCCAGCUCUUCAUGCUUCCAUCAUGUUGUCGAUGUUAUGCAACUCUUCUUCUGUCAAAUUAUUCCAAUACAGUUCAUCGCCUUCAAUUAGUUCUGCAUCUCUCUCUCUAUGUUCUUUUACUUUGUAGUACAUUUUUGUUGUUUCUUCUUUGAAAUUUUGAGGCUUCCAGUAUGGUUGAUGAUGGGCUUUUGACUUGCUGUAAAUAUACAUUUCUUUCUCUUCUGCUACUAAUAUCAUAUCAUAACUAAAAUCUUCAAACUCAUCUAAGGCAAACAUUUUCAUCCCUCUAAAUUUUAAAAUAUCUUUGUAUGAAGGAGUCCACCUAUGUGAGGAGAUAGAUGAUAGUCUAAAGGACUCUUCAUUAAUCGUGGUUAUAUGUCUAGCUUUCUCCUUAUGCAUAUGUGAAUACCAAUCUGGAAGACUAGUAAUAAAACUUAUGCAAAUCUCCUUCCACUUUUCUAGAUAAUCUUCUGCUACUUUUAUAAGCUUUUUAGGAAAUAAUUCUAGUUGGGAAAUAUGGUUAAUAAAGAUUUUCUCAAGAUAGCCAAACUCUAAUAGUAAGGCUGAGGUAACUUCUACUACAUUAUGUUUUUUCUGAUGCUCAUAACUAAAAUGUCAUGGUCUAAAAUUUUUCAUAUGAAUCAUGGCUACAGUUAUGCUAACCUCUAGUUUACAAAUACAACUCUCUGUACGAUCACAAAGACAUGGUGGAUACAUCUUUGUAAUAAUAUCCAUCCCCAGUUUUGGAUCAAAGAUGGACUGAUACAAAGCACAUUGUAAUUGUAAUUGUAACUCUUUCAUGAAUUGUGAUGCUCUACUCAGGAUCUCAUUUUGCAUAUAUGGUGGCAUUAUCCUUAAUUUUGUUUUUGAAAUUUCUUCUAAUAAAAUAUCAUCCAAUAUUAAGUUUAAAGAUAUGUUCCUAAGAGAACUUUCAUAUCUUUCUUGUUUUUCUGUGUCACUCAGAUGUUGAUGCUGCUCGUUAUUUUGAUGCUGCUCCAUUUCAAUAUCUUCGUCUAAGAGCUCAAUUUUAAUUUUUUCUAUGGGCUCAUUAGCCUCUUGUUCUAUGGAGUCAAUAUUCUCUUUUCUUUAUUCUUAUGUUGAGCAGUUUCCAAACCUAUUUUCAAUUCUCUUUUUAAGGUGUCACUUGUCUUCUGCUGCAUUCUAAGAUAUUGGAGUUCUUGGUUCAUUUUGGUAAACUUACUAAGAAAUGACUCAUGGUCCCUAGAGAUGACUUGAAGGUUGUGCUCAAGAGAAUGAAUAUGUUGCUGGCUUUGAUGGAAAUUAAAAUUAAAACUAUCAAACUCUUGUUCUAAGGCUCUAAUUAAUUUUUCAUAACCUAGCCUCAUGCUCGGCUGUUUGAUUUGGAUAUUCCAAAAAUUAUCUAGGAGAACAUGCUGCCUAUCAAAAAGUCCUGGUACUCUUGGCCUAUAUCUCAAAGUUGGAUUUCUGAUUCCUUCAACAAUAUUGCCAUUAAAGUUGAAAGUUGGUGCUGGUGGUGAUGUUGGUCUGCUUAUGCUAUUUUGGAAUCCAUUGAAUGGUGGAGGUCCAUGGUACAUCAUUAUGCUAUUGAAAGAUACUCUUCUACCUUGUGGUCUUGUGCUAUUUGAGAAUGAUGGUCCACGAUAUUCCAUUCAUGUUCAACAAAUUAAUCUUGAUAAGAUAUCGACUAAUGUAUUGUCAUUACCUUUUAUAUGUUCAAAAAUUGGUUUAAAACCAUUUCCUAUAAUUGAAUCAACAAAAUUAACCCAUCUUCGAGCUGCCUAUUUAUUAGCAUGUAUCUUGUUAUAAUGAGAAACUAUAUUUUGACAAUCUGUUCUUAUCGUAAAUAUUUCAUUAUGUAAAAAUAAAGAAAAUGCUUCAAGUAAGUUAAUUAUUCCUAAAAUUUCUAAAUAUAUUGAUCGUAAUCUUGACUGUACAUCACUAAAUUUUCCUAAUGAAUAUCUACAAACUUUUUCGUCAAACUUUGGAGAUUCCUUAUGCUUUUUCUGGUAUAGUAUACAUGCCUAUCCUAAUGAUGAAGCGUCUGUUUCGACUAUUUUAUAACUAUCAUCUAAUGGUAAUGCUAAUGGCUUAAGUUUAGUAAUUUCUUCUUUUAUAUUUUGAACUAAUCUAAUAUCUUCACUAUUAAAAUAUUUUUGUCCUGUUUUGCUAGUUUUACUAUGUAAUACUGCUAUUUUUCUUCCUAAAUCAGGGAUAAAAUUUCUUGCAUAAUUUAACAAUCCUAAAAAUGCUUGUAGUUGUUUUUUAUCUUCUAAUUUAUCUGGAAAUUCUAAAAUCUUUUUAGCUAUAUGAUCUUGUAAUUGUAUUGUACUUGACUUGAUAUACAUUCCUAAAAAUUCUAUAUCUUGCUUUUCUAAUGUUAUUUUAUUUUUGCUAAUCACAAUUCCAUUAUGGGAAAUUUUAUUUAAACCCAAAUAACCUCACUUCACACCCAACUUAAAUUUUAAAUGUGAAUAGUCUUUUUUAUCUUAUUUUAUAAUUACUAUAAAGUACAAGAUAAAUAAACAAUAAAACUAAAAACUAUUAACAAACCUAGACCCAAUAGUCAAAUAUUUGUCAUCAUGCAACCUUUUGUGAAUUCGGGUUCAUUAAGCAUUAUGAGAAGAUUAAGAAGACAGUAUGACCUUUUUUUGGCCGUCCAGGUAUCCAAUUUUCCUCUUCCACCUCCUCUGGAUGGUGAUGCCUUGGAUAAAGAAGAGCGUUGCUUGAAGAGUGUUCAAGCACUUGACAAAGAUGGAAGACUGACACCUCUAGGGAGGGCCAUGGCUCAUUACCCUAUGAGUCCUUGUCACUCUAGGAUGCUCACUGUUAUUCAAGUCUUAAUUAAGAAGAAGAGUUUCAGAGAUAAUUUAGAGCUAGCAUGCGCAGUGGCAGCUGCUGCUGCUUUGAUUUUGUCAAAUCCUUUCAUUAGGCAGUUUGAAGAUAGCCACAAAGAAAGCCACAACUUAAAUGACGACGGGAACAUUACAGUUAUACACAAGCUAGAGAAGUUGGGGAGGCAUAAACAAAAAGAACAGUGAAAAUAUUCCGUGAAUUUUUUUCUAAUCCCAGCAGUGAUACUCUAUUUGUCGCUUUUGCUUUGUAAUGCUAUGAACUUGCAAGAUCCUAGUGGAAUUGGAAUUUAUCGAGAGCAACUUUGUAGGGAAAAGAACAUAUGCUUUGAUUUUGGGUUUCUAUUUUAAAUGGGUGUAGAAACAAAUUUGCAAAUUGAAUUGGGUCUGUUAGGGUAAUUUAGGUAGUAAAUUUGGGUUUAAAGAGAUAUUGAUAGUUUAAUUACAAAUAACUAGGAUGUAGAGAGUAAGUUGGGUGUGAAAAGAGGUUAUAUGGGUUCAAAUAAAAUUUUCUUUCCAUUAUUGAUAAAUUCUUGUAAAACUAUCUUUAAGUGCUUCCUAUGUUCAUUUCUAUUUUUACUAUGUACUAAAAUAUCAUCUACAUAAACACUACAAAAAUUAUCAUAUUUCUUGAAAAUUUGAUCCAUCUUUCUUUGAAAGAUCAAAUGAGCAUUUUUAAGUCCAAAUGGCAUAACAAGUCACUCAAAAUGUCCUUCUGGACAAGUAAAAGUUGUCCACUCAAUUGAUUCUUCUGCUAAUCGUAUUUGCCAAAAUCCUGAUUUGCAAUCAAAUUGGCUAAAAUAUUUACUCUCUUGAAUUUUAUUGAUAAGUUCAUCCUUAUUUGGUAACUUAUAACUAUCUUCAUAUGUAUUAUUAUUUAUCUCUUGUAAUUAUAAACUAUUCUAGCCUUACCUCUAUUUAAUUCUGAAUGUUUUCUCAUAAUAAAUGCUGCUAAUCUAUGUCUAGACUUGGAAGGUCUAAUUACUUUUAAAUUUAACAACUCUUUAAUUUGUUGCUCAAACUCUUGUUUAUCUAAUAAACUAUAAGGCAUAUCGACUGUCUGAAUGGUUAAAUAUGGAUUAAUUAUAUCUAAUUUUUCUAGUAUUUUAUUUUUACUCCAAUGUAACUGUGGGUAUUCUCCUAUAAUUAUAGUUUGUUCUGCUAAUUGUAAUAAUUCUUCUAACCUCCUUGGUUUACUUAACUGUAAUAUUUCUAUACGAUUUCCUUCUUCUAAAAUCGGAUAUUCAUGUUCAAAUAUUUCUUCAUCAAAUUCUUCUAUGUUAUUAUGCUCAUCAUUUUCUUUUGAGUUUUCUCAAUAAUAACUAUCUUGACAACUAGAUUCUUCUAUACUUAUACUUUUGUAUGCUUCUACAGUAUUGCUUUGAUAAGUUAUUGUAAUGCCUCUUUUGAAAAAUAUUAUGUUAUAGUUCAUAAAUAAAAAACCUUGCAAACUUUUCAAAAAAUUUAAGCCUAAAAUGAAUGGGUAUGAUUGUACUGGUGAAAUAAAUGUUAAUGGUUAAUUAAAUUGUUGUUUUUCUACUGUAAUAAACUCAUUAUUAAUGCAGUGUGUUAAGUAAACUAGUCUCUAAUCAAAUUGUGUUAUUCUUACUGGUUUUGCAAAUUUUUGUCUAUAUUUUUCUGGUACUAAUUCUUCUCUUAUGACACUCUUUGUACUCCCUGUAUCUAUCAUAGCUGUUGUUUGUAUCUUAUGUUCUUUUGCUAAUUCUAUUUCACAAUUUAUGAUAAUUAAAGAACUAUUUUUUGACUUCUCCAUACUAUAAAAAGUAUUUCCUAAUAUUUCAGUAUUUUCUUGUGAUUAUGUUGAAUUAACUUCUAAUAACCUAUUACUAUAACACUUUUCACAUAAUAUUGAAUAUGUAUUAUAGUAUUUAUUUGCAGCUAAUUUACUACACUUAUGACAUUUUUCUGGCCAAUCUAGAUUAAUGUAUUUAUAUUCUUCUUCACGUUGCUCUUCUAUGAAUGCACACAUAUAUUAUUCUAAAUCACUAUUUGUGCUACUUGAAUCUUCAUAAUCUAAAUCUAUCAUGUUAAUACUUUCUAUGCUAUAAAUAAUCUCAUUAUCACUUAAAUCAUCUAAACUGUACAUUGACUGAAUAUCCUCAUCCUUUUCUAACUUAAACAGCUCCAUUAAAUGUACUUUUUCUCUCGGUUGUUUACCUAAUUUUGGACAUUUAAGUCUAAUAUGUCCAGUCUCUCCACAUGAAUAACAUUUACAACUACUCUUAUCUUUUGGUGCUUUAUAUUUUCUAAUCGAAGGUCUACCACUUCUUUUUCUAAAUUGUUUUGGAAUAUAUUUUCUUUUCUUAUAUAUUCUUGAAGAUCUUAUGCUGAAAUUCUUGUGUUGUUUGUAUGGUUUAUAUGACUUAUAUUUAUUUUUGUAUAUUUUCUUAUACUUAUUUUUCUUAUGACAACCAUACUGUUUGUGGUAAGUCUAUAUUUUUACAACUCUUGUAAAAUUGCUUCCUAAUUUGUCUCUUAGCUUUUAUUUGACUACACUCUUGUCUAAGUAUAUCAUAUACAUGUUAAAUUUUAGGUCCUAUUGCAAUAUCAUUUUUCUUUGAAUGCUUUUGCAAUUCAUUCCAAAUUUUUCUCCUAUUGGUCCUUUUAUUUUAGUCAUAUAAGUAUCUAAUAAAUUAAUAUUACUAGUUCUACCUGUUCUUCCUAAAUAUUUAAAGAAAUUCGAAGUAUACUCAGUUAUAUAUUGUAAAUCAUAAAUUUGUAAUUGUUCUAAAUUUGUAAUUGCUUUUAUUUUUUCUUGUUCACUUCUGCCAUCUAAUCUAUUACGAUCUAAAAUUUCUUGUUUAAUUAAAGUAACAAAACCAUCAAUAUUAAAAUGUGUUUUAGCUGCCUGUUGUUGUUCUGGAUUUUGGACUUUCCAUGACUAAAAAUAAUCAAAAACUAAACCAUCUAAAGUAUGCUUAAAGUAAUCUAACAUGUUUUUUUGAAUUACUAAAAUCUAACAUUAAUGAUGCAUGUACGCAACUUUUUUCCCAUCUUUUAAUUGUUCUUUUCCAAUCUUGUGGAUCUAUAUUAUCUAAAUUUAAUAUAUUACCAGCUAUAUUAAUUUGUUCUAACCCUCUCAAAUGUGGAAUCCUAUUUUUUCUAGGUGGUUUUAUCAUACUUUCUUCUAUGUAAUCUACUUUUGCUUUUUCAUUAUAUUGUUCAUUUGUUGGUCUCAAAAAUUGUUGAUCAGUUCUACUUACGUGUCAUGGAUUUUCUACUCCUGAUGUACUACUUUCUUCUGCUGGAUUACAUUCUUCUUUCAAUUCUAAUAAAUUAUUAUAUUCUUUUGUUCCUAAAAUAUGUUCUACUCAUAUUUCUAAAAUUAAAAUUUUCAUCUCUUCAUCUAAAAUUAUGUGUAGUCCUAAAUCAUAUAUCUUAUAUUUUUCUAAAUAUUGUUCUUCAUCUAAAUGAUCAAUAUCUUCUAUAAGCUUAUCUACAAUAUGAUCAAAAUUUUACUCAACUAAAUUAAUAUCUAAAUUAUCAAAAGCCAUUUGAAUACUCUAUUCUUUAUCAAUACAGUUAACUUCAUGUUGACUGAUGCUACUUACAAUUCUGCUUCUGUUUUCAAAUAAACCUAAUUGAUACAAAUUAUAUUUAUUUUUCUGUGUUCUCUCAAAACCUGUUCUAAUAAAUUCUUGUGUUCCUUCUUCAUUAGGAUAAAUAUAUUCAGCUCUAAUUACUUCUUUUCCCUUUGUCCUAAAGAGUUUCAUUUUCUAUUAUGAAAAGGAUUUAGCUUAGGUCUUCUAAUAUUACUAUUUGCACUUAAAGUUAAAUUUUUUAAUUUAUCUAGCAAUGAUGGUGGAAGUGAUGAAGAUGCGUUAUGUAAAACUUGGUUUAUAUCUGUUAUUUGUUCUUCAACUUGAUCUAAUUUUUCAGCCAAACUUAAAACUAAUUGAAUAAUUAAAUUAUUUUGCCUAUUGGGAAUAUUACUACUGGAUACUUGUGUUGAAAAAUCUGUUAAACCUACUAGUUCUUUAUCUAACUUACUAAUUUCUUUCAAAGCUUUGAUAUAUUUUCUGCUAGUUCUAGAAUCGGUCAUUAAACUAAUAAUUUAUCUAUUUUAUUAUGAAACUUAUCUAUUUGUUCACUCAACUCUUUUUGCACUAAUUGAUUUUUUUGAACUUCUUUUAACUGCUCAACUAUUUCUAGUGAUUUAAGUUCUACUUGCUUCGGCUUACUAUCUAUGAGGUCAACAAGCUCUUUUAUCUCUCUUUUGCUAGGAAACCUUUGAAUAUUUUUAUUAUUAUCUUCUAACUAAGAUGUAAUAUAGUCUAAAUUUUGUAUAAUUGUUUUUAUGGAAUUUUUCUGAAAAUGCUCUAAUAACUGGUUUAACAAAUGAUUAUGCUUAUUAUUUUCUAAUUUUAUAUUUUCUGCUUGACGAAUAAUAAGAUCUACAAUACUAUUGGUUUGUGGAUUUUCUUCACUAUGCAAAAUAUAAUUAUGCUUUCUCAAUGGAAAAUAACAAACUAAACUAUUUUGGUCUAAGGUUAUUUUUCUUUUCUGAGGUUCACUAAUUUCUAAAUUAAGAUAAUCUAUCAUAAACUACAAUCUACAUUUCUCUAAAGUUACAGCUAAUUGGUUUCUUAGAAACUCUAUUUCUUCUCUCAGGGUCUUUAAAACUUGAUAUGUUGCUCUUUUUGCUUCUAAAAAUUUAUGCUGCACUUUUGAGUUAGUAUAUUUACGAAUAAAUUAGGGAUGUUCAAGAUAACCAAGAUAAAACUUCUGCUUCUUCAAAGUAUUGCUAAUUCUUUUGGAUAUAUAUGCUAAUUUUCUCUUUAUGCUAUUUAUAAUUGGAUGUUUGGGACAAUAAAUACCUAGUGGUUGUGGCUAACAACGUCUACAAGGACAAUAAUAUCUGUUGUUCAUACAAAAUAAACAAAUGUGAUAUCAGUUGUGUUGAUGCACAAAAUCAGUGAGGACUUGGGUACAACAGAAAGUGUUAAGUUUGUGACCUUCGCUAGAUUGCUCCGGUCACUAGUAUGGAUAAGUAUGAAGACAGUGUGAUUCUCAAAAGCUUCACACACUCUUGAUCAAGACAAUGUGAAGCAAAACCAAUUUAUGGUGCCAAUAAGAGCUUCAUCAAAGGAGUUCAAGCAUAAUUCUCAAAAGCUUCACACACUCUUCAUCAAGACAGUGUGAAGCAAAACCAAUUUAUGGUGCCAACAAGAGCUUCAUCAAUAGAGGGCAACCAUAAUUCUCAAAAGCUUCACACACUCUUGAUCAAGACAGUGUGAAACAAAACCAAUUUAUGGUGCCAACAACAAGAGCUUCAUCAAUGGAGGGCAACCACAAUUCUUAAAGGCUUCACACACUCUUGAUCAAGACAGUGUGAAGCAAAACCAAUUUAUAGUGCCAACAAGAGCUUCAUCAAAGGAGUUCAACCACAAUUAUCAAAAGCUUCACACACUCUUGAUCAAGACAGUGUGAAGCAAAACCAAUUUAUGGUGCCAACAAGAGCUUCAUCAAAGAAGUUCAACCACCAUUAUCAAAAGCUUCACACACUCUUGAUCAAGACAGUGUGAAGCAAAACCAAUUUAUGGUGCCAACAAGAGCUUCAUCAAUGGAGGGCAACCACAAUUCUCAAAAGCUUCACACACUCUUGAUCAAGACAGUGUAAAGCAAAACCAAUUUAUGGUGCCAACAACAAGAGCUUCAUCAAUGGAGGGCAACCACAAUUCUCAAAAGCUUCACGCACUCUUGAUCAAGACAAUGUGAAGCAAAACCAAUUUAUGGUGCCAACAAGAGCUUCAUCAAAGGAGUUCAAGCACAAUUCUCAAAAGCUUCACACAAUCUUGAUCAAGACAGUGUGAAGCAAAACCAAUUUAUGGUGCCAACAAGAGCUUCAUCAAUGGAGGGCAACCACAAUUCUCAAAAGCUUCACACACUCUUGAUCAAGACAGUGUGAAGCAAAACCAAUUUAUGGUGCCAACAAAAGCUUCAUCAAAGGAGUUCAACCACAAUUCUCAAAAGCUUCACACACUCUUGAUCAAGACAGUGUGAAGCAAAACCAAUUUAUAGUGUCAACAAAAGCUUCAUCAAUAGAGGGCAACUACAAUUCUCAGACCUUCGAAGCAAAUUCAAUUUAUAUGGUUCAUCCAAACCUUCGACUACUACAAGGUGUGGCUUGUAUCACAAUCUCUUACUCAACAGUGUGGAAGCAAAAUUUGUAUAUGUUGUCUCUCCCACAUUUUCAAAUUUCUAGUUUCCAAAAAAAAAAAAAAAGGGAAAUUCAACAAAGCUUCAUCAAUGGAAGAUAACUACAAAUUCUCAAAGGCUUCACACUAUCUUGAUCAAGAUAGUGUGAAGCAAAAUUAAUUCAUGGUACCCAACAAAAGCUUCAACUGCAAAGCUUCACCUACAACGCUUCAACUCCAAAGCUUCACCAACAAAAGCUUCAUCCAUGGAGGACAACUACAAAUUCUCAAAAGCUUCACACUAUCUUGAUCAAGAUAGUGUGAAGCAAAUCAAUUCAUGGUAAACAACAAAAGCUUCAACUCCAAAGCUUCACCUACAAAAGCUUCACCCACAAAAGCUUCACCUACAAAAGCUUGACCCACAAAAGCUUUACCCACAAAAGCUUGACCCACAAAAGCUUCACCUACAAAAGCUUGACCCACAAAAGCUUCACCUUCACACAAAGCUAAAAGCACCCACAAAAGCUUCACCUACAAAGUUUCAACACAAAAGCUUCAUCUACAAAAGCUUCACACUAUCUUGAUCAAGAUAGUUUGAAGCAAAAUCAAUUCAUGGUGCCCAACAAAGCUUCAACCUCAAAGCUUCACCUACAAAGCUUCAACACCAAAGCUUCACCUACAAAUCUUUAAAAUAUAUAUAUAUAUAUUCGAAAAUUCGAAAAUUCAAAAAUUUGGAAAUUCAAAAAUUCGAAAAUUUGAAAAUUCGAAAAAAUAAAUCAAAAAAUCAAAAAAAAAAAAUUUGCCUAAGCCUCAUCUUCUUUGGGCCUAACAACUUUCAUAACAAAUAUAUAUGAAGAAGGAGUUUUGGGCUACUACUUAGAAAGGAAAUGCCUCAUUCGUCAACUCCCUCGAUCGGAGACUUGGGGAACUCCUACGAUAUGCCACUCCACCUUGAUACUCGGAAGUCUCACGACCACUCAGUGACUUGGAUUUUUCAAGUCUCCAAACGAGAAGUUUUCCUCACUUGGAAAAUUAAGGGAGCACUACCUCAACCUACAUGCUUCACUCACAAAGCUUCAGCAUACAAGCUUCAACAAAAGGAAAAAUUCAAAGAACUUAGUGAAGAAGGCCUUGGUGUAUUUAACAUAAUACGUUGAAAUGAAGCAAAGCUUGUUUAUUGAUAUCUCUGAUAAGUUACAAAUAUGUACAUAUACAUGAAUCAAAAUAAACAAACAAGAGGGAGCUUUCACAAAGGUUGCUCAGGAGAAGUUUCAGCAGUCGGUAGAGCCACAGAAAGAAGACGCACCAGAGGGUGAUUAUUUGGAGCCUCAUUACUAGGCAAAACCCCAGAAAGAGGAGGCACCGAAGGUUGACCAUUUGGAGCUUCAUUACGUGGUACAGCCCCAGAAGACGAAGGCAAUAAAUGCCUUUGAAACAAACCCAUAAACCUCUGAUGAUCAAGUAAAAUCUGACCAUCAGAUUCUUGUAGCUGGUCGAGCUUCCUCUUCAUGUUUGUAGCAUAGUCAUGUGCGAGCCUGUGCAACUGUUUAUUCUCAUGCUCGAGCCCUUUGAUCUCCUAUUUGAGACUUAUCACUUCAGCCGCCAAUGAUUCAACUUGGCGGGUUCGAGCAAAUAGGUGUUGGGCCAUAUUAGACAUAAAACCUACACACUGAACACUAAGAGCUAGAGAAUCCUUAACAGCCAACUCAUCAGACCGUUUGGCAAGUAGUCUGUUAUCUUUAGGAGUGAGAAGGUUCCUGGCCACCACCGCAACGGUUAUAUCAUUCUUCAUCACAGAGUCCCCAACAAUAAGAGGACCAGUAAGGGAUAAGAAGAAUGGGCGCCAUAUGUUGUCUUGAGAAGGCAUGGCUGCCUCUUCACCAAAGUUCAAGUCAAAACAACGAUCGGAUGGGCCAGACAUUCUCAGAAAUGAUGAAGGAGAAAUGAGUUACAAUAAAUCUCUGAAGUAAGGGGAAAAUUCCUACAAGCAAUAACCCUCUGAAUGUACUCCUUGCACACAAUUAGUGCUCUUAUAAAAGAAAGGGCAAUAAGGCCGUUGAUUCAAAAAUUGAAGAGGCACCGCUCUCCAGAUUCCGAAGAGGCACUACUCUCCGGAUUUCGAAGAGGCACCACUUUCCACACGCAACAUCAGCUCUUCGAGUACCACAGAUAACUUUGCCAAAAAUCUCUGACAAAGUUUAGACACAUAAAUUUUGAAGGUCCAGUUAUCCUACUAUUACCCGCAAGGGUAAAGGAACAACAUCACUGUUUGAUAGCUAGAAAGUCCCAAUGUGUGUCAACCUCCAUGCUCCGUGGCAAAGCAAACUGGCAAAAAUGCCCAACCUUUACUCACAUUCGAGAAAACAUUCCCAAUAAGAUUGCUUGCUAAAAAAUCGAAGAGGAACCACUCUCCGAAUCUCGAGAGCCAGACUCCCAACAGGAUUACUUUCUCAAAAAUCGAACAGACACUGUUCUCCGAAUCUCGAGAAUCAGACUCCUAACAGGAUUGCUUUCUCAAAAAUCGAAGAGGCACCAUUCUCUAAAUCUCGAGAGCCAUAUCCCCGACAGGAUUUCCUGUUUGAAAACCGAAGAGGCACCGCUUUCCGAACUUCGAGAGCCAGAUUUCCUUGGAUAAAGCUUGUCUGCAAUCUUCACACGCAACAUCAACUUUCUAGAUACCACAGACCACUUUUUCAAAGCGCUCUGACAAAGUUAAAAUAUGUGAAGCUUGCAGCUCCCACUACAUUGCUAUGACCAAGAAGGGUAAAGGAAUAGCAUUAUUAUUUGCUCAAAAAUCGAAGAGGCACCACCCUCUGAAUCUCGAGAGCCAGACUCCCAACAUGAUUACUUUCUCAAAAAUCGAAGAGGCACCGCUCUCUGAAUCUCAAGAGCCAGACUUCCAACAAGAUUGCUUUCUCAAAAAUCGAAGAGGCACCGUUCUCCGAAUCUAGAAAGCCAGAUCCCCGACAGGAUUGCUUGUUCGAAAACCGAAGAGGCAUUGCUCUCCGAACUUCGAGAGCCAAAUUUCCUUAGAUAAAGCUUGUCUGCAAUCUUCACACACAACAUCAGCUUUCCAGAUACCACAUACCACUGUUUCAAAGUGGUCUGACAAAGUUAAAACACGUAAAGCUUGCAGCUCCCACUACAUUGCUACCACCAAGAAGGGUAAAGGAAUAGCAUUACUACUUGUUGUUAAGAAGACUCUUAUAUAUGUUGACCUCCAUCCUCCACGGACAGGCAGACCUGCAAAUAUGCUCAACCUUUCCUCAUAUCUGAGAGGGCACUCCCAAUGAAGCCUCUCGAAAUACUCAGCUUUCUUCCCCCCCCCAAUAAUACCUAUGCAAACCAGUUCCUUUGCCCUUGUUCUUAUCAUGCUUGGAAAUCUGAUUGCUUACCUUAUCUGUUACCUCCUUCAGUAAAUCUCCUAGCUCGACGACUUGGGGGACUCCUACUAUAGGGUUUGUAACACACUUAACCAAGCCCGAAACUACAAGUAAGCUUAAAAUGAAAUUGAUACAUUACCUUGUGCAUCUUCAUUGGUUAAAGAUACCACCCUGGAUAGAGGAAAAGUACUUUCAGAGAAGAUGCCACAUCUAUAUAUGAGACAGAUAAGGCAAGUAAAAAUGAUACCACACUUCGGUACUUAGAAGUUUCGUGAUUACUCAAUGACUUGGAUCUUGCAAGUCCCUAACCGAGGAACUUCCCUCACUUGGGAACUUAGGGGAGCACUGUUUGUACCAUACUUGACCAAUCCCGAAACUACUGAGCACCAGUCAACGUUAUAACGUCAAGGACCCAGAAGAGUUUCCUUCCAACUAGGAGGCCAAUCACAACACAACACAUGUCGACAUCAGAAGCCAAUCACAACACGACACGUUGACCGGUGCUCAGUAAUUUCGGGAUUGGUGAAGUAUGGUACAAACACCUCUCAUAUUUUUUAUUUAUUAAAAAAAUGCGGUCCGUGCGUUUACCACUUAAUUAAUUUUUGUUUUUGUUUUGAAGAGCAGAAAUUGUUAGUGCAAAACUCAGCAGACUUAUUCAUAAGUAAAUAAGGAGUCAACCAUGAAUCUGGAUGAGAGAAAUAAGACCACACACUUCCUCCACUUGAUCAAAGAAGUUUUCAAACGAAAAAAAUAUGCGUUAUCGCUAACCAAAAACGAUGAUGUGGCAUCUGCCAAAUUAUUUAGUACCCAAAAUCUUUGUUAGCAAUAUCAUCUCAUUUUUUUAGUUUCUAAUACAAUUGGGUUUAUAUCGAACUUUAUGAAUUUAAAAGAUUUUGUCACUAAAGUUCAUGGUUACUAAUUUAAAAUAUAUUUUUGUUAAAAUGUUGAAAAUUAAAAUUAAAAAUCAAAAUAAUUAAAUACUUAUUAUACAAUUAUUGUCCUUAUUCCUUCUUCAUGACAACGUGACAAUAUUUUAUUGUAUAAACAUUAUAAUUAAACCAUUUAUUCUUUUUAUGAUCAUUAAAAUUUUUCUUUCCUGAUCGAGAUAUUCUCUCAUUCGCCUAACAGAUUGAUUGUAUCAUAAAAAAUUUGGAGGCUAAAGACCUCCAAAUCAAAUGAAUAUUCUAUAAAUAUUAUUUAGAUAAUGAUAAACAUAAUUAAUUUUCAAAUUAUAAUAUUUUUGUACAUUAAUAUGAUAUCACGGGGCUACAUAAAAAGGACAAUGAAUUUUGAGGGACGUUCGCAACUAGGGCUGGUUUGGGUCGAGAUCCAGUAUUGAAACCCAAAACUCAGAUCUUGAACCAAUUCAUUUCGGGAUGGGAUCUCAAAAACCAAAACUGAACCAAAAUUAUGGGAUUCUCGAAUAUUUUUGGGGAUUUCGGUAUAGUUCGGGACAAUUGCAGAAUCCAAAUUCCAAAAACCACUUACAAAAAUCAAAUCCAAAUUGCAAAAGAAACCCCAAUUGUAGAAAUCAAAUCCUAGAACAAACCUUAAUUGCAAAAACCAAAUCCUAGAACCCAAUUUUCACACCCUAGAAAUCGAAUCUUAAUUCGAAACAAAAUUGCAUCAACCAAAGAAAAUUAGUUCAAACCAACCUGGUGUUGCUUCUGAUUAUGAUACUAGUGAGUUUGUGCUUGGGGCCAUUUCUUUCCUCCUCCUUCCUGCUUGUUGGAUCUAAUAAACCUGAUUUACUUGUUGUUUGUAUGGUGGCUGGAGCAAGAUGAGAGGGUAUGGUGGGGUGGCACGAGUCGAGUCUCGAAGAAGGUGGUGGUUGUUAGGUUCGAGAUCCAUCAACGGAGUGGUGGUGGUCGCUAGGUUCGGGAUCGACCGACAGAGUGGUGAUGGUGGCUGGGUUUGAGAUAGAUCGACGGAGAAUUAAAGGUGAAUACUGACAAAGGUGGAGAAUAAGGGAGGAGGAGAGACCGAUGGAUGAAAAAUUAGGGAGGAGCAGUCGAGAGAGAGAGUGACAGUGAGGUCGAGAGAGGUUAUGGUUAAUUAUAAAUGAACGGUUAAGAUUAAAUCUUAACCAAAUCUAAAGGAUUAUAAUAAUUAAAAUUAUAUAUUUAAUUAUAUAUAAAAAUUGUUCGGUACGGUUCGGGAUCCUGAACGAAGUCAGGUUGAACAUCAAAACUCGGUACUGAAAGUUUCGGUUUGAUUUUGUAUGGGCUACCGAACUGUUCGAAAGUCGGUUUGAAAAUUUUCGGUUGGGAUAGGAAAAUUCUGAAUUUUUUUUUUCCAGUCCUAUCCGCAACACGUGCAAUGAGACGGACAGAAUUGGAAGGUAGAAGCCAACCUGGACCAUUUCUCAUCACGACCUUUUUCAGUCAACACGAAAAAAAAAACGACUCAUUCAACACUUGACCUCAUUCACCCCCUACCAACCCCGAGUUAUUUAAUAUUAUUAUUAUUUAUUAGUCCCUAAUUACUCGCCCUCUAGAGAAUUUUCAGUAUUACCGUCAUACAAGAUGGUACAUCACGUGUCGCUAUAUAAAUGAUGAAAUAUGUAUGCUAAAAAGUUAAUAAUUUAAAAAAUAAAAUUUUCAAUUACUUACAUAAAAACACAUAAAGUACGUUCUAAUUAUAACUAAAAAUUUCUCCUCUCCCCGCUUUUAUCCAAUUUCCCAGAACCAUCCCCCCGCCCUCUCCCUCCCUCUGUCUCUCUCUCUCUCUCCCCCUUUAUAAAACCCACCUCAACGCUCUCAGAUUUUCAAACCUUAUCCGCUCCCACCAACAAAAUAAAAUUAUAAAAAUAAAAACCAUUUUCUCUCCGAUUAUUUUUCUCCGACAUGUACGGCGACCAAGACCCGACGUCUCCGAUCCAAAAGCCCAUCGUGAUCCGUGAAGUCUGGGCCCACAAUCUGGAAUCCGAAUUCGAGCUCAUCCAAAACGUCAUCGACGCCUACCCUUUCAUCUCCAUGGACACCGAGUUUCCCGGCGUCGUCUUCCGGCCCUCCGUCGACCCUACCAGUCCCUACUCCCGCCAGACCCUCCGGCCCUCCGAUCACUACAGGAUUCUCAAAUCCAACGUCGACGCCCUCAGCCUCAUCCAGGUCGGACUCACCCUCUCCGACUCCCGCGGUAACCUCCCCGACCUCGGCUCCCCCACGCGCUUCAUCUGGGAGUUCAACUUCAACGACUUCGACGUCACGCGUGACCCCCACGCUCCCGACUCCAUCGAACUCCUCCGCUGCCAGGGCAUCGACUUCGACCGCAACCGCUCCCACGGCGUCGACUCCUCGCGCUUCGCGGAGCUGAUGAUGUCGUCGGGACUCGUCUGCAACGACUUGGUGAGUUGGGUUACGUUUCACAGCGCCUACGACUUCGGGUACCUGGUGAAGAUUCUCACGCGCCGGGACUUGUCCAGUGGCUUGAACGAAUUUCUGAAAAUUCUGAGGGUCUUUUUCGGAAAUAGGGUCUAUGACGUCAAGCACAUGAUGCGGUUUUGCAAAAGCUUGUACGGCGGGUUGGACCGGGUUGCUAGAACCUUAGAGGUGGACCGGGCGGUCGGGAAGUGCCACCAGGCCGGUUCAGAUAGCUUGCUUACGUGGCAUGCGUUUCAAAAGAUGAGGGACGUGUACUUUUUGCAUGGCGGUCCCGAGCAACACGCUGGAGUAUUAUAUGGACUGGAAGUAUGUUAAUUAAAAUUUUGACAAAAAAUACAAGUAUUUUAAUUAAUGUGAAAGGGGAAAAGAAAACAUGGUUGGUGUCUGUAAAUUCUUUCUAUUGCGUUCCUAACUGGGGCAAUUUGUUUAAUAAGAUGAAAAAUUCUUUUUAAUUCAGGAAACUUGCUAAAUAUCCUAGUAUUUUUAAGAAAACUUUUAAUUGGGUUAAGUUUAUUUUAAUAAAAAAAUCAUGUUAUAAUUUUAUUUAAUUAAAAAAAUUUAAAUUUUACGAAAAAAAUCCUUAUAUUUUAAUAAAGAGGACAAAAGAAUUUAAAUUUUAAUGAAAAAGAAAUAAUUUUAAUAUUUUAAAAAUUCAAAAAAAUAAUUGACACGCGAACCUAUGCAUCCUCACACAAACUAUUUAUGAAACUUUCUACACUGUUUAAGAAACUUAAUUGUACUACAUUAUUUAUGAAACUUACUAUAAGUGUGGUAUCAUUUUCACUUGCCUUAUCUGUCUCAUACGUAGAUAUGGUAUCUUCUCUGGAAGUAUUUUUCCUCCAUCCAGGGGUGGUAUCUUUAACCGAUGAAGAUGCACAAGGUAAUAUAUCAAUUUCACUUGUAGCUUACUUGUAGUUUUGGGCUUCGUCAAGUGUGAUACCAAACCCUAUAGUAGGAGUCCUCCAAGUCGCCGAGUUAGGAGAUUUGUCGAAAGAGGUAACAGACAAGGUAAGUAAUCAGACUUCUAAGCAAGCGACCUGGAUCGGAGGUUCGGUUUCGGCUUCCGUUUGAUUGUUCUCCUUCUCCUUGUGUCGUAAACAGCAACAAGGAUAAGGAGAAGCAAAUGGAGAAGAGAUGAUAUGAGAUACUUUUGCUUUUGAAGAAGUAACUUUCCACAGGCUUAUUCUUGAACUGGGCUGGAGGGUUUUUUGGUUUCCUCCAGAGUAUAAGGCCGACUCAAGAAUUUGAGGGUCAAAACAAGUCCAUCAAAUCAAGAGUGCGUUCGACUUUGAUGAUAUGAGAUACUUUUGCUGUUGACGAAGUAAUAGAUGAAUCGGCAUGUGUUCUAUUGCGCUUGUCUCCACAUGCUUCCUUGUAUCUUUCUCACUUGCCCUAUCUGUUCCUUAGGCAGAUGUGGUAUCUUUUCUGGAAGCAUAAGAUGUUGAAGACGAGUACUCGAGAGCAAUGCCAGGUAAGUAAUCAGGUAAGGGGUUCCAGACAGUCAGUUCCUGAUUGAGAGCUUGAUUCCAAGUACUGACUGAUUGCUCUGUUUCUCCUUGUCUUGCAGGUAAGAAUAAAGGCAAAUGAAAAGACAGGGAAAAAACAUGAUAUAAGAUACUCUUACUUUUGACCCUGAUGAUAUGAGAUACUCUUACUCUAGUGUGGCUAGUUUGCAUAGGUAUUAUUGGGGAGGGGGAAGAAAGCUGAGUAUUUCGUUGGAAGUGCCCUCUCAGAUAUGAGGAAGGGUUGAGCAUUUUGCAGGUCUGCCUGUCCGUGGAGGAUGGAGGUCGACAUAUAUAGGAGUCUUCCUAACAACAAGUAGUAAUGUUAUUCCUUGACCCUUCUUGGUCGUAGCAAUGUAAUGGGAGCUGCAAGCUUCACGUGUUUUAACUUUGUCAGAGCACUUUUGAAAAAGUGGUAUGUGGUAUUUGAAAAGCUGAUGUUGCAUGUGAAAAUUACAGACAAGCUUUAUUAAGGAAAUCUGGCUCUCGAAGUUCGGAGAGCGAUGCCUCUUCGGUUGUCGAACAAGCAAUCCUAUCGGGGAUCUGGCUCUCUUUAGAUUCGGAGAGCGGUGCCUCUUUGAUUUUUAAGAAAGCAAUCCUGUUGGGAGUCUGGCUUUUGAGAUUCGGAGAGUAGUGCCUCUUCGAUUUUUGAGAAAGUAAUCCUGUUGGGAGUUUGGCUUUCGAGAUUCGAAGGGCGGUGCCUCUUCUAUUUUUGAGCAAGUAAUAAUGCUAUUCCUUUACCCUUCUUGGUCAUAGCAAUGUAGUGGGAGCUGCAAGCUUCACAUGUUUUAACUUUGUCAGAACGCUUUGAAAAAAAGUGGUAUGUGGUAUCUGGAAAGCUGAUGUUGCGUGUGAAGAUUGCAGACAAGCUUUAUCCAAGGAAAUCUGGCUCUCGAAGUUCGGAAAGCGGUCCCUCUUCGGUUUUCGAACAAGCAAUCUUCUCAGGGAUCUGGCUCUCGAGAGUCAGAGAAUUGUGCCUCUUCAAUUUUUGAGAAAGCAAUCCUGUUGGGAGUCUGACUCUUAAGAUUCGGAGAGCAGUGUCACUUCGAUUUUUGAGAAAGUAAUCUUGUUAGGAGUCUGGCUCUUGAGAUUCGGAAAGUGGUGCCUCUUCAAUUUUUGAGCAAGCAAUCUUAUUGGGAGUGUUUUCUCAAAUGUGAGUAAAGGUUAGGCAUUUUUGCCAGUCUGCCUUGCCACGGAGCACGGAGGUUGACACACAUUGAGACUUUAGAGUUAUCAAGCAGUGGUGCUGUUCUUUUACCCUUGUGGGUAACAGUAGGGUAGCUGGAUCUUCAAAAUUUAUAUGUCUAAACUUUGUCAGAGAUCUUUGGCAAAGUUAUAUGUGGUACCCGAGGAGCUGAUGUUGCGUAUGGAAAAUGGUGCCUCUUCGAAAUCCGGAGAGUGGUACCUCUUCGAUUUUUGAACCAACGGCCCUGUUGCCCUUUCUUUUAUAAGGGCAUCAAUUGUGUGCAAAGAGUACAUUCAGAGAGUUAUUGCUUGUAGGAAUUUUCCCCUUACUUCAAAGAUUUAUUGCACCUCAUUUCUCCUUCAUCAUUUCUGAGAAUGUCUGGCCCAUCCGACCGUCGUUUUGACUUGAACUUUAGUGAAGAGGUAGCUAUGCCUUCUCAAGACAACAUAUGGCACCCAUCCUUCUUAUCCCCUACUGGUUCUUUUACCAUUGGGACUCUGUGAUGAAGAAUGAUAUGACCGCUGCGGUGGUGGCCAGGAACCUUCUCACUCCCAAAGAUAACAGACUACUUUCCAAACGGUCUGAUGAGUUGGCUGUUAAGGAUUCUCUGGCUCUCAGUGUUCAGUGUGCAGGUUCUGUGUCUAAUAUGGCCCAACGCCUAUUUGCUCAAACCUGCCAAGUUGAAUCAUUGGCGGCUGAAGUGAUAAGUCUCAAACAGGAGAUCAGAUGGCUCAAGCAUGAGAAUAAACAGUUGCACAGGCUCGCACAUAACUGUGCUACAAACAUGAGAGGUUUGUGGGUUUGUUCCAAAGGCAUUUAUUGCCUUCGUCUUCUGGGGCUGUACCGCGUAAUGAAGCUCCAAAUGAUCAACCUUCUAUGCCUCAUCCUUCUAGGGUUCUGCCUAGUACUGAGGUUUCGAAUAAUCACCCUCUGGUGCCUCCUCUUUCUGGGGCUCUGCUGACUGCUGAGACUUCUCCUGAGCAACCUUUGUGAAGGAUCCCUCUUGUUUGUUUAUUUUGAUUCAUGUAUAUGUACAUAUUUGUAACUUAUCGGAGAUAUCAAUAAACAAGCUUUGCUUUAUUUCAAUGUAUUGUGUUAAAUACACCAAGGCAUUCUUCACUAAGUUCUUUUUUGAAUUUUUCCUUUUCGUUGAAGCUUUGUGAGUGAAGCAUGUAGGUUGAGGUAGUGCUCCCUUAAUUUCCCGAGUGAGGAAAACUUCUCGUUUGGAGACUUGAAAAAUCCAAGUCACUAAGUGGUCGUGAGACUUCCGAGUAUCAAGGUGCAGUAGCAUAUGGUAGGAGUCCCCCAAGUAUCCGGUCAAGGGAGUUGAUGAAUGAGACAUUUCCUUUCUAAGUGGUAGCCCAAAACUCUUUCUUCAUAUAUAUUUGUUAUGAAAGUUGUUAGGCCCAAAGAAGAGGAGGUCUAGGCAAUUUUUUUUUUUUCAAAUUUUCGAAUUUCCGAAUUUUUGAAUUUUUGAAUUUUUAAAACUUUGUAGGUGAAGCUUUGGUGUUGAAACUUGGUAGGUAAAACUUUGGGGUUGAAGCUUUGUUGGGCACCAUGAAUUGAUUUUGCUUCACACUAUUUUGAUCAAGAUAGUGUGAAGCUUUUGUGUUGAAGUUUUGUGGGUAAAGCUUUUGUGGGUGAAGUUUUUGUGGGUGAAGAUUUUGUGGGUCAAGCUUUUGUAGGUCAAGCUUUUGUGGGUCAAGCUUUUAUGGGUCAAGCUUUUGUAGGUGAAGGUUUUGUAGGUGAAGCCUUUGUAGGUCAAGCUUUGUUGGGCACCAUGAAUUGAUUUUGCUACACACUAUCUUGAUUAAGAUAGUGUGAAGCUUUUGUGUUAAAGUUUUGUAGGUGAAGUUUUCGUGGGUGAAGUUUUUGUAGGUCAAGCUUUUGUGGGUCAAGUUUUUGUAGGUGAAGCUUUUGUGGGUCAAGCUUUUAUGUGUCAAGUUUUUAUGGGUCAAGCUUUUGUCGGUGAAACUUUUGUAGGUCAAGCUUUGUUGGGCACCAUGAAUUGAUUUUGCUUCACACUAUCUUGAUCAAGAUAGUGUGAAGCUUCUGAUAAUUUGUAGUUGUCCUCCAUUGAUGAAGCUUUUGUUGGUAAAGCUUUGGAGUUGAAGCUUUGUAGGUGAAGUUUUGGAGUUGAAGCUUUUGUUGGUGAAGCUUUUGUUGGGUACCAUGAAUUGAUUUUACUUCACAUUAUCUUGAUCAAGAUAGUGUGAAGCUUUUGAGAAUUUGUAGUUGUCCUCCAUUGAUGAAGCUUUUGUUGGUGAAGCUUUGGAGUUGAAACUUUGUAGGUGAAGCUUUGGAGUUGAAGCUUUUGUUGGUGAAGCUUUUAUUGGGUACCAUGAAUUGAUUUUGCUUCACACUAUCUUAAUCAAGAUAGUGUGAAGUUUUUGAGAAUUUGUAGUUGUCCUCCAUUGAUGAAGCUUUGUUGAAUUUCCUUUUUUUUUUUUUUUUUUAGGAAACUAGAAAUUUGAAAAUAUGGGAGAGACAACAUAUACAAAUUUUGCUUCCACACUGUUGAGCAAGAGAUUGUGAUGCAAGCCACACCUUGUAGUAGUCGAAUUUUUGGAUGAACCAUAUAAAUUGAAUUUGUUUCGAAGGUUUGAGAAUUGUAGUUGCCCUCCAUUGAUGAAGCUUUUGUUGGCACCAUAAAUUGGUUUUGCUUCAUACUGUCUUGAUCAAGAGUGUGUGAAGCUUUUGAGAAUUGUGAUUGCCCUCCAUUAAUGAAGCUUUUGUUGGAACCAUAAAUUGGUUUUGCUUCACACUGUCUUGAUCAAGAGUGUGUGAAGCUUUUGAGAAUUGUGGUUGAACUCUUUUGAUGAAGCUUUUGUUGGCACCAUAAAUUGGUUUUGCUUCACACUAUCUUGAUCAAGAGUGUGUGAAGCUUUUGAGAAUUUGUAGUUGUCCUCCAUUGAUGAAGCUUUUGUUGGUGAAGCUUUGGAGUUGAAGCUUUCAUUGAAUUUCCCUUUUUUUUUCUUUUUUCUUUUUUUUUUGGGAAACUAGAAAUUUGAAAAUGUGGGAGAGACAAUAUAUACAAAUUUUUCUUUCACACUGUUGAGCAAAGGAUUGUGAUGCAAGCUACACCUUGUAGUAGUCGAAGGUUUGGAUGAACCAUAUAAAUUGAAUUUGCUUCGAACAUUCUUGAAUUUGCUUCGAAGGUUUGAGAAUUGUAGUUGUCCUUUAUGUAUGAAGCUCUUGUUGACACCAUAAAUUGGUUUUGCUUCACACUGUCUUGAUCAAGAGUGUGUGAAGUUUUUGAGAAUUAUGGUUACCCUCCAUUGAUGAAGCUCUUGUUGGCACCAUAAAUUGAUUUUGCUUCACACUGUCUUGAUCAAGAGUGUGUGAAGUUUUUGAGAAUUGUGAUUGAACUCCUUUGAUGAAGCUCUUGUUGGCACCAUAAAUUGGUUUUGCUUCACACUGUCUUGAUCAAGAGUGUGUGAAGCUUUCUACGAGUUGUAGUGUUUACAUUGUUACAUUGGGGAAAUGUUUGAAGUAGAUGCAAGAGAGCUGAAUAGCUUGAUCUUCGUAUGCCAUGCAUUGAAGUUGCUGUUGGCUUGCAAUAAGACUUUGUUGGUGACUAUAACUCUUGUUGGGCAUAAGUACUCCCCUAGUUGAUUUGUCAAGCUUGAGGGUUUUUGAUUAUUUGUUAAUGCUAGGAGUUCACAUGUACAAGUUGUACCACUCGUCUUCUGGUAGGUGGAAUGAAUGGUGAGUUGCUUUCAUCACUUGGUUGGUGGUACGAAGGUGAGUUCCUUCUUCCCCUGAUUGGUGGCAUGAGUGGCAAGUUGCCAAAUGAUAUUAGAGUACGGGUUGUACAUUUCAUCACCUAGUUGGUGGCAUGAAGGAGAGUACGGGUUGUACAUUUCAUCACCUGGUUAGUGGCAUGAAUGGUAAGUUGCCAAAUGAUAUUAGAGUACGGGUUGUACAUUUCAUCACCUAGUUGGUGGCAUGAAGGAGAGUACGGGUUGUACAUUUCAUCACUUGGUUGGUGGUAUGAAGAUGAGUUCCUUCUUCACCUGGUUGGUGGCAUGAGUGGCAAGUUGCCAAAUGAUAUUAGAGUACAGGUUGUACAUUUCAUCACCUGGUUGGUGGCAUGAAGGAGAGUACGGGUUGUACAUUUCAUCACCUGGUUGGUGGCAUGAAGAUGAGUUCCUUUUUCACCUGGUUGGUGGCAUGAGUGGCGGGUUGCCAAAUGAUAUUAGAGUACGGGUUAUACAUGUCAUCACCUAGUUGGUGGCAUGAAGGAGAGUACAGAUUGUACAUUUCAUCACCUGGUUGGUGGCAUGAAAAUGAGUUCCUUCUUCACAUUUCAUCACCUGAUUGGUGAGAAUAAGGGCAAGGUGUCUUGGCGCAUUGUAGCAAGUGUCGAAUGACAAAAAAUAUGUUGAACCCUUUCAAAGCACAAAUGGCUUAUAUAUGAAUGUGUUGGAAUGUAUGAUUGAACGAAUAUACUGUGAAGCUGUUCGUUUAUUUGUAUAGCCUUGUUGACAUAUACUUAAACUUUGUUUCAUGUUGGAAGCAUUCAUGUUGAAGCUUUGAACCCGAGUGUUUCAUUGCUAAGAAUGUAAGAGGAUUAGGAUCAAGUUGUCUAAAUCACCUCUUUAUUUAAUUCAUGCCAAACAAUCUUCGUUACAUAGGAUGCCGAACGGCUGAAGCUUAACACUUGUACAAUGUGAGUUUACUUGUAAUAGUACUUCAAGUGAUCAGCCUUCAAUGGAUGACCAAGGGUCCUGCCAUCGGAGCUUCUAAGCUUGUAAGAGCUAGGGCGACUGAUGCCAACAGCUUCAAACGGUCCAUCCCAGUUUGGACUAAGUGUUCCUUCACUUGGGACUCUGUUGCAGAGUAAUCUUUUCUUCAAUACCCAGUCCCCCACUUUGAAAGAACGAGGUUUGACCCUUGAGUCAUAGUAGUUAGAGAUGCGCUGCUUGUAGGCGACAUUCCUCAAGUGAGCUUGGUUUCUGUGUUCCUCGACUAGAUCUAAGUUGAGGGUAAGUUGUUUGUCAUUUUCACUUUGCACGUAGUUUUGGACUCGGAACGUUGCUUGCUCAAGCUCAACUAGGACAACUUCCUCUGUUCCAAAGGCAAGUGAGAAUGAGGUUUCUCCUGUUGAUGUCCAAUACGAAGCACGGUAUGACCAAAGAACUUGGGGUAUUAAUUCUAGCUAACAACCUUUAGCUUUGUCCAAGUUGGUUUUCAAAGUUCGCUUAAUUAUUUUGUUGAUGGCUUCAACUUGUCCAUUAGACUGGGGAUGAGCUGGGGAGGCAAAACAUAAGUUGAUGUUAAACUUAGAGUAGAACAUCUUGAACUUAUUGUUGUCGAACUGUCGCCCAUUGUCAGUGACUAUUGCAUUGGGAAUGGCGAAUCUGCAAAGGAUGUUCUUCCAUACGAAGUCUUCUAUUUUUACCUCAGUAAUGGUUGCCAAGGGUUCUACUUCGGCCCACUUUGUGAAGUAGUCAGCUGCAACGAUUGUAUAGCGAACCUUGCCCUUCCUUGCAGGCAUUAGGCCGAUCAAAUCAAGUCCCCAUAGGGAGAAGGGCCAAGGGCUGAUCAUAGGAGUGAGCAGCUGGGAAGGGGAGUGAGGAAUAGUUGUGUAGCGUUGACACUUAUCACAUGAGCGGGAUAUUCUGAUGGCAUCUUGGUGGAGUGUUGGCCAGUAAUAUCCUUGGCGAAAAGCUUUGUGUGCUAGGGAUCGAGAUCCAGCAUGAUCUCCGCAGACUCUUUCAUGUAUUUCCCGAAAGACAGUUUCCGCCUCUGCGGGCGUAAGACAUCUUAGGUAUGGUAGGUUAAAACCCCGCUUGUAGAGUUGGUCAUUAAUGAUCAAGUAACGGGUCGCCUUGUAUCGAAUCUGCUUAGCUUGGAUUUGUCAUUUGGAAGGGUGCCAUGAGUAAGGAAUCUAUAAAUCGGGGUAAUCCAACUAUCUCCUUGUUGUAAGUUGCACACUUCCGCAGCCAUGGUGCUUGGUGCUGCCAACAAUUCGACCUAAAUUUUUCUCCCAAUCUUGUCUUCCACCGCUGAGGCGAGGCGAGCCAAAGCAUCUGCAUGACUGUUUGAGCAACAAUUGUGUUUGUGCCAGAUAUGCUACCAUGGAGCUAUCUUUAGCAUCAAAGUUGUUGAUGACCUGGUUAACCACCAAUUGGGAGUCACUGAAGAUAUCAAUUCGUUUAACCCCAAGGUGUUUGACCAAACGUAAGCCUGCUAGAAGGGCUUCAUAUUCGGCCUCAUUGUUCGACGCCUUGAAUUUGAAACGAAGAGUAUACUCCAUCGCCACUUUGUCAAGGGUUGUAAGGACUAAUCCUGCUCCACAACCCUGUUGGUUGGACGAGCCAUCAACAUAUAGACUCCAUGCUAGGGCUGUUGGUUCUAUUUUCUGAGCUUCUGAGGGUAAUGAAACCACUUCUUUAGGCGUAGAAACAAUGUCAACAGGAUAUGUGAAGUCAGCGAUGAAGUAUACCACUGCUUGGCCCUUCUCAGCUGGCUUUGGUUGGUAGGAGAUGUCAAACUCACCCAAUGCUAUCGCUCAUUUGAUCAUUCGCCCGGAAGUGUCAGGACUUUGGAGUAUCUGUCGAAGAAGAUGAUUGGUAAGCACGAUGAUGGAGUGUGCUUGGAAGUAAGGACGAAGUUUUCAAGCAGACAUGACCAAUGCUAGAGCCAAUUUCUCAAUGUUAGAGUAUCGUGUCUCUGCAUCUUGUAAGGCCUUGCUAGCGUAGUAGACAGGUCGUUCGACAUUACCAUUCUUUCGAAUGAGAACGGAACUUACUGCUGAAGCUGAUACCAACAGAUAGAUAAUGAGAGUGUCACCAACCUCAGGUUUGGAGAACAAAUAGGCUUUACUCAUGUAGUCUUUGAGGUUCUUGAAUGCCUCAGCACAUUCAUCAGUCCAUGUAAUGUACUUCUUACUUCCCUUAAGUGCUUUGAAGAAAGGAGCACAUCUGUCGGUGGCCUUAGAGAUGAACCUAGUUAAGGCUGCCACCUUGCCAGUAAGGCUCUGGAAGUCUUUUGAAGUUACCGGUUCCUUCAUGUCAAUGAUUGCUUUGAUCUUCUCGGGAUUAGCCUCAAUGCCUCGUUGGCUUAUCAUGAAGCCUAAGAAUUUGCUAGAGCCUACGCCGAAGGCACAUUUGUUGGGGUUUAACCUCAUUCGAUACCUCUUCAGAAUGGUGAAAGUUUCAGAUAGGUUGGUGAUGUGUUGGUCAGCAUGUUUACUCUUAACUAGCAUAUCAUCAACGUAAACUUCCAUGCUCUUCCCAAUCUGUUUGGCGAACAUUGAAUUGACCAGUCUCUGAUAAGUCACUCCUGCAUUCUUUAGGCUGAAAGGCAUGACUUUAUAGCAAUAUAGUCCCUUGUUCGUAGUGAAGGCUGUGUGUUCUGGGUCCGGAGGGUUCAUGAGGAUUUGGUUGUAUCUUGAGUAAGCAUCCAUGAAGCUCAGGAGUUCACACCCUGACGUAGAGUCUAUAAGUCUGUCUAUAAGAGGAAUAGGAAAACUAUCCUUCGAGCAUCCUUUGUUUAGGUCGGUGUAAUCGACACACAUUCUCCACAAGACUUUUUGGAGCAGGAGACUUUCCUCGGUCGGAUUCUUCUUAACAAGGACAACAUUUGCUACCCACGUUGGAUAAUUGACUUCGCGAACAAAGCCUAUGCCUUUCAGUUUUUCAACUUCUGCCUUCAUUGCCUCGUACCGUUCAACGUCAUAAGAUCUUCGAUUUUGUCUCACUGGCUUGGUCUUGGGGUCAAUACUUAAGCAAUGACAGAUGAUAUCGAGAGAGAUGUCUGGCAUGUCCUCGUAUGACCAGGUAAAGACCUUAGUGUUUUCUUGCAACAAAGAGAUCAAUGCCAACUGAAUGGGUGGUGACAAGGUGGUGCCAAUCUUCACCAUGCGAUCCGGAUAAUCUUUUGAGAUAGAGACCUUCUUUAACUUUUCAGCGGGUUGUGCUUGCUGGGUGAAAGAGUCAUCUCGAGGAUCGUCAGGUUGACUGUUGCCACCGUGAAAAUCCAAGUUGGCUUCGUCUGGGCUGGUCUUUAUGACUUGGUCAUGUAUAGAAUGGGUUUCCUUGGGCACAGGCAGGUGCCGUUGCUUGAUCGAAGUGUUGUAACAUGAUCGUGCAUUAAGUUGAUCUCCUCUGAUGUAACCAUUGCCAUAGGGGGUUGGAAAUUUCAUCAACAACAUAUGUAUGGAUACCAUGGCCUCGAGAUCAUUGAUGCCUGUGCGUCCGAAGAUGACAUUGUAUGCUGUUGGGCAAUCAACCACCAAGAAGUUAGUGGUAAUGGUAGUUGUGUAAGGGCAUGUACCAAUGGUGAAAGGUAAGUGUAUGCUCCCUAAAGGUUGCACGAUAUCACCGGAGAAGCUUAUCAGAGGGGAAAUCGAGCGAUCGAGUAAGUGUUCAACUACAUUAAGUGCCCUGAAAGCUUCAGCAAACAUGAUAUUGACCGAAACCCCCGUGUUUACCAGGAUUCGUCGUACUUCAAAGUUGGCUAUAUGAGCUUCCACGAUCAAUGGGUCGUUGUGAGGGUAGAUGAUACCUCUUUCUUCCUCAGGGUAGAAACAUAUUGGAUCCCAGUUAGGCUUUUGAUGCUUACCUCCCCUGAUGUCUUCCACGUGAAACACUUGGUGGUCAGACUUUAAAGCUCGUUCACUAUUUUUCAUGGCCAUGUUGGAAGAUUUAGAUAUGGGUGUACCGCCACUUAUGGAAUAUAUCACAUUCACCUGGCGUUGGUUAUGGUUACCCCUUUGAGGGUGAAGGAGGAAAGGUGAUACACUUCUCGCCGUCAUGGCCGUUAUGCUCGUGGUAGCAGCACAACGUGCCCGUGUUCUUCGUGGGCUUGUAAUCCGGGUGCCUUGGUUUUGGCUUCGGUAUCAGGUAUGCUAUGCUAGGGUAAAUGGCCACGCAUGUGGCGUUCAAAAGUGCGUAUGCCUCAUACCUUGGGGUAGGGGCUGUCUUGACACGUGCUUGACCUACUGUGUUGACUGCCUGAGGUCGAGGAUUAUCAUGGCGAUACCCUUGGUUAUUGCGGUAGUGUCCCUUACUCAUUUUACUAAAAUGAGACUGGUGAGGAUGAAAAUCUUUCCUUUUGCCCUGAGAUUGAUAUGUCUGUUGACUUAACAAAGUAUUAAGUAAGGUAGGGGAAGGUACCGCUGCCGUUUGAAAGGUUGAGGUCUUCUCAUUUGGUUGGAUCUGGCUUCCACUCCCUACUUGCUGAUAAGGGGUGGCUGUGUGGGGUUUCCCUUGAUAUGUCCUUGCCUCGACGGAGGCAUGGUUAUAAGCCUGUGCCAUCACCUCAGGAUAAGUCUUCCAAGUGUUGGCAUUGAUCAUGUACUUGAAGAAACAAUCAUGUAGGCCUGUCGUGAAGGCCUUGAGGGUGGUUUUGUCAUUUACCUCAGCGCAGCGAGAAUACUCAUGGCUGAAACGACCGGUAUACUCUCGUAGUGACUCGUCUAGCUUCUGGCGAAUAGUGUACAAGUCAUCUGCAUAAUGCAAGCGAUCGGUCUGGAAGAUGUGUUGAGAGACAAAUAGUUUCCUUAGUUCCUCAAAUUAGUCUACUGUCUCAAGUGGAAGACGGCAAUACCAGUUUAGAGCUCCGUCAGAGAGGGUGGAGGGGAAGAGAAGACAUCGCUCUUCGUCGAUGUGCAUCCGAUAUGCCAUGGUGGACUCAAAGAGGUUAAGGUGUUCAAUUAGGUCUUCCCUUCCAGUAUAGAGUUGUAAACCAAAUUUUUGUUUUGUCUUUGCUUGAAGGGGGUGUCGAGGAUCCUCCUUGUGAGAGGGCCAGGCCUGGGUUGGUUCCAGUCAGGUAUCUCUGCCUAAUGUUCGGCUUUCAACUUGUUUACUUCCUCAAGGAGCUGUAGGACAAGGGGGUCCUGAGUGGAGUCAUGUACCACUGGUAUUUUCUUUCAUAAGUCUCCAUCGCCUCUUGGAAGUAGGAAAGUUUGAGCAAAGGCGUGUGAUUUUUCCUUGGACUCACCGUACUGACUUCUAGGGCGAGUCUGUCAGAAUACCUCAGAGUCUCAUGUACCUUCAUGUUCCUCUAGGACAUGUCGUUCCUUCCCUAGAUUGGCAGCUGGCCUGGGUUGUAGGAGGGGACCGAAUCUUUCAGAAACCCUUGGAUCAUUGAUCUUUGAGCAUAUGUGGAGGGGAUUCUCUCGACGUUGCUUUAGGAAGUCUCGGCAGUCACGAUAAAUGGUUUUCGAUCCUUCCAACCCUUCUGCAAGGAGGUGUCUUCCUCCACUUCUCCUGCUUCAGGUCGAAGCAGCUGGGUCGAGAGAAGUCUCAUGUUAAUCAAUGUUUUGAUGAUUAACUCGUUCCUCAUCAGGGAUACCCAUGUCGAAGGAAGGUGACCCUUUGUGCUGGGGGGCACUCAGAUGAUGGUUGAUGUCCACAGGGGCAACAAGCUCGUGUGUUUGAGUACGCAUAGUUUCGUGGAGCGUCUCAAAGAGCUUCUCGUACUGCUCCUGGAGGACCUCAUUCUUUAUUGCUAUCUUGUUGUUUUGAGCUUCUAACUCAUCGACUUUAGCUUGAAGAAUAACCCUCUUUUCUUCAUUCUUUCGUUGCUUCGCACUAAGUGCAAAAGGGGUGUCUGUGUGCUGUGGCUUCCUUCGCUCCCCAUGUUGGAAAGGGAUGCUUGGUCAAAAGAGAGUGUACGAAUGGUGGAAACCAGCUUAACAAAGCUGAAAAGAGUAGGAAUAAGUGUCGUUCCCACAGACGGCGCCAAACGUUGAUGCACAAAAUCAGUGAGGAUUUUGGUACAACAGAAAGUGUUAAGUUUGUGACCUUCGCUAGAUUGCUCCGGUCACUAGUAUGGAUAAGUAUGUAAAUGGAUAGAGAUAGGGAAGCAAACACAAGAUGUACGUGGUUCACCCAGAUUGGCUACGUCCACGGAGUCGAAGAGUUCUCAUUAAUUGUGAAGGGUUUACACAAGUACAUAGGUUCAAGCUCUCCUGUAGUGAGUACAAGUGAAUGAUUUAGUACAAAUGACAUUAGGAAAUAUUGUGAGAGAAUGAUCCCUAUUUAUAGAAGAGAGUUUCUAGUUUCAUUCUGACAUUGACACGUGUCGUGUUGUGCUUGGCUUCUGAUGUUGACACGUGUCGCGCUAUGAUUGGCUUCUGAUGUCACGUGUCGCGCUCUUCUCUCUCCUCUUCUUGAAUUUUCUUGGCACAUUCUCACAUUCCAAACACAUUUUCUUCUUCUAAUUUUCUUCGAUGCACAUCAAUUUUUUUUUUCUAUAUCUCUUUAAUUUCUUAACUUUCUAAACCAAUUACUUAAUUUUCUUUUAUUGUCCACCCAUCUACGGCUUCCUCUCCUCCUCCACCAAAUGCAAAUGUUGUGCCUUGCAAACACAACACUUUUAAUAAUAAAAAAAAGUUGGGCAUAAUGGAGUGAGGUACAAGGAGUGUCUCAAGAACCAUGUAGCAGCCAUAGGAGAGACUGCUAUGGAUGGCUGUGGCGAAUUCAUGCCCAAUGGAGAAGAGGGCACCAUCGAAGCCCUCAAGGGCCUCAACUGCUCUGCCUGCAACUGCCACAAAAACUUCCACAGAAAAUAAGUUGAAGGUGAGUAGUAGCAGCUUUCCUCUUGGGAUCAUAAUUUCCAUCAUACCAUCAACAAGGAGGUUGGAGUUGGGAGCAAGAAAUUCUUAUUAAAUCAUGGGGGUAGAGGAGGACAUCGCAAAAGUUUACGAGCACAACCCCAAUACCCUCCCCCCCCCCCAAACACCAGAUGAUAAUGUCUAACUACAAUAUGGGGAUGUGAAUGGUGGAGAUAAUGUCUAACUACAACAUGGGGGUGCGAAUGAUGGGGUCUAUCCCGGAUCAGUAUGAUGAGCAAGAAGAUCAUCAUCGUCGUUGUCACGGUGGCGGAUCACGUAUUGACACAACUGAUAGGAGCAUAUUUAUGCGCCUUAGUUUAGCUUGUUCUUGUGCAUUUAUAGUGUUUUUCCUUAGUAAAGUAGUCUUUUAAGCUAGUUUCUUGUGUUCUCAGGUUUUAAAGGCAUAUUACAUAAAAAGAAGCAAUUUGGAGCCUUUUGGAGCAAAAUGGAGCUUGGAUUGGAUAUCACAUAUUUGGAGCCAAGGGUUUGGACGAAAAUGAAGAUUUGAAGAUGAUGUUGCCUACUUGAACAUGGUUUCCUAGUUGAAGUAGGAAAGUCCCUAAUUGAAGAUGGAAUCCUAGUUGAAUUAGGAUUCCUAGUUGAAAUAGGUUUCCUAGUGAAAUUGGGAUUCCUAGAAGAUGAAGUUUCCUACUCUUCCUACUUGAAGUAGGAAAGUUAAAUACAAAUGGCAUCAAGUUUCAGCAACAAAGAAGUUUUCCAAGUCCAAGAAGGAAAAGGUUUCCAAGAUGAAGAAUGAGAAGAAUUCCAAGUCAAGGGAGGAUUGAGACAUGUUUUCCUAAUGCGAGAAGGACUCCUAAGUGUUGUAGGACAAAAAUGAGAAGUUUCUAGAGAGUUCCCCUCCUUGCCGUGAGUUCCUACAUUUCCUAUCAGUUUUGGGGCUUUCUAGAAGCCCUAUCCCUAAUCCCUACAUUAAUGCCGCACCCUAGCUUCUAGAUACCCUAGUUUCUUGCCUUGCAAGGCAUUCUAGAAGGCCUAUCCAUAUCCUAUAAUUCCUGCCGCACCCUUAUUCCCUUAUCCCUUAGGAUUUCUGAUUUCUAAGCCUAAUUCCUUGUGGAUUUGGGUUAUUCAAGUCCAUAUCUGAUUCCCCUAGGGUUUUAAGUGCCUAUAUAUACUCUUAUCAACCCCUAGAUCAGAUUACCACCUCUCACAUUCAUAAAUCACGCCAGAAAUCUGCCCUAGCCUUUGCCGCAGCCUUCCAGCACCAUUCUCCCAAAUUUCUGCCUAAAAACAACCCUAGCCGCACCACCCAUCAACCCUAAAGCCUUCCCUACCAUUCCCCAUCCAUUCAAUAACGUUAGGAAAAUCUGAAGGUUAAUUUAAGCGGACCUAAUUAACUUGGGGCGUUGAGAAUUCAUGGGUUAUUGAAAAGCAAUUGGAAAUCGUUUUGAAUGCAAGUAUAACAUGUGUGGAGAUGAACCCCUUAGCUAGCCUUCCAUCCAUUCAUUUAAACCAAAUUCGUUUUCAAAACUGUUUGUUUUACAAAGUUUAUGUCUUGUUUUAAAUUCGUCCAAACCAAUUCCCCCUUUGUUUUAAAGUGUCAAAUUACUUAGUAAGUGUUUUACUUUGUGUUUUUAAGUGUUUUGAUUCAAGUUAAAACCCAAAUUCGUCCAAUUUGGUGCUUAGUGUCCAAAACUGCCCAGAAAGUGGUUUUUAGGCUGUUUUGAGUCUUUUGGUUUGUUUUGGUAUUUUAAAGUUUAAAUUUGCAUUCUUUGAGUCUAGUUUAGUGUUUUAAACUUGUUUUACGUAUUUGAGUCAGUUUUCAAGUGAUUUUACAAUCCCUCCUAAUCCCCGGCCUAGAACGAUCCCUACUUACAUACUUACUACAAUUGAUAAAAAGAGGGUUAAUUUGAGUGUUAGUUAAUUUUCACAUCAAAUUUUGGCGCCGUUGCCGGGGAUUAGCAACUUUGCUAAUCCCUUGGAUUGUUAUUUUCGUUUUUCUUAUUAGAUCAGAUUCUUAUGUUAUUUUGUUUCUUGUUUUAGGUACUUGUUUAUGACUCGGAGUUCUAAUCCGGUUCACGAACAUAUUUUAGACUUGCACGACGAUUUUGAGCGUGAGUUGAGACGAAAGAGGAAGAACCCGGAACCUAGUGAAUCAAGUGCAAGUUCCGAGUCCGUUUCUGAAUUUGAAGAGGAAGUGGAAGACAUGGCAGUGGACAACCGAACGAUCAAGGAGCUUUCCGCUUCGGGAUUGGAUAAUGCCGCACCUCUAUGUAUCCAAUACCCUAGGGCGGCUCCGGACAAAACUGCCGAGUUCGAAUUGAAGUCAAGCUUGUUACAUCACAUUCCGAAGUACCAUGGGCUGUCCAUGGAAGAUCCGAACAAGCACUUAAAGGAGUUUGAAGUCGUUUGCUCAAGCAUGACUCCGGUGAACGUGGAUGAGAGCAUCUUGAAGAUGAAGGCCUAUCCCUUUUCUCUCAUAGAGAAGGCGAAAGAUUGGUUGUACGAAUUGGCUCCCGGAACUGUCACAUCAUGGGAGAGCAUGAAACGAGCUUUCUUAGAGAAGUUUUUCCCAACUUCUCGAGUCAUCCUCCUACGCAAAAGGAUAAGUGGCAUUCAACAAGAUGAAGGUGAAUCAUUUCCUACUUAUUAUGAACGUUUUAAAUCUCUUGUUGCUUCAUGUCCACAGCAUCAAAUGAAGGAGGAACUACUUCUACAAUACUUCUACGAGGGACUUCUACCAAUUGAACGUCAAAUGCUAGAUGCCUCAGCGGGAGGAGUGUUGGUGGACAAGACCCCCACGGCAGCAAAGACUUUGAUUGCCAAUCGAGCAUUGAACGCUCAACAAUACGAAGGUGUUGGACAAAGAGGCACCCCACGGCAACACCAAGUGAAUGAGGUAAGUGCCAUAACCGAACUUCAAAAUCAAAUGGCUAACCUUACUACAUUGCUUUCUCAGGUUGUGGAAGGGCCAAAAGUUCAAAAUGUAAGUGCGUGUGGCGUAUGUUCCAUGCAAGGACACCCUACGGACAAGUGCCCACAAUUGAUUGAGAACGGAGGGUGGGAGACCCUCAAUGCCGUGGGUUUUGGGCAGCAAUACCAACAAAUGAGUGAUCCCUUUUCUAAUACCUACAAUCCCGGUUGGCGUGAUCAUCCAAAUUUCAAAUGGCGAGAACCCCAACAAGGCCAACAACAAAGCGGAUUUAGGCAACAACCCCCGGGUUUCUGUCAAAAGCAGUUUGCACCCACACAACCUCAAGUACAACCUACCCAAACCAAUUCAGGUUCAUCCAUUGAUAAUGAUCAGAUUUUUCAAUUACUAACUUCUAUGGCGUAGGGUAUGCAAAAUAGAGACAAAAGGAUGGAUGAGUUGGAGAAGCAAGUAGGGCAGAUUGCGGAGUUCAUGGGCCAAUUUCGAGAGCAAGGCAAGUUGCCAAGUUCAACUGUUGUCAAUCCGAGGGGAGGAGUUGAAAUUGCCAAGGCUAUCACGCUAAGAAAUGGGAAAGAAGUAGGAACCGAGCCAAAACCAUCCAAAUCUGCCCUCAAGGAGGACGAGAAGUUGCAAAUGGAAGAGGAGGAGCAAGCAAAAGCCACGGCAAUGAUUGAGCAAUCCUUGCUGCAACCACCCAGGCCAUCCAAUUCGGCCAAUAAAGGUAAGGCAGGUACAAUUCAAGUUAAUUAUAAUGUUAUUCUUCCGAAUGUACCCUUUCCUAGCAGAUUUUUGCAAGCCAAGAACGAAGAAGAGGAACAAGACGUUCUUGAGACGUUUAGAAAGGUGCAUGUCAAUAUCCCUCUCCUCGAUGCUAUAAAGCAAAUCCCGAAGUAUGCCAAGUUUUUGAAGAAGCUUUGUACAACAAGGAAACAGAUUCGGGAGAAAGAGGUGGUACACGUAAGUGAGAAUGUAUCUGCAUUGUUGCAAAGAAAGUUACCACCUAAAUGCAAAGAUCCAGGUAGUUUCACUAUCCCUUGUGUUAUUGGCAAUACGAGGUUUGAUCAUGCUAUGUUAGAUUUAGGUGCAUCUAUAAAUGUCAUGCCAUAUUCUGUUUAUGCAUCUAUGAAUCUAGGGAAGCUUAAAAAUGAUGGUGUUAUUAUUCAAUUAGCCGAUCGAUCUAAUGCAUAUCCCAAAGGAGUGUUGGAAGAUGUUUUGGUGCAGGUAGACCAUUUGAUUUUUCCUGAAGAUUUUCUAUGUGCUUGAUAUGGAGGACUCAACCCACUCUCCCACCAUCACCAUUCUUACUUGGACGACCAUUCAUGAAAAACUGCUCAAACCAAGAUUGACGUGGCCAAGGGAGCAGUAACUAUGGCAUUUGGUGGUGAUAUGAUUAACUUUAAGAUUUUUGAAUCGGUUGAGAAUACUAAUGAUGUUCGUUCUUGUUGUGCUAUUAAUGUAAUUGAAAAUAUAGGGCAGGAAUGUUCAACACUAGUCAAGAAGAAUGUACCACAACCCACCAUCGAGGAAGGAAUUGGAGUGAACAACAAAGAGUGCACGGCUCCAACCUUGAAAUCAUCAAAUCUGCCCGAGUGCAACCCUUGUGCAUCUGUCCAUAGUGCUACCACUUCUUUGCCGUACAAAGGUAAGCCACCUAUUCCAAUUUCGAUUCCCAUUUCAACUAAUAGGUUGUUACCUUGUAUGGUGCAGGUACCUAAUCGAAGACAACGUGGUGGGAGAGUUCGUGUUGAUUUAGAGAAGCAAAACACGACAAUAAGAAAUGAUCAUUAUCCCAUCCCAUUCAAGGACCCAAAGAAUGAAGUAUUUCGUAGGACAGGUAGUGGAAAAACCCCUCCAUGCCGUGGGGUACCAUAAACCUUCAAUGGAGCAUCGUCCGGCUGCAAGACGUUAAAGAAAGCGCUACUUGGGAGGCAACCCAUGCAUUCGACAAAGGAAGACCUAGAGAGCACUCCAAUUCCAGAUUUGCGUUCCUAAACCCUUCUCUUUGUUGUUAUUUCGUUUCUGCCAUGUUAGAUUGUUUAGUUGCUGUUUUCUUUGGUUGUUGGUUAUUUGUGUUAGUUUAUGCUUGAAACAUUGAGGACAAUGUUUGAUUUAAGUGUGGGGGGGUAACCAAAGUGUUUUGAUGCAAAUUCGUAGGGUUUUGUCACCCAUAAUUUCAAAUGUUGUUUCUUGCUGUUUUUAGGUGUUUUUAGGCUGUUUUGGUGUGUUUUAAUGUGUUUUGACAUAAAGAAUCGAAAAUCCCAUAAAAAUUUGAAAAAAAUGUUUUGAAAAAAAAACCAAAAAGAGUUGUUUUUGUGUGUUUGUUUGUGUCUUAAGGUACCUUCCAACACAAUGAUGAGGAUUCGGUUUGUAAUUGCAUGGCUGUUAAAGAAAGUUAUUAACAUGAUGAAAGUUUGAAUUACUCUUUGCUUAUGCUUGGUUGUGGUUAUAACUUAUGAAUUCACAUGUAAUCAUAAAGAAAAAUUAGUUUUUGUAACAUGCUUGAAGGAAGGAACUCAAACAAAUACUACAACCUUGUGAGACUUGAGCCUAAAUGUUUAUUUGGAGAGUUAAAAUAUGUGCAUUCUUGUUUUCUAAAGUCGUUGCAUGAUCUCAUUAUUCUUUGCUUGGUUACUACUUAGAAGGCGUUUCAUCAUUUAGUUCCAAACACUAGAACUCAUGCCAAUGUCAUUCAAAACAUGUUAUUGAAUUGCAUAACACAUAUUCAAGAUGAAGUUGUUUAGUAGUUACCACCAUAGCCAAAAAGCCUUCAUUCCAUGCAUUUGUUUUUGUAGGUUUAACCCCGUUGAGCCUUGUUUAGCCUAUGUUGUUUGUUAACCCACAUUAUCCUUACCUAGCCUAGAUUAGGACCAUCCAUACCUUUGUUCUUGAAGCAUAGUAAUGAAUGACUCAAAAUGAAGUCCUUUUGGUCAUUAUUGGCAGAAAACAAGUGUGGGGGAAGUGAGUUUUGUUGUGGGUGUGCCAAAGUCUUGAAUGAGGCAUGAAAAAGAAAAAAAAUAAAUAAAAUGAAAUUCGUGGAAAAAGAAAAAGAAAAAGAAAAAAGUGUGAAAAGUAUGAAAAAGGAGUUGAAAAGAUGUGAAAAAGAGUUCUAAAGUGUUGAUUGUUGAAGAAAGGGUCCAAAAAGUUGAAUUCGGCCCUAAUUGUUGUUGAAUCUUCCCUUUGUGUUUAAAAGUUAAUUUCUGCAUGCUAAUGGGAAUUCUGAGUACGAUUUCAUUGUUUUGCUUACUAUUGCUUUAAGAACGUUUGUUUCCCCUAUCCUUUCGUUGUUAGCCAACUCCCCUAGCCCCGUUACAACCCUUGACUUUAAUCUUGAGUGUUGUGUGUUUCAAUUUGUGGAGUUUGAGUUUGGUAUGUGCAUAUGGUGUCACUGGUUCUCGCAUCUAAGUAGUAGCAUUCCAUUCAUGAGAUCAUAUUGAUAAACAUGUUUAUUAACUCCGAAAAGUGCUUUCUUUGUUAUACAUAUAUGUGAGCGUUCGUUUUCAUAUUUACAUCAAUCUUCUCACAUAUAACUAGUAUAGGGUGUGUAGUCAGAAAAUCUGUGUGAAAAUUGAGUGCAUAUCUAGUAAGGAAUUGAGGAAAUUCUCUAAGGCAUGUUACUACAUUCAAAACAUUGUUUUAAUUGGUUAUUUGUGAACUAAUGAGUAGUGACUAUGAUUAAGUAUGUGCUUAAGCGUAAAGAUGGCUAAAAUCUGUGGGAAUCAUGAUUUUUAACAUGUCAUGUGCAUUGGAAAUCCCUGAGGCGAUUGUUGGAAGGUUUAGGUUGUGUUUUACUCGUUUUGUGUCGUUUGUUUACUUUGUUUCGUUUUGUUUUGCUCGAGGACUAGCAAAAGCUAAGUGUGGGGGAAUUUGAUAGGAGCAUAUUUAUGCGCCUUAGUUUAGCUUGUUCUUGUGCAUUUAUAGUGUUUUUCCUUAGUAAAGUAGUCUUUUAAGCUAGUUUCUUGUGUUCUCAGGUUUUAAAGGCAUAUUACAUAAAAAGAAGCAAUUUGGAGCCUUUUGGAGCAAAAUGGAGCUUGGAUUGGAUAUCACAUAUUUGGAGCCAAGGGUUUGGACGAAAAUGAAGAUUUGAAGAUGAUGUUUCCUACUUGAACAUGGUUUCCUAGUUGAAGUAGGAAAGUCCCUAAUUGAAGAUGGAAUCCUAGUUGAAUUAGGAUUCCUAGUUGAAAUAGGUUUCCUAGUGAAAUUGGGAUUCCUAGAAGAUGAAGUUUCCUACUCAAACAAGGUUUCCUACUUGAAGUAGGAAAGUUAAAUCCAAAUGGCAUCAAGUUUCAGCAACAAAGAAGUUUUCCAAGUCCAAGAAGGAAAAGGUUUCCAAGAUGAAGAAGGAGAAGAAUUCCAAGUCAAGGGAGGAUUGAGACAUGUUUUCCUAAUGCGAGAAGGACUCCUAAGUGUUGUAGGACACAAAUGAGAAGUUUCUAGAGAGUUCCCCUCCUUGCCGUGAGUUCCUACAUUUCCUAUCAGUUUUGGGGCUUUCUAGAAGUCCUAUCCCUAAUCCCUACAUUAAUGCCGCACCCUAGCUUCUAGAUACCCUAGUUUCUUGCCUUGCAAGGCAUUCUAGAAGGCCUAUCCAUAUCCUAUAUUUCCUGCCGCACCCUUAUUCCCUUAUCCCUUAGGAUUUUUGAUUUCUAAGCCUAAUUCCUUGUGGAUUUGGGUUAUUCAAGUCCAUAUCUGAUUCCCCUAGGGUUUUAAGUGCCUAUAUAUACUCAUAUCAACCCCUAGAUCAGAUUACCACCUCUCACAUUCAUAAAUCACGCCAGAAAUCUGCCCUAGCCUUUGCCGCAGCCUUCCACCACCAUUCUCCCAAAUUUCUGCCUAAAAACAACCCUAGCCGCACCACCCAUCAACCCUAAAGCCUUCCCUACCAUUCCCCAUCCAUUCUACACCACAAAUAACUCCAAAAAAAAACCUGUCUAAAGUUCUCUGCCGCAGCAAGGAGGAAGGAGGAUUCUUGGAUGCACUUGCUGCCACGUUGGAGCAUUCUAGGUGUUUUCUUUCCUUUGAUUUUAAUGUCUAAAUUUAUGAAUCUUUGCUUUGCGAGUGUGAGGAACUAAACCCCCCUUGGCUAGGGGGGAUUCGAAAUACAUGUUUAUGCUUGCGAUAUGAUUUGAUUACUUCUAAUUGCGUUUCAUAAGUUGUGAAUUCAAUUUACUUAUCUAUGUGAAUAACAUUGAUUUGUGUGUGUUGGUUGAGAGUGCACGCUUAAUUAUCAUGCAUAAAUUGAAUGCUAGGAUAUAAGGAAAUUUCACCUAAUCAUUAUGGACUUAUAUUCACAAGUAGUAAAGGUUGAUGAUCUCAAUCGCGUUAAGUAAAUUCUUGGCAUAAGUUUCAUGCAAUCAUAGUAACAAGUGCUUCGUCAAUGCUUAUGGUUUUCAUAGAACUUAAUGAUUCUUGCUUGUAUCUCUAUUAUGCAAUCAUGUAGGGGACUUGUGGGGAAUGCUUUGGGUUGUCGUAUGCAAUCAUCCAAUUCAAUAACGUUAGGAAAAUCUGAAGGUUAAUUUAAGCGGACCUAAUUAACUUGGGGCGUUGAGAAUUCAUGGGUUAUUGAAAAGCAAUUGGAAAUCGUUUUGAAUGCAAGUAUAACAUGUGUGGAGAUGAACCCCUUAGCUAGCCUUCCAUCCAUUCAUUUAAACCAAAUUCGUUUUCAAAACUGUUUGUUUUACAAAGUUUAUGUCUUGUUUUAAAUUCGUCCAAACCAAUUCCCCCUUUGUUUUAAAGUGUCAAAUUACUUAGUAAGUGUUUUACUUUAUGUUUUUAAGUGUUUUGAUUCAAGUUAAAACCCAAAUUCGUCCAAUUUGGUGCUUAGUGUCCAAAACUGCCCAGAAAGUGGUUUUUAGGCUGUUUUGAGUCUUUUUGGUUUGUUUUGGUAUUUUUAAAGUUUAAAUUUGCAUUCUUUGAGUCUAGUUUAGUGUUUUAAACUUGUUUUUACGUAUUUGAGUCAGUUUUCAGUUUUCAAGUGAUUUUUACAAUCCCUCCUAAUCCCCGGCCUAGAACGAUCCCUACUUACAUACUUACUACAAUUGAUAAAAAGAGGGUUAAUUUGAGUGUUAGUUAAUUUUCACAUCAAAUUUUGGCGCCGUUGCCGGGGAUUAGCAACUUUGCUAAUCCCUUGGAUUGUUAUUUUCGUUUUUCUUAUUAGAUCAGAUUCUUAUGUUAUUUUGUUUCUUGUUUUAGGUACUUGUUUAUGACUCGGAGUUCUAAUCCGGUUCACGAACAUAUUUUAGACUUUCACGACGAUUUUGAGCGUGAGUUGAGACGAAAGAGGAAGAACCCGGAACCUAGUGAAUCAAGUGCAAGUUCCGAGUCUGUUUCUGAAUUUGAAGAGGAAGUGGAAGACAUGGCAGUGGACAACCGAAUGAUCAAGGAGCUUUCCGCUUCGGGAUUGGAUAAUGCCGCACCUCUAUGUAUCCAAUACCCUAGGGCGGCUCCGGACAAAACUGCCGAGUUCGAAUUGAAGUCAAGCUUGUUACAUCACAUUCCGAAGUACCAUGGGCUGUCCAUAGAAGAUCCGAACAAGCACUCCUAAUCCCCGGCCUAGAACGAUCCCUACUUACAUACUUACUACAAUUGAUAAAAAGAGGGUUAAUUUGAGUGUUAGUUAAUUUUCACAUCAACAACUGUAUGGAAAUCGCAGGCUUUGUUGAUCUUCAACUUCAUUUGCUUGAAUCAAUAAGACUUUGAGGUCCGUUUGUAUGUUCGGAAAUUGGAGAUUGAAAUAGAGUUGAAUUCUAAGAGAUUUGAAGAGAGAUGGAUCUUUGAUUGGAAAAAGAUUACCGACUGAUGGUUUGAAAAAAUCCUUCCUCAUAUUGUUCUUCUCUGUAAGUGGUGGAUCACGUAUUGAUAGAGGUGCAGGACUUGCACGCGCUUUUGUUAGGUAUUUUAUUUUUAUUUCUUUUUCUUUCUCUUGUCCUUAUAAUUAAAUAAAGUUAGUGGGUGGUUUUUGGUUAAAACUCAAAGUUUUCAAACCCUUUUCAUUAGUUUUCCUUAUUUACAAAGGGAGAUGCAUAAUGUAGUAAAUAUUGGGAAAAAUAUUUCUAGAGUAUACUUUUAAUACUUAAUUAUGUAUUGACACAACACUUUUUAAACAUUUCAAGGAGUGAUAAAAUUUUAAACACAGAGGAUGGCAUCAUGGGUAUUUUUUUUUGUUAGAAUGAAUGUUAUGAAAUUAUCCUUCCGUCCGUUUAAAAGCAUGGCUGACAGAGAGUACUAGCUUUGGAUUCAAUCAUUCAUAUUCAAAAUCGUUCAAUUUCCUUUUGUGUUCCCUCUAUUGAUGGUUUAUGUUCAGAUUUCAGCUUGAGUUUUAUUAUUUGAAGGUAAGUUUUGUUCUGAUUUUAUAUUUGAAUUUUCUUUUCAGGUUUUGUUCUGAUUUCAUAUGUGUUGUGCGAUUUUGAAUUUUUUCUGAUUUAGAUUUUGAACGAGUUUGUGAUCUUCACGUUUUGAUUUUUUGCAUUCAGUUUUUUUUUUUUUAUCGAGUUUGUAUUUUGCGAGUUUAUUUUUGCAGGCACUUUUUUUUUACGAUUUUUGUUUUGCGAUUCAGUUUUUUGAUCGAGUUUUUGGCAAAGGUGAUUUUUCUUUGUACAUAUUUGUUUGCAUUCAGUUUUGAUAUUGAAGUAUAGAGAACAUGUAUAUCAUGCAGAAUCACAUUAGUUAUUUAAAAGGAUAAUGGAUAAGGAAUCAGUUUUUUCCACAAAAUUUUAUUUAUGUACAUUAUCAAUUUAAUUAGAAUCAAUUUAUACUUUACGUAUAAUCAAUUUAUUACAUUAUUCAUAAUCAAUAUUUUUUUAGGCAUGAUCAAUUUGUGAUAUUGUGGGGUGGGGGGGGGGGAAUCCCUAAGCAACAUUAAGAAUUUCAACAUUAUUAACAUUUAUGUAAAAUGAGUUUGUACAGGAUCAAUUUUUAUGCAUAAUUAGUUUGUGAUAUUGUUGUGUAGGGGGUUGGUGGGGAACCUUCCCUCAAGAAACAUUUAAGAAUUUCAACAUUACUAAUAUUUAUGCAAAAUAGGUUUAAACAUAAUUAGUUUUACAUAAAAAAAUGUAUGCAUAUAUCUAAUUAUUUGUUUGUAGAAUAAGUUUAUGUAUUGUCAUUGUGUUUAUAAUAUAUGUGUAGAAUUAGUUCAUACAAAAUCAGUUUAUACAUAAUCAAUUUAUACAACAUUACUUUAUACAACAUCAGUUUAUACAUAAUCAAUUUAUGAUUUUUUUUCUUUUAUUUUUGUGUGUAAAUUAUGUUUGUUGUUAAGGUGUUGAAGUGUGUAUGUGAAAUGGUGUAGUAGCUGUGCCACUAUAUCCGCAUACUAUUUAUGAGGAUUUGUGUGAGUAAUUAAGUUCUAGGUUUCCUACUUUGUUGCUAGGAUGGUUUUCCUUGAAAUAUUCAUUAUACGGUGAUGAAGCAAACUGUUUGUUAGAGUGCAAUGAAGAUAUUCAUACUUUCCAUUAGUGAAUAAUUUGAUUUCUAAUCCAAUUGUUGAGGUUUAUGUUCAUGAUAAGAAUAACAUAUCUAUAGUUUCUACUAGUAGUGCAUCGUCCUCUUAUUUAAGUGAAACGAUUAGGACUAGAGAUAAUAACUGAUACUUGGGGCAAAUAUGGUUUUUAUGAACCUCACCAUUAUGCAACAAAUGAGUGGUAGAGUUAUAUUUCUUACGAGGGUCAAAGUUAUGAAAAUGGUGCAGUUCAGUUGUGUAGAAAACUGAUACAAUAUUCUAUUGAAGUUGGGUUUGUUUUCAAGUACACCAGGAAUGAUUGAAAGCAUAUUGUUGCUAUUUGCUCAAAGAAAUUGUUGGAGGGGUGUUAAUGGCGUGUUCAUGCUAUUGUGCAACAACCCAAUGUUUGUUUCAUCAUUAAAAAACUUAAAUAAUAUUCAUACUUGCAGUGGACAUAUUCGUCAAAACGAGAAUAAAAUGUUCGGUCUUUCUGUUUUAUCCUUUUUGUUGGUUACCAAAGUUCGUUUGAAUUUGUCUAUUAAGGCAAAAGAGGUUAUAGGGGAAAUGAAGGAGAGUUAUGGUCUUGAUGUUAAAUACCAUGUAGCUUGGUGUGGUAAAUAGAUUGCAUAUAAUGAGGUUAAUGGUGAUGAAGCUCUCUCUUACAGAUGUUUGUCUUGAUACCUUGAUGAGUUUGUGCGUGCCAAUGAUGAAUUCUUUUGUUCUCUAGAACUUGAUAAUGAUAUUAGUCGGUUUGAAAGGUUAUUCAUAUCUUUUUGUGCAUAUAUUAAAAGAUUCUAAUGGUGUAGACCAAUAUUGUUCCUUAUAGAACGUCUUUGAAGGGCAAAUAUACUGGUACUUUUCUUGACUGUUGUGCGAAAAAUACAAAUAAUGGAAAGUUUUUUUUAAUGUGAUAGAUUACAGAUUCAAUUUAUUGUUUUUAUAGUUCUGAUAUUAUUUGCAGAAUCAGUUUAAUGUUUUGAGUUUUUGUAGAAUUAGUUUGUGAUAUUGUUGUGAAAGGUUUAUUUUUUCUUUUGUUUUUGUUUUUUUAGGGGAAGGGGUGUGGUUGGGGGGACCCCCUGAGGAUUAGUUAAGAAUUUCAACAUUAUUAACAUUUAUUCAGACUUGGUUUUCCAUUUUUUUUUGUAGAAUCUGUUUUGUGAUACAUUUUUUAUUUAUUUUGUGUUUUAUACUGAGAUUUGUUCCUGAGAUUUGUCAAUCUUUUAAACAUGUACCACACAUGCUCACUUUAGAUCUUUGUUCCUCAAAUUAGACUUCAGGAUACUUAGUAUUGAAGUCUGAGCUAUGGAAGAUCAAAGUAUAUAUGGUGUUGCCUUAUCACAUGUAAGGUUUGUACAUGCAUAUGCAUUUCACGUUUAGAUUCUUAUGCAUUCAAUCUAGUGAAGUUGUCCCGCUAGAAUUGCUCGUUGUUUUCAUGCGAGCUGGGCACACAAUUUAAGGCCAUCCACAUAGGCUGAUUGACACCUUUUAUAUAGGAUUAAGGUUUUCACAAUUGAUAUGUUCAGAUUACUUUUCAUUUGACAAGUGUUUUUUAAUUUUUUUUAAUUUUUUUAAUGUACUUUUGUCUGCUACAAUCAAAAGUUUUCAUUUAAUAGGGCUGGAGAAUUUCAUUUCCUCCAUGGUGUGAAAUACUAUUUUGUAGAGAGUAUUUGUUUUUCUUAUCCAACUCAGAUCUCCUAGGAGCAUCAAGCAUUUUCUAGGUAAAGUUCUUCAUUGAAUAUUUAUAGAACUGUCGAUGAAAAAGCUUGCUUAAAUCUUCUUAGAAGCUCAUUUGUUUUGGGUUAGAUAAUUCAAAAGAGUGGCAUAAGCUCUUCGAGCCUCAUCUUCUUAUUCUAUGAAACCCUAGCUGCAUAUACCUUUUUUAAAGCAUUAAACUUCUGCUAACUCACUCACAACGUCUUUGAAAAAGGUUUGCAUUGUUCAUGGUCUAGAUCUUAGUUUCAAUUUUUUAUAUAGACCUUCUUUUGGAUUCUCAAUUAGUUUCUUCUUUCAGCUGUUUGACUAGAGAAAUUGACUUGUUAUUUGAAACCACACACCAUAUCAUCCUCCUCAUCAUAUCAUUCUACAUAGAUUGUGUUGCUCUCGAUUCCACAAUGAGAUGAGCUAAAGGGAUGGAAUUGCCUUGUUGUGAAGAUAUCUCUAGCUUGUGCAAAGUGAGGUUGCACAAAGGUAUCAAGCUACUUAGAAUAGAUCUAGGAAUUGAGCUUGUGGUGGUACUUUGUAUGAACCUUAUUUGCACUAGUGGAUUGGACUCUGUGGAGUCCCCGGUUUUUUAAUCCAUUGGGGGGUUUUCUGGUCCAAACUGUUUGUUUUCUUUGUAGUUUAAACUUGUUCACAUAUCUUUAUCACAUGCUAUAUAUAUUAUGUGACUUGUUUUAUAUGUGCUUGUUCUUAAGUUUUCACUGCAUGAUUAUGAGAUAUUAACUGCAUGGGUUGUUAACUAGGUUAACUUAUUAAAAAUUGAGUUUUUUUUGUUGGAUUUGUGUUUUUAUAACUACCACAUUUGCACUUAGUUGACUAGUUUGUUUGACAAGUCAAUCUAUCAUAGUUGCUAUACAUUCCACCUGGUACCAACUUAAUUGUAUCAGAGCUUUGAUUUAGAUAUACAUAAAGUGAUCUUUAGGAGUUAUUGGUAUUGGGUGGAAUCUCACCAUGGAUCGUGAUCGUAUUGCUGGUUCUUGUAACUUGCCUCUUUUAUUUGAUGGAACGGACUACGCUGCAUGGCGUGAGAAUUUUCAAAUCUUACUAGAAGCACAAGACUUAAUUGAUGUUGAUUAUCUCACCUUUGAAUGGAAAGCUCAUUUGAGGAUUGUUGAUGGUAAAUUUGUGGUAAACGCUGAAUGCGAUUGGACUCUUAGUGAACUCACAUUGGCCAUGGCAAACAGAAAAACAAGGAAUAUCAUUGUCAUUGCAAUCUCACCAACUCAGCACACAUUCGCUAUCACCACGACAAAACAAGUAGGGGACAAACUCAUAAUCCUUCAUGAAGGUGAUAAACAAGUGAGAGAUCUCAAACUUCAGAUGAUUCUCUCGAAGUUUGAGGAUUUAAGGAUGAAGGAGUCUGAGUCCUUUUCGGCUUUCUAUGAACAUAAUUGAAAUGUUGACGAAUGAAGCCUUAUGUUGGGGAAAGCCUAUUGAUGAGACAACUAUUGUACAAAAGAUCUUGAAAACCUUGCAAACGUGAUUCAAAGCAAAAAAGGCAGUUUUUCAGGAGUGUCAAGACUUAUAUGAGAUCAAACUUGGAAAGUUGGUUGGUAAACUAAUCACUUAUGAGAUGGGGCUUGACAUGGAAGAAGGUGAUUCAAAGAAGAGAAAAGAUAUUGAUCUUCAAAGUGUAGAAAAUGCUAAAGUUACCUUUGAACCUUGUAAUUAAUCCCUUGAAGACGAUCUUGCUUUGUUUGUUAAACAAUUUAGAAGAAUUCUCAAGAACAAAGGAAGAGAGGUAAAAAAAACUGGGGGGGGGGGGGGUCAUAAAAAGAUUUCAAGUUUCAACCUCAAGGUAAGUUUACAUUUGGUAGAAAGUAAGGAAAGUUUGGCAAUUGUAGGGACUAGGGGUGGGCACGGGCCGGGCCUGGCCUAAUUUUGAAGGAACUGGACCUUACCCAUUUUAAAUAGUAACGGGGCGGGAAGGGCUGGGUAGAGGGAUUUUGAGUUUAGGAACCGGACCUAACUCGGCCCGUUUCAAAUGGGCCGAUUCGGGACGAGUCCACGGGUCCAACUUUUUUUUUUUUUUUUGUAAUUUAUAUACUGCACAGCAACAGAGACAUGUUUUAGAAAAUUACAAGAUCUAUUUCACAAGCUUCUACACACAUGAGCUGUUUUUUAAAAUUGAAGAUGCGCUGCACAUCAAUUCUUAUAUAUUCUUAUACACACACACACACAUAUUAAUAAACCAGAUGUGGGAACUCGGCAAGUAUCAUUAGCAGUCACCAAUAAGGCACUGAACUCAAAACUAUAUAAAUCCUUAUGUAAUGGACUGUACAAACUAUAUAAAUCCUUAUGUAAUGGACUGUACAAAUUCACUGAAUCUCUUCAACUAGUGAAAGAGUACAACCAUAAUAUAGAGACUAAGAAAAGAGGAAAAAAUGAAAACAAAACAUUUUCUUUUAAUAAUAACAAUAUUUGGUAUUACAAUAGCACCUUGACAAGAGGGUACACAGACCCUUGAUCCUAUCAUUAUAAAAUAAAAGGCUAGAAGAAGUAUGAUUCGACAUAGCCUAGUCUCCCACUAAAACAAAUGACAUUUUUGCAUUCAACGGACAACACUAGAUUUCAUUAACCAAACAUAAAUAUAAUCGUAAAAGAAAGGCAAAAUUAAAUGUAUCAGUAAAUGAAUGAAGUUCUCUAGCCAAUUUUGCACCAUGUCUCAAUGCCAGUUCAAGCAUCUGUGGUACUUGAGCUAAACAAAAUGUGACGGAUUAACCACAAUAGCAGAACCUCAUCGACCGUAAUAAUACAUCGAAUCUGCUCUAGAUUAACCACAAUAGCCUUUUCUCUUCCAAGGAUGGUUGAAGAUACAUCUUAUAUAAAGCUUUGAAUGUAAAUUCAUCUUUGAAGAACAUCAUAUACAAAUUCAAUCUACAAACUCAUCUUUGACUUACAAACAUCAAGAUUGCAGCUUCAAUUACCAAUUUUAGUUCAAAAAUAAAUAUCUUCAAAAAAUUGUAACAAAUUUAAAUACCAACAACUUAAAAUCUACAAUCUAUAAGCAGAUCCAUAAAAUUCAAAACCAAUCGAAAAGUUUCAGCAAGUAAUCAAAUCACAACAGUCCAUAUAAUGAAUCGAAAAACUUAUGUAAUCACAGCCCCAAAAAACCUAAAUUCCCAAAUCAGAAACCCACAUAAUUCCUAAAUCAAUUGAAAAGCUUAUGUAAAAACGAGGCCUGAAACGAGAGAUGAGAAGAGAUUCAGGGAGUGAGUGCGACUAUGCGAGGUUUGAGAGAGUCGGAGAGACAGGUCUAAGAGAGUCAGAGAGAUGGACUCUGAUAUAUGUUUUAAUGCAGAGAUUUGAUCAACGGACUAGAUUAAAUCUCAUAUUUUUCAAUGGUGGAAAUGGUCCGGGCUGGGGACCCGUUUCCUCAGUAAUUAGAACUCGCCCCGCCCUGCAAAUAACGUGGAACCGCCCCAUCCUGUCCCGUUUCAGAUUUAAAAAAAAAAUUGGACCCGCCAUUACCCGUAGGUCCAUGCCCCGUUUGCCCACCCCUAGUAGGGACAAGCCUUCUAUUAGUGAACCCCGAACAUGUUUCUCGUGUGGUGGUAUUGGACAUCGAGUUGCUGGGUGUGCAAACAAUAGGAAGCCAAAUCGAAAACGUGGGAAAGUAAUGAUGGCUACCUGGAGCGAAAGCGAAAGUGAUGGAUCUAUGUGUUUUGACAGGUCAUCAGAUGAUAAAGAGAAAACUAUUGCUUUUGUUGCCUCAGUUAAAGAGGUGUAUCCUAGUGAUGAUGAACUAGUGUUGAAUGAUAUUGAGGAGUUGAUGACUCAUUUUUUUGUGACACUUGUGUUGCUAAAGUGGAUAAUAUUGAGCUGUUCAGAAUGCCUCUGAGAUGUAGAAAGAAAAUGAGUCACUCCGACUAGUUAGAAUGGAAUUGAGUGAAAAAGUGGUUUCUCUUGAGGAUCAAGUCAAGUUUCUAAAAGAAAUGGGCUUUUUUAGUGAUGACAAAGAAGAAAAUGAUGAAAUUGUUGCUGCCCUUGAAGCUCAAGUUCAUGAUCUAAAUAAAUCUUAAGAAAACUUGUUAAAUCAAGUUCAUGUAUUAAAGGCCAACAAUGUAAUGUAUCAUAACGAAAAUUUAAAGCAGUUGGCCAAGCUGAAUGUGGCCAACAACAAUGUCAUUCAUCUUACCAUUGGUGCUGAAGGAAUUGACCAAAAACUGAGUAUUAGGAAACCAUAUAAAGACAAAAGUGGUUUUGAUUUUGUUGAAAGUGGUUCAAGUUCUAUGGCUAUUAAGACAAAGUUUGUGAAAGAAUCAAAACUUGUGUCUUCUAAUGUCAAUCCUAGCUCAGAUAACAAAUUCAUUCCCACAUGUUAUCACUGUGGUGAAAUGAGUCAUAUCCGACCAAAAUGUUGGAAGCUUUACUCUGGAAAGAAUGACUUUGAAGGAUUAGGUUGAUCAAUUAGUCGUUGAUGUUAACAAAAAUGCACAACUUAUUCAAUCAUUUAGUUUGAAUCAUGUGGUCCUCAAUGCACUUUCCGCCACCAAACCAAAUGCUUGGUAUCUUGAUAGUGGGUGUUCUCAUCAUAUGUCUGGGGACAAAGAUGCCUUCUUGUCACUUGUUCCCUUUAGUAGUGGUGGUGUGGUAUUUGGUAAUGGCGACAAAUCUCAAAUCAUUAGGAAGGGUGCUGUCAAGAUCCCUGGUCUUCCUCAGCUCAAAAAUGUUAGCUAUGUAAAAGGGUUGAAGUCAAGCCUCAUCAGUAUUAGCCAGUUGUUUGAUGAAGUAUUUGAUGAAUUUUUCUUCUCCCAAAGAGGUUGCCAAAUUAUGGAUGAAAAUGGGAAGAAUAUGCUUGUCCUACCAAGAUUCGGAGACAAUUGCUACAUUCUUGAUGCUUUUAAAGUUGGUGAAUAUUCAAAGUGCAACAAAGCAAUUGAUGAAACUAGGGUAUUGAGGCAUAGAAAACUUGGUCAUGUCAACUUCAAAGAUCUUAAAAAAUGAUCUUUAAAAAUUGUCCAAACAUGAGGUUGUAAGAGGUCUACCAUAUCUUUUUGUCUUUGAGUCCCAUGUUUUUGGAUCAUGCCAAUUAGGAAAGCAAACUAAGGUGGCCCACAAGAAAGUAACUGAUAUUAGCACGUCCAAAGCUCUUUAAUCAGUGCAUACAGGCCUAGUUAGACCAAUCUAAACCUUGUUUAUUGGUUGGAAGAAAUACAUCUUGGUAAUUGUGGAUGACUACUCUAGAUUCACUUGGGUAUGCCUUUAAGAGAGAAGUCCGACAUUUUUCAACAAUAUCUUAUUGUGUAGAAAAUGAUGUUGAAUGAGUCUUUAUCCAAUCAUCUUGCACCAGUCAGGGUUCGAACUAAUGAUGGCUCUAAGUCCUCCAAUGUGCACUUUGAUGAUUUCUGCUUAACAAAUGACAUCAAGCAUGAGUUCUCUGCUCCAAUCACUCCUAAAAAAAAUGGAGUCAUUGAGAGGAAAAAUCGCAUUCUAAUUGAGAUGACAAUGGUGUUGCUAAGUAGUAAAAAUAUAGCGAAACACUUUUGGGCCAAAACCAUGAGUACAACUUGCUACAUCUCCAAUCAUGUCUUCUUUAGACCUGGCACAAAUGUGACUCCCUAUGAACUCUAGAGAGGUAAAAAACAUUUGGUUAAGUACUUUAGAGUUUUUGGGAGUGUUUGCUAUAUCUUGAGAGAUCGCGAACACCUACCAAAAUUCGAUACUAAAAGUGAUGAAGGAAUUUUCUUGGGCUACUUCAACAUAAGCACGACCUAUAGGCUUUAAAAUCUUCAAACAAAAACCGUCAUGGAGUCCAUUAAUGUUAAAGUGGAUGACUCUGAUGUUCCUUUUGCUCCUUAUAUUGGACAUGGCGACGCGUUCUCUCCUCUUUCAAAAGAGAACAGUGAUGCUUCUAGUGAGUCAAUUGUGUUGUUAAAAAGUGACUAAGACAUUCAAGUAAGUACUGAUCAAGAUUCCCCUAUCACGCUCAAGGAUAAGCUAAAAUGGGCCAAAAGUCAUUGAUAUGAAGAGAUAAUGGGUCCUGCUGACAAAGGUGUUAGAACUCGAAGACAAAUUGCAGGUGAAGUUGGUCAUAUGUGAAAUGGCUCUCAAACUGAGCCAAGAAUACCAAAGAUGCUUUGACUGAUGAGGAAUGGAUUUUAGAAUGCAGAAAGAGCUAAAUCAAUUUGAUAGGAAUGAGGUCUGGUUCCUUGUAGAUCAUUCAUCAAACACAAAUGUUAUUGGCACCAAAUGGAUAUAUAAGAAUAAGUCUGAUGAGUCAAGAAAUGCUAUUAGAAAUAAGGCCAGACUUGUUGCACUAGGAUACUCUCAACUUGAAGGUGUUGAUUUCGAUGAAACCUUUUCUUUUGUUGCUUGACUUGAAUGUGUUAGACUCUUUUCAGCCAUUGCUUACCAUUUGAAGUUCAAAUUGUUUCAAAUGGAUGUCGAAAUCACUUUCCUUACUGGGUAUCUCAAUGAAGAAGUCUACGUGGAACAGCCAAAGGGUUUUGAGGAUCUUCACAAUCCAAAUGGUGUGUACAAAUUGAGAAAUGACCUCUAUAGCUUGAAACAAGCUCCACGUGCUUGGUAUGACAACAUUUCUUCUCAUCUUGCUCUUGAGUACACUUGUGGCUUAGUUGAUAAGACACUAUUCGUUAAGAAUGUGAAAUCUCAUAUUGUGAUUACUCAAGUAUAUGCGGAUGACAUUGUUGUCGGCUUUACCUUAGAUUCUCUUGUGAAACAAUUCAUCAACAUGAUGACAGGUGAAUUUGAAAUGAGUUUGGUUGGAGAGAUAAACUACUUUUUAGGACUGAAGUGGCAAUGAUGUUUAUCAAAUGUUGUAUAGAAGUAUGAUUGAUAGUUUGCUCUACUUGACUACAAGUAGAUUGGAUAUUGCUUUUGCCGUUGGGGUGUGUGCUCGCUUUCAAAGUUGUCCUAAAGAGUCUCAUUUGUUGGCCGUCAAGAGGGUCAUUAAGUAUGUUAGCGGAACUACCAAUUUUGGCUUGGACUACACUCUUGACACCAACACAAAUCUUGUUGGUUAUAGUGAUUCCGAUUGGGCCGAAUGUAUUGAUGAUCGAAAAAGUACCUCCGGGGAACUUUUUAUCUUGGAAACAACUUGGUGGCUUGGCAUAGUAAGAAGUAAAAUUGCAUCUCUCUCUCAAUCGCACAAGCCGAAUAUGUUGUUGUGGAAAGUUGUUUUACUCGGUUGAUGUGGAUGAAACAAAUGCUCAAUGACUAUAGGAUCUCUCAAUCUACCUUUCUCAUAUAUUGUGACAACAUAUGUGCAAUUGACAUCUCAAAGAACCCCGUCCAACAUUCAGGGACCAAACUUAUUGACAUACAACAUCAUUUCAUUAGAGAUCUUGUGGAAGGUAAAAUUCUUACCUUAACCUUUGUGCGAACAAAAAAACAGCUAGUUGACAUUUUCACAAAAGCUUUGAAUAAUUGAAGGUACGAAAAUCUUCGACGGUCUAUUGGUAUUUAUGCUAUUAAUUAAAUAGGUUGAAUAUCUAUGCUUCCAAGCCUUGAAAGUUUGUUUUGUCUCUGCACAUGGUUUUGUCCAGUCUAUCAACUCAUUAGAUAAUUCUAUAUUUCUCUCUGUGUGCAUCUCUUAACUGUCAUACAAUAUUAGUAAUAUGUGGAUUAACCUUGGCUAAUUAUUUGGUCUCUGAUAUCCUCACACAGCCUAAGACAACCUUGAUUGUUGCGAAAAAGCAUUGGCCUUUGUUGAAGUUCAGCUUCCUAUGUCAGUAUCUACGACAAACUUUUUGGUCAUGUUAUAUAGGGGCGUUGCAUUCCUUGGUACUUCCCAAUUAUUAAAUAUCUAGGAAAAGAUAUGCGAAUAAUGUACUAAAAUUUGAAAAUACUUAGUACCAAAAUAUGUACUGUGAUUACCAUAUAUGAAAAUGAUAGAAAAUUGAGGAAAGGAAAAAAAAUUAUACGAAUGAAGAAUGUUGACUAUGUACUAUCUUCGUUGUGCUCCUCUUUAAUUUGAAUUUAUUCUAAUACGUUUACUAUGCAUUGGCCUUAAUGAAGAUGAAUUAUGCUACAUGUAUUUUCAUUAAAACUUGACAUCGUUGUAUCGGUCCGAAUACAGGCUCUGACUUGUUUUAUUCACCAUUCGAUUCAUGCAACUUCUGUUUUUUUUUUUUUAUUAUUAUUAAAUGGGUGGGGAGAUUCGAACUAGAAGCCUAUGCAAACAUUAGGAAGAAAACAACUAUGGACAUCCAAUUUUUUCUUCUAUGCACCCAUGUCUAUCUUAAAGCCCACUUUGUUUUAUGGCCUUUCCUUAGGCUAUCCAAAAUAAUUCGAUAAUCUUCCAAGACUGCCUCAUUUGACUAAUGACAUUCUUUCCAAGAAUGAAAAAUCAUCGAUCAUGGUCAGCAUAUGAUUAGGACGAGCUUGCUCGAGUCGCUGUGGAGUUAGCAGUAAGAAUACAAAAGAUAAGCGUAGCUUCAUUAACAUUUAAUCAAGAGGGAUUCGUGGCAGCCUGUUUAACAAUUUUGACUCCAUUGUUGUCCUCUGAUUCAAGUUUUCCAUUCCUAUACAAAAGUUAACCUUCAAAUCUUCUCUCAGUGAUAAAUUGGCAAUGUUAGGGCUUAGCGGUUCCUCAUAGCUUUACUUUCUAGCUCCGCCAUUGCUUAAUUGAAUAGCUAAGUAAUGAUGAAAAACUACAAGCAUCUUGUGAUGGCUAAAUUUGAAGUCAAAAUUGCAGGCGACGAAGCUAGUAACUGUCAAAUAGUGUUGAGCUCUAGAGAGGUUAAUCUACAUGUUGUAGUUGUUGAAGGUUUGUAGAGUCAUAUAAUAUGAUUUUGCUUCGGACACUAGUGUGCAUCACCACCCACCAAAACUUCCCAUUUAUUACCGUUGGUAAGUGAAGCUACGAUGUAGUACUUGCAUGUUGUCAAGUGUAGCUUCAUAGGUUAUCAAAGCUUGUGACUUCGGGGUUUUUGUAAAUGUUGGAGUAGAAAAUGCAUGAAGCUUUUGAAUAACCCAAAAUUAGCUUCAUUCAACCCAUACCCUUGGGAGCCCAAAUAGUUUAUCGAAGCUAUGAUGUUUGACCUUUCUAGUAUAGUUGAAGGAUAUGCUAAUAAUACUUCAUAUUGCAUGUUGCAAAUUAAGUAUUGAAGAGUUGAAGCUUUUGUGUUGCUUGAAGCUCUGUAGAAGCUAUAUAAAUUGAUUGACCUUCUAACCGUGCCCUUGAGGAUCCACAAUGGAGUUGUGGUGUUUGCGUUGUUGAAGAGGAAAAUGUCUGAAGCAUAUUCAGGAGGGUUGAAGAGCUUUGGCGAGCGACUGCUUCACAUGUUGAUGACAAUAAUCUUGUAAAAGUUUGGCCUUUGUAUACCAUAUGUAGCUUUUUGGAGCUUCAGACUUUUCUAAGAGACAUGUAAACAAUAUGAUGUCGAAGCAUUACACAUGCACUGAAGCCUUUUGUUGUCUUCUUGAAUCAUAACACAUUGUUGAAACCCUUGUUGAUUUGUAAUAAGACUUUAUUGUUGACCAUAACCCUUAUUGGGCUUAAGUGCUCCCUUAGUUAAAUUCAGCUGAGUUUGUCUACGCCUUUUCCAAGUUGUAAGGCUUGAAAGUUUUUGACUACUUAUGAAUGUUAAGAAUCCACAGGUACAACUUGUACCGUUCUUCACCUAGUUGGUGAAGAGAGGCAAGUUCUUUCACCACCUACUUGGUGAGAAGAGUGGCAAGUUGUCAAGGCACAAAUGUUUAUUAAAGUACUAGUUAUAUCCUCCACCACCUAAUUGGUGAUACGAAAACGAGUUCCUCCAUCACCUAGUUGGUAAGAAGAGUGGCAAGUUGUCAAAGCUCAACAUUGAUUAGAGUACUGGUUGUACUCUUCAUCACCUGGUUAAUUAGUGAUAUGAAGGUGAGUUCCUUAAUCACCUAAUUGGUAGGAAGAAUGGCAAGUUGUCGAAACUCAAAAUUGUUUCUUAGAGUACUGGUUGUACUCUUCAUUACCUGGUUGAUGAUACAAAGAUGAGUGCCUUCAUAACCUGGUUGGUGGAAAGAACGGCGAGUUACCAAGGCAUAUUAUAGCACAUUCUGAAAGGCAAAAAUGUAUGUUGACACCCUUUCAUAGCUCAGUUGGCUUAUAUAUGGAUGAGUUGAAAGGUAGGAUGUUUAUGUUGAUUGACAUAGGUGAUGCUAACGACAUGAGGGAUGUUCGUGACAUGCAUGUUGUUUACGAAUGUUUUGCUAUGCAUGAAGGAAAUCCAUUAUUUAGUUAUGUGAACCAUGUUGGUUAUACCAUUUAGUUUCACUUACUUUGUGUUGAAGUACAUAUAUUGAAGCUCUAAGUUAGAGUAUAGAGAUAGGUCAAAGUUAGACCAAGUGUUCUGAUAUUAGAAACACAAAAGACUUAGACGAAGUUGUUUGAAUUGCCUCUUCAUUAAAUAUUUGUCAAAUGGCUUGUGUUACAAAAGAUCCCAAACGGUUGAAGGUUGAAACAUUUGGAAUGCGUAUGUCUUUCUAUAAUAGCUUUUCUUCAGUACCCAAUCCUCCACUUUGAAAAAGCGAGGCUUGACCCUAUGGCUAUAGCAGUUGAAAAUACGUUCACCCCUGAUUGUCUUGAUACCAACCUUUAUCCCUCUUGUUGUAAUGAGCUUGCAGGUUGCUAAGUGGGGCAUGAAGGGAUGCACAGAUUGUCUAAAUGGCCAAAACCUUCUCACUUGUUAGAACUUGACCUUCAUUCCCCACUUGUUGAUAGGGGUUAACCAUAGGAGGGUUCCCUUAGUAUGUCAUUGCCUUGACAAAAACACGAUUGUAAGCUUACGUCAACACUUCAAAUAAGUCUUCAAAGUAUUGGCAAUGAUCAUGUACUUGUAGAAGCAUUCACGCAUGCUUACCGUGAAGGUCGUAAGUGUAGUUUUGUCAAUAGCCUCAACGCAGGGAGAGUACUCAUGGCUGAAGUGACCGAUAUAUUCACGCAAUGACUCGUCUGAUUUUUUACGAAUGGUGUACAACUCAUUAGCGAAGUGUAAGCGAUCAGCUUGGAAGAUGUGUUAAGCCACUAAGAUUUUUCUUAGCUCAAUGAAGGAAUCUACUAUAUCAAGUUAAAGACAACAAUACUAAUUAAGAGCUCCAUUGGAAAGAGUGAAGGAAAAAAUGAGACAUUGUUCCUCAUCAAUGUGUCUUUGGUAUGUCAUGGUGGAUUCAAAGAAAUGGGUAUGUUAAAUUGAAUAUUCCCUCCUAGUAUACGAUUGUAAGCCAAGUUUUUUUUUCAUUUCUCCUUGUAGAAGGGUGCAAUGGAUCUUCCUUGUUAGAGCACUUGGCCUUGGCUGAUUCCAGUCAGGUAUUUUGGUGUGACGCUCAGCCUUUACCUAGUUCACUUCAUCGAGGAGUUGUAGGAUAAAAGGGUCUUGAGUAGAGUCAUGCACCAUUGGAGCCCUCGUUUGAAAGUUUCCAUCUCUUGAAAAUAUGGAGGUUUGGUUAAGAACAUGUGGUCUUUUCUUGGAUUCAACAUACUGUAUGUCAGAAUGAGCUUGUCGAAAGUCCCCUGAGUCUCCUACGCUCUCUUCUUCCUCCAAAGCUUGUCAUUCCCUCCUUAGAUUGGUAGUUGGCCUAGGAUGUGGUAGGGGACCGAACCCUAAAAAACCCUUGGGUCAUUGAUUUUUGAGCCUAUGUGGAUGGGUUUUUCUCAACACUGUGAUAGGAGCAUAUUUAUGCGACUGAGUUAGCUUGUUCUCAUGCAUUUAUGUUGUUAUUUCUUAGUUAAUUAUGUAUUUUAAGCUAUUUUCGUGUGUUUGUAGGUCCAUAGGCCUUAUAAAGCAAUAAGAUGCAUUUAGGUGCAUUUUGGAGCAGUUUUGGGCUUGGAAUGAAUAGCACAUGCAUGGAGCAAGGCGGAUGGACGAAAUUGAAGACUAAAGAGGCUAGGAAUGUGUUAAAGAGAAAGAAGAAUUAAUGUAAAAAGGACAAAGAGCUCAGCCACAAAGGGGUGUCACUCCACCAUUCACCUUUCCAUCAUUGCCGUGCACCACCAUUGCACUUCCUUUGGAUUCCUAUGUCGUACAUCAUCUUCCAUGUUCCCUCCAUUGACUCAUUUGUUGCAUCAUUCCACUUCCUUUCUCCUGUCUACCAUGUGCAUAAUAUCCUUUCACCUCCUUGCACUCGUUGAUUCACCACUUACUCACAUUCCACCCAUGCCAUGCAUAAUCACCCCUUGUCCCCUUCAUUAUUUCAGAUUUCAUGCAUCAUUACAUUGAAUCAUUACACUCAAUUGCUACACCAUUCAUUGUUCCCUCCAUCAUUUCAGAUUCAUGCAUCAUUACAUUGAAUCAUUGCACUCAAUUGCUACACCACUCCAUGUUCCCCUCCAUUGCCAUGCACUUCCUCUAUAAAAGGAAGUGUGUGUAACAUAAAUUGAGUUCAUACUUGGUUAGAUCAUUCACUCCCAUUUCAACACAACCUUCAUCCAAACACAUCCAUUCCUCCAUACAAACAAACCUUCAAACACUCACCAACACCUUGUGCCGUAGCAAAGGAAGGGAAGGAAAGUGCUUGGACGUGCUUGCUAUCCAACUUGGAUCGUUGGAGCAUUUAGGUGUUUUCUUUCUUUUGUUUCUAAUGUUUAAAUUCAUUUCCUUUCGUUUUGUUGUAAAUAUGAGUGGCUAAACCCCUCUUGGCUAGGGGUGAUUUCAAAGCCAUGAUUAUGUGUGCAAUAUAAUUUGAUAAAUUCCAGUUAUGAACUCUUGAAUCGUGAAUGCAAUUGGCUUAACUAUUUGAUUGAUAACUUAUUUGUAUUUGUUAAUUAAGGGUCGACACUUAAUUGGCAUGCAUAAAUCCGUUGCUAGAUAUAAGAAAGUUUCACAUAAUCGUUACAAACUUAUAUUCAUAAGUAGUGGAGGUCGCUUAUAAACGAUCGCGUUAAGUUUAAUUCUAGCAUGAGUAACAUAAUGUCAUAGUUGCAAGUGCUUUGUCAAUACUUAUGAUUUUCAUUAAACGUAAUGAUCUUUGAUUGUAUCUCUAUUAUGAUGUCAUGUAGGGAACUUUUGUUCGAUUUUAAAAGUUGGCUAAAAAUAAAAUCUAAAUGGAAUGUGCUGCAGAAACCGCAUAAAUUCUGCAGUACAGUCUCGAGAUUAAGAAUUCACCAAUAAUUCAUUUUCAAACCAAUGCUCGUGAAAAUUUGCAUAUUUAAAAUAAAUAUCUCAAUGUAUAUCAUACUAAAUUUUCAUGAAUAUAUGAGUUACAUUGAUAUAUCAAAAUAAUAUCACAAACAGACUAUUCUACAGAAGUCUGCAGAAUUCCAGCAACAUGGUAUCACACUUAAAAAUUUACCAUAAAUCCAUUUCUUAUCCAAAAAACGUUGAAAAAUACCAGCAUCUACAAUACAUUUAAUAUUACAACAUGACCGAAUUUCAUAAUAUUUGGAGUUAUGGAAGUCUAUCAAGCCCAGGUUAUUGACAUGAAUGGGUUUCCUUUUAAUGAGACUUUAAUGGACUCAUACCCCUAUAAUAUUAUAGUUUGAAAACACUAUAAUUUAGCAUGAUUAAUUUUGACAAAAUUUUAGGCAAGAAAUAAUUCACACCACAAUUGAAUCAAUUUAUUAAAAAUUUGAAAACCGCAAUACAAACCGACUGAAAGCAAUUCAUAAUAAUGUAAUUAACCACACAUCAAAAUUAUGACAGCAAGCAAUCCUUCAUAAUACAAUAAUUUGUUUAUAUAUACGUAAGUUGCCAAAUAGUUUCAUCGGUUCAUCAGAAAACAAACAAAUUGGGAAUGCCUUUUAGAACAUAUUAAUUAACAAUGCUAAAUCCAAAUUUUAAAUCAUGAAAGCAUGAAAUCCAAUACAAUAUUCAUCCAGAGAACUCACAUCUGCAAGGAUUAUUUUAAUAAUUUGACAGAAUCAUAACAGAGAAUAGUCCAAAAUAUAAGCAAACUAACCAAAAAUUUUAAUUUUUUUUUUAAGGCUAGAUUUUGCAACGCAAUAAGCGGAAGCGUAAAUUCUCAACUCAAUCAAUUUUGAGAUGGAGAAAUAAAUAAGAAAAUAAAGGUUGAUUGCCCAGAAUCAACAUCAUCUUUAUCUAAUUCUCAAUUUAGUUGGAACCAAAACCUUAAUUUUAACUCAACCAAAUUAGGUAGAUUAAAUUGCACGAUUUCAUACCUUUCCAGAGAGAAUUCUUACCGGAUAACGCCGAAUAGAUCUAAAAAGCCGCUAUUGAGGAGUUUUGCAAGAGAGCUAAGACUUCACACGCAAGAUAGAAGACCCCAUACUGUUUCAACACCCUAUCUCACCUCUUUUUUUUUCUUUUUUCUUUUUUUUUUAAUAAUAAUGAAAUAGAAUUAUCGCAACUAAAUCGAUAAUAAGAGGAUUAUAUAAUAAAUCCAAAUAUCAUCCAGCAUUAGGUUUGGUCAAAUGCCAUCAAAACUUGCACUUAGUUUACAAAUUUUUUUUUUUAAUAAUAAUGAAAUAGAAUUCUCGCAACUAAAUCGAUAAUAAGAGGGUUAUAUAAUAAAUCCAAAUAUCAUCCAACAUUAGGUUUGGUCAAAUGCCAUCAAAACGUGCACUUAGUUUACAAAAUUUCAUGCAAUUCGAAAAGAAACCAUGUCAUAUUGCAAAUUCGAAACGAAAUUUUCUUUUCACUGUGAUGUACGAAAACAAUACUGACCUUGAUUAUAUACAUGCUUUUAUUCUUCCACAAAAUAUAAAUGUUGAUGCACAAAACCGAAUGGUCUUGGAACAACGUAAAUCCGACCGUGAAUCUGCAAGUAACGUAAAUAACACAAAAUGUAUCGUGGUUCACCCCAAGGUUUGGGCUACGUCCACACUGAUUGUAUUUCUAAGGGAGAGAGAGCUCUCAGGGUGAGAGCUUUGAGAGGGGGUGAGAGGGCCUAGGAAUUGGCCUCCCUCAAUUGUGAGGGUGAGGGGUCUUUUUAUAGAAUAAGGACUCCUCACUUAUUAUAUAUUUGCCCCUUCCUUUAUUACAUAAUUACAUUUAAGUCCCCCGAGUAUUUAUACGAGAUCUAAAUACGGAGGCCCUAAAUAUGGUAUAAACAAUAGUCCCCCAAGUCUUCAGUCAAGAGAGUCUUUUGGCUAGAAACUUGAAAUUAAGUCCAUGUGUGGGCCGAAGUAACUAGAUGUUGCCUUGAACUGAUGCUUGAUAUGAGGCGGUGCUCAAUCUGAAAUGAUGUUCAACUAGAAGUAACACAUGUUGUGAGGCUGCUCGGCUUGUGGCUUAUGUUGCCUUGGUUGGCUCGGCUUGUGGCGUUGACGAUGAGGGAGUCCCUUUUAUAGAAUAAGGGCUCGCUCCUCAAUACAUGAAUGAUGGGCUAGAGUUGAUGCUCUUUAAUGAAGGUGAGGGAGUCCCUUUUAUAGAAUAAGGGCUUACUCUUCAAUACAUAAGUGAUGGGUUAGAAAUGAUGCUCGCGGCGAGGCGGUUGCUCAGUAAGCAGCGAUGCUCUCUAAUGAAGGUGAGGGAGUCCCUUUUAUAAAAUAAGGGCUCGCUCCUCAGUACAUGAAUAAUGGAUGCUCUCGAAUGAAAGUGAGGGAGUCCCUUUUAUAGAAUAAAGGCUUGCUCCUUAAUACAUAAAUAAUGGGCUAAGUCCCCCAAGUAUUUUUCAUGAGGCUCAGUUGAGGCCCAAUAUAUCGUACAUAAUGUAGUCCCCCAAGUCUUCAGUCAAUAGAGUCUGUUGGCUGGAGACUUCAAAUUGAAUCCAUGUAUGGGCCGAAGUGGCGGUUGUUCGGAGGCGAUAUUUGUAUACCCUGCACUGAAGCUUUGUAGGUGAAGCUUUGCAAGUAAAGCUUUGAAGCUAGAGCUCUGUAAAUGAAGUUGUCGAAGUUGGAGCUUUUGUAAAUGAAGCUUUUGAAGCUAGAGCUCUGUAAAUGAAGCUUUCGAAGCUGGAGCUUUUGUAAAUGAAGCUUUUGAAGCUAGAGCUCUGUAAAUGAAGUUUUUGAAGCUAGAGCUCUGUAAAUAAAGCUUUUAAAGCUGACUCACAUGAGUGAUGCUCAUGAAUGUUUAUGUUGAUUGACAUGAGUGAUGCUCAUGGAUGUUGUCAUGAGUGAUGCUCAUGGAUGUUGUCAUGAGUGAUGCUCAUGAAUGUUAACAUAAGUGAUGCUCAUGAAUGUUGACAUGAAUGAUGGUCAUGAAUGUUUAUGUAUGAUUGUCAUAAGUGAUGCUCAUGAAUGUUUAUGUAUGAAUGACAUGAGUAAUGCUUAUGUAUAAUUUGAAGUACUGGGCGUACUUUUGAUCACCUGGUUGGUGGCAUGAAGGAGAGUACAGGUUGUACAUUUCAUCACCUGGUUGAUGGCAUGAAUGGCUAGUUGCCAAAUGAUAUUAGAGUACGGGUUGUACAUUUCAUCACCUAGUUGGCGAUAUUAGAGUACGGGUUGUACAUUUCAUUGUAGAGUACUGGCCGUACUUUUGAUCACCUAGUUGGUGGUAAUAGUGGCGGGUUGCCGAAUAAUUGUGGAGUACUGGGCGUACUUUUGAUCGCCUGGUUGGAGCUAUUUUGGGCUUAUGGGCCUUCGCUCUCCACAUGACAUUGCAGCCCUUUUAUUUUGGGCUUUGCCUUUUUUUUUUAUUUUAUUUUUAUUACCCUCUGAUGGGGUUAUACAGAUAUCUUCGAAAAAUAAAUUACAUCAUUCAAAAAUAAGGAAAGUAAACCACAUCAUUCUGGUGGGGUGUUUAUUCCUUGCUUUUGCAGUGUGGGUGUGUAUUCCUUGCUUUUGCCAUGCCGCCAUGUGCUCUCGCAGAGGAAAGCCUCUCUUUUGCUUUCCGUUUUUUUCUUGGUUUUUUAUGCUUUGCUUUCGCUUUUGUUUCUGUUUUUCUGUUUUGUUUCCCAUUGCUUUUCUGCUUUUCUUUCUGAUUUGCUUUUCCUUUUCUGAUCAAGUACCUGACAGCUUGAAAUAUAUUGUAAUUAAGUGACCAGGGAGUAGGACUAGUGGAUCCCUCUUUUCUGUUUUUCUUUUUUCUUUUGGCAUGUGGCAGACAAAAGGAAUAGUAAUAGACUUAUUAUUAAGAAAGCUUAUCUUUUUCAUGAGUGUUUCCAUUGGUGGAUGGUAGGUAUUUGCAGGAGAUGGGAUCUGAGCAUCAACAAGGCCGUUAACGUGAGCCAUGUCGCAGGAGAUGGGAUCACCGCUAACGUGAGCCAUGUCGCAGGAGAUGGGAUCUAAGUGUCAACAAGGCCGCUAAUGUCCCCUGUGCCAAGGAAAUAAUCCCCAAACUUAUGAAAUGAAACGAUCAUGACCCUGUCUGUCGUGUAAAACGCCUCCUCAACAUCGUCUCCAUGGUGAAUAUCAAUAUACUUUUCGGCGUGGUGCAAACCGCCAGCCCAAUUAAUCAAAAUAUCGUAAAUCCCAUGGUUGAGCUUCACAGCGCCGCCAACCGACCCGCCGGCGUAGGUCUGGAAAAACGAGUACAACCCAUCAAAGACAGGGUAGUCCUCGUCGACAUUGAACCGCUUGAGCUGUCGCAGCUGGUCUUAGAAUUUCGUCAGAGCCUUACUUAAAUAAGGCCAUGGUUGUGUGCCAUCCUGUAUUGCAGUCCUCCAAGAAUCAUCAAAAAUUUUCUGAUAUUCAUCUAGCACCCCUGGGGCGGUCUGAUUCGAUAAAUCAAGAAAGCGAAAAAAGAUUGACGGUGGUCGUCAAUGGCAAGGAAAAAGAGAAACAAAGAGAAUGAAGUUAAACACCGCGUUUCUCUCUUCUGGUUCGGCAGGCUGCAAGUCUCGCCAACUCUGGGAUCAAUGUCGCCCAAGGCCUCGAUCUGGAUCUUCAAUCCCAUCUCAUAGCCUUCAAUGGACCGGUCAACCUAACCUAGCAUUGAACACAUGUCCCCGAGCUGCCUGUGCCCAGAGAACGCAACGAGCGCGCCAUCCACCGUGUCCACCGUGUUUUGGAAAUCGAGGCGAGGUUGGAGUCGUCGAUGCUCUGGUCGUCGUUAAAAACACGGGAAGAGUCGGUGAGCUUGAAAUCGAACAGGCAGUAGAAUAAACCCAGUAAAAAAAAGGAAACAAGCUUUAGAGUGAAAGAUCCAAAGACCCUAUCUUUUUUUCUGUCAGUUUUGUUUCAAGACGACGCUACGACGGUUAGGUUAGCGGCAUACAUUACAGGAGACACAAUGGCUCCGUCAGAUCAAGGACAAGUCGGGUCGUUUGAUGUACCCUCGCAGCUCUGCACUGGAGACCCGCAUAGACCCGGGUUUUCAGCAAAAGCGGUUACGGGGAAAAUCGAAAAGGACUUGGGUAUUUCGCCGGUUAGACGGUUCGCGGACACAUUGAGGUCCUGCAGAUUCGGCAGGUUCAGACCCGACAUUGAACUAGAGAAAUGGUUCGGCCCGAGCCAGAGUGUGAGAAGAUGGGUCAAAUGGUUGACCAUUGAGGGAAUCUCGCUGGAUAAGUUGUUAUAGGACAAAUCGAGGCGGUAGAGACGGAAAAGAACAUGGUGGUAAGUUCUGGCCUCCCACUGUCAAAACCCACGAAGCCAAGAAGAACCCGGAUGGCAGAAGCAAUUUCCAAAACUCUGUUUUCCACUGUUUGGCUGAAGGUAGAGAGGCUAAUCAAGUAGCAUUUGGAAAUGUGAAAUCUAGAUAAAGAGGGACUGGUUUCUUGGGUUUUUGUGAUUUUGCAGAUUCACGAUAGAGGUAAAAAAUUGAGAAAGAACCGACAUAGUUUUUUGUGUCAAUUCCCACAGACGGCUCCAAAUGUUGAUGCACAAAACCGGAUGGUCUUAUAACAACGUAAAUCCGACCGUGAAUCUACAAGUAACGUAAAUAACACAAGAUGUAUUGUGGUUCACCCCAAGGUUUGGGCUACGUCCACACUGAUUGUAUUUCUGAGGGAGAGAGAGCUUUGAGAGUGAGAGCUUUGAGAGGGGGUGAGAGGGCCUAGGAAUUGGCCUCCCUCAAUUGUGAGGGUAAGGGGUCCUCUUAUAGAAUAAGGACUCCUCACUUAUUACAUAUUUGCCCCUUCCUUUAUUACAUAAUUACAUUUAAGUCCCCCGAGUAUUUGUACGAGAUCUAAAUACGAAGGCCCUAAAUACGGUAUAAACAAUAAACAUACUAAACUUAGUCAUUACGUGAAUUGAUACAAAAUUGUGGAAGCAUGUUAACUGAUUUCAUAAGAUAGAAAGAUAGAAAUCAGCAAAUCAAAACAAUAUUAUGUAAUCAAACAAUUACCUUUAAUCUGAACCCUAAGCUUGUUGUGCGGCUCUGAUACUACAUGUAAGACGUAUUCUGAAAUCACAACAACAAAACAUUAGGAUCACGAACAAAUCAAAUUAAUAUAAAAUAGAGAUGAACUAAAUAUAUUGAACUUAUCUGUAGAAUACGAAAGACAUGGCUCUUCCAGAUGACAAAAGAUGAGUUCACAAGGUUGCCUUCUCCUUCCAAUACUCCAAAAUAUCCCUUUACUAUGUGAAUAGGUUUUAGUAUUAUGAGGAAUUCAACGUAUGGAAGCAGGGACUUAACCUAGUAUUUAUAUAUACCAUUGGGGUUCCUUAUUAGCCGACCUAUUAACAGCUACGAAAAUCAAACCCUAACACUUAAGUGAUUGAGUCCUACCAUGAUUCUAUAUCUUUGUAGAGAAACCUAUUAGAUUUCUUUGAGGUCAAUUGCAAAGGUUAAGACUCCAUAAUCCUUAUUUUACUAGGACUAUCAGAUUACUUAUGUCGUUAACAACUCAAUAAACAAGUGGCUUACAACACAAGUAAUCCAAUACAUCAUUCAUUGUCAUUCAUAACUUUACAAGGAGUAGCUUUAUAAACACUUAAUCAAGAGGGAUUCCGGGGAGCCUAUUUAACAAUAUCAUUUUUUGUAUCGCGCGGUAGCGGCAUUAUUCUAGUGGCGGAGACACAUGAGAACUAAAAUAGGACUGGGCCUCUCCAUCAUUUUCUUUAUUUUAUAUGCUCUUGCAUGUGUUUGUUAGCUUUAAUUAUAUUUGUGUGCUUUCCAUUGAGCACAAUGUAUUUAAAUCACCAUUUUGUAUACGUAGUAUUGUUGAAAAAGUUUAUAUUGAAGAAAAAAAAAUCACGCAAUUGCAUUUUUGAGCCAUGAUCUGUAAUGCUUGUUCAACUUUGAUGUAGUAUUCGUUUGUUUUUAGCAAAACUUAUGAACAAGUUCGGCGCUUAUGGUACUAUUAUCUCAAUGUUAAAAUAUUACUGUCGUGAUUCGGUUGCUCUCCUUUGAUUCAAAUUUCCAAUCCUAUACAAAAGUUAACUGUCAAAUCUUCUCUCACUAAUUGUAUUAUUUUUAAUCUAAUUUAUGUCGUAUGGCUUAGGAGGUUCCUCCUAGCUUUCAUUUCUGGGCCCGCCAUUGCUUCAUUAAAUAGCUAAAUUUGAAGAGAAACUACGAGAAUUCUAUGACGGCCAAAUUUGGAAGUCAAAAUUGUGGAGGAAUGAUGCGAGUAGCACUCAAACUACGUUGAGCUCUAGAGAAGUUAAAUUACAAGAUUUGAACUUGAAACCUUUUUAAACAUUAGGAAGAGAACAACUACUGGACAUCCAAUUUUGUAUUUUAUGCAUUCAUGUCUAUCUUAAAGCCCACUUUGUUUUAUGGCCUUUCCUUAUGGGUGGUUUGGGAGUGAGAUGCUUAAAAAAAGGAACCCAUGAAAAAAAACUGUGAGGGUUUUAGGUGUUUGGUAAACUAAAAAAAAAGGGCUUAUUUUGGAAGCUACUGUGAGAAUAAGCUGAAAUCGAAGGAAAAAACUGAAGCAGCUAUUUGCAGCUUUGGAAAACUGGCUUUUUUUCAAAGCACACGGAGCUACAGUGCUCCUUUAAUGAAAAGACCCACUAUCAGACCGUUUUUUUUUCCAAAAGCACUUUUACAAAAAAGUUUACCAAACACUCUGCUGAUUUAUUUCACAGCCGCUUAUUCUCACAGCAACUUUUUUUCAAAGCACAGCAAUACCAAACCAGCCCUUAGGCAAUCCAAAAUAAUUCAAUAAUAUUCUAGGACUGCCUCCUUUGACAAAUGACAUUCUUUUCAAGAAUGCAAAAUCCUCGAUCAUGGUCAUCAUAUGAUUAGGAAGAGCUUGCUCGAGUCACUCUUGAGUUAGCUGUAACGAAUACAAAAGAUAAGAGUAGCUUCAUCAACUUUUAAUCAAGAGGCGUUGAUGGGAGCCUAGAACACUCAACCUCUCACUGGACUCUCUCUAGAGAGUUCUUUUCUUCCUCUUUAGCUUUUUCCCCAUUUACUCCUUUUCUCCAUUUUUUUCUUGCAAAAAGGCAUCCUUCAAAAUCAUUUUUCCUGCAAAAUCGUCCCCAAAGCUGCUAUCUUCUCCCUCUCCAUCUCUCCAUUUCUCUUCGUCCCAAAGCUACUCUCUUCCCUUCUCUUUCCAUUUCUCUCCGAAAUUUUUUGGGAAAAAGGAAAAACUUUUUGGGAAUUUUCUGAGAAUUGUUUGGGAAUAAGAAAUAAUUUUUCUAUUGGGAUUGUUGUUGUUAUCGUUUUGCAUUUUUAUUUUUUUUUUACGAAAUUUUGGUGUUGAUGUUUAGGUAGUGGGUGGGGCUAAAUUUCAUAUUUAGGAAAUGGGUUGUCAAACGGAGUUGCCUAGAAGCAUGCUUGCAGACUUGCAGCAUGCGAUCGUCGUACGUAGAUUUGGAUACGGGAUUAACAAUCCCAUGGUUUUUAGGGGGUUUUGCUAAGACCGGCUAGCCCCUGUUUCAGUCAAGGCGAAUGAGAGCUAGUCUCAUUAAAUCUAGGCCUUACAAGGAACAAACACGAGACUAGACUAACCCUUAGUCCAGUCUAGUGAACUAUAGUGAGAGAAAACAAGCACCUCCAGAGAGGUCCGGGAGAAAGAUGUCGAUAUUCCCUUUGAUAAAUACCCAAGCUAGAGUAUUUAUAGGGAACUUAAGAGUUCUUAUGGGCUAUGGGUAUUCUGGUCCUUCUUGCCACGUGUCAUAGACCCAAAAAAUCAUUAUCCCACAUAAACAAGUCCAGAUAAGCUCCAACCAUAAAACUCAUCGCAAACUUUAUAAGUACCAAAAAUCAACAAUAUUUUUUUUAAUUUUCACCACCAAAGUUUCUUCUAUCCUUUCAAAUGGUUCAAAUGGCAGAGAAGGGUCACAGAAGAAAUGGCAAUUGGCAAACUAUUGAAGAUGUAGCUUUAUGCUUAGGUUAGUUGUCGAUUAUGGAGUGCAACUUUGAAUAUUGCACACCGUAACUCAGGGAGCGAUAGCAAUGCAGGUGAUGGGGUCCGAUUCGUCUGAAGUGGAUCAAUAGUUUCACACCUCCAAUGGAAUGUCUUCUCAUAGUUCUUCAAAUGCUGUGAACUUGGAGGUAGAUUCGGAUAUGAAAUGCCACAUCUAAGGCCAUACGGACGAGAUAAACACAAGGUAACAAAGUAAGAAAGAAAAUCCUGACUCAAAUUCCACUCAAAAAUGGGGAAAGGCGGAUAACAAUGGUAUAGGAAAUCAGAAAUGAUUAGAUAAGGGAAGAUAGGGGAUCGUUUGAAAUAAGAAAUCUUAAAGAAUUUUAGUAGGUAAGCAAUCCACAUAGAUAAAUGGAUAUAUCCAAGUAUUUCAGAUAAAUAAUUGUGAUAUGGAAUUUAGGGUGUAUUCAAUUGAGAAUUUGAGAUACUUUAAUGGAUUUAUAAAUCCAUGGAUUUUUAUGAAGUUUAAUUGAUUUGUAGAGAUUCCAUAUAAAAUUUUGUUUCAAUUCUCUCAAAAUCUCAUGGGGUGAGGUGAGAUUUGUGGAUACUUAAAAUACACUACGAAAUUUCUCUAAUUCCCUCUAAUUCCUCAACUUUCUUAAAUUCUUUAAAAUCAACUUCUAAUUAAAUACACCUGGAAUGUUAUAAACUUCUUUAAAAUCCUAAUUGAAUAUAUCCAGGUUUCUAAGGAUUUUAAUAAACUACCUUAAAAUUCUAAUUGAAUACACAUUGAAUUUCAGUAAAUCACUUAAAAUCCUGAUUGAAUACCCCUAGAUUCACUAAAAGAAUUAAAAUCUCUCAAAAUCCCAAUUGAAUUACCCCCCCGGGGAAAGCAUUGUCGGAAAAUAGGGUCUAAUAGCUAUAUUAUCACAUAUAAAAUCAAAUAAUAAUUAAUGCACGCAACUAAAUACCAAAUUUAACGCAUACUCAUAAUAAAAAACAAUGUCAAAUGCACAUGAAAAUGGAUUAGAAAAGUCUGAAUAUCGGUCGAGAAAAAUGUUAGACAUUUUGUCCUUAAGACAAGUUUACGCCCUAGUACAAUGCUCAUGGCUGAUCGGUGCUUGUUUGCAAAGAUACAACGACAAGUUUUCUUAAUAGUAGCACUCAAAAUUACAACGCACCAGUGAAUCACGAAGAUGUUGAAAACUCUCAUAUAUAGACUCAAUGACACUCUAAUGUUUUGUGCACUAUAUGUAUGAUUAUGCAUAUGAUAGAAAGGUUACUAAAUGACUACAAGGGGACUUGCUUAUUUAUAGAAAUAAAGAUGUCUCUUUUUAAAAUAUAUGACUAUUCAUAAAAAAUCAAAUGUUUCAACUCUUCAUUUUCAUUGAGAAACGCCCUUUUAAUUUCGGAUCCUUUCAAUUAAUAAAUUUAAUAUUAUAAUAAUAAUAUUAAAUUUUCCAACAAGCACUGACGGCCUCACGUGAGGGAUAGAUGGAUCACAACUGAGUGCCGAAUACAUAUGAAUGGAAGUUUAUUUCACAAAGAAGCAAGAAGCUGUUGGUUAUUUUAAAUAUUUUAAUAAUAUUUUAUUUUAAAGAUUCAAAAUUUAUUUUUAUUUUAUUUUAUUUUAUUUAUAAUAUUUAAGAGUUGUGUUUUAUUUGAAGAGUCAUAUUCUUUUUAAAAGGGUAUGAGAAGUUUUUUAAAUAAGAAACCUCAUACAUAAAACAUAAUACGCUAAACUUUUCUGUCUCCCUUAAUUCUCAUAUCUCUCUCAGUCAAUUUACAUUCAUACUUCAUAAUUCUUAGGCAAUUGAUCACUAUUUGGCAAUCCUGUCGUUGGCGUGCAUAUCAGAUCAGACAUCAUGUGAGGCUUUGGGUUGUAUCUUGGAGUUGUACACACCGCCAUAACCUACACGUAGGGAGGCGUCUACAGCUUUAAGGCAACGACAUCAUGCCUCUUUUUGUUUCACAAGCCAGAUAUUUUUAUUACUUCUUCCUAAUUUAAAUUUCAUAAAUCUGCCAGUAAUUAUACAUUUGAUUUGAUAUAUUUAAUCAUAUAAAUAAUUAAUAUAUUUCUGCAAUAUAUUUCACAGAAGCCAUAGACAAAAAACUCCGCCUCUCUAUAUACAUGAUUUAGCUUUAGCACAUGGACAAAUACUGUAAUAUAUAUAUAUAUAUAUAUAUAUAUAUAUAUAUUCAAAACGCGCGCAAGUUUCUUUGACUGUGAAGCAAGAAGCCGGCUGGAAGUUGAUGCAGAGCUUCCAAAGUCUUUCCUUCCGAAGUUGACACGCUUUUUAAGCGUUCUCAAUCAUUGGUUUUACACAACUUGCUUGCAGUCGACCUCUUUUUUUUUUUUUUUUUUUUUUUUUUUUGAAAGCUGGGAAUGAAACCAGGGCAAAGAUGCCAGAGAAAAACAGAAAGCCAUCAGGGAGGCCAACAGAAAACCAACAAAAUACAACCCAGGCAGGAGAGGGGAGGGAAAGACAGACAGACGAACCAAGUUCCCCUGUCACCCCAAACCUACCAACAAAUCAAUGAGGACAAAGCAAACCAUCUUUGUUAAGGACAUGAACCAACGAAGAUGAAUUAACUAUUUAACACAAAGCAAGCAUUAGAAUUAAUCAAUCCAAUCAACUAGCUAAUUUACAAUAUUAAUAAUAUUACAACAUUGCUUCUUUUUUUUUUCUUUUAAUCAAACGAUAUAUUUAUUGGAUUAGGAAGCCGACGGUGUUCGGACACACACUGUGAUGCAAGGACAACACUCCUGUCUACCAAUGUGGUAGAUGGCCACGUGCUAUUACAACAUUGUUUUGAAGGCAACCUACAUUUUAUACUUUUCAUGUUUAAAGUAAUUUUUUAAAUUGAUAAGUUUUCUUUUUUUAUCAAUUAGUGUAAAUGUAUCUUACACAUUAGCUCAAAUAAGAGUCUCAAGAUUACCUCAAUAUUAAUUCGUUGAAUUAUCAUACAAUCAAUCAAGGUAUGAAAUAAAAUAAUUUUAUUAUCUGAAGAUGUGAUAUAAAAAAAUUUAAACAUCAUGACUCAUUUUAAGAAUCAUCUCGAAUUUAGCAAGCGUAAAAUAUAAACUAAAUUUUAAAUAAAUUUGUGUAUAAUAUAUAUGUCCAGCAUAAGGGCAUAAUAAUCCAUUCCCCAACAAAGACUAAAAGUCAAGUUAGUUGAUAUUGUUGACCAACCAAAGGUGUUAGGUGAUACUUACUUCCGUUUUAUGAAUUAAUUAAUUUUUGUUUUUUAAGAGCUAAAUUGUUAUUGCAAAAGAUGGAUCAGGAUCCUCUCAUGAGCUUAGGAGGUUGAGUCUCUUGAGCAAAUCACACGGAUCGUUUGAUCAAAAUCUAAUGACUACAAAUAGAGAGCCUCUCUAAAAAUUAUAAUAAUUGUAAUCAUUAGAUUUUAAUUCAACGAACCGUGUGAUUUGCUCAGGAUUCUCAGCCUCCUAAGCUUAGGAGGAGAUCCUAAUCCGCAAAACAUAGCAGACUUGUUCAAAGGUAAGAAGAGUCAACCAGGAAUAUGUAUGAGAUAAAUAAGACCACUACAGACUUCAUCCACUUGGUAAAACAAGUUGUCAAACAUAAACAUCUGUGUUAUCACUAGCCAAAACCGAUGAUGGGGCCCAUAAUCUUUGUUGGUACCCUAUACUUUAGGGAUUCACUUUUCAAUCUGUUCAAGAGUCUUUAUAGUGAUUGUCCCUAGUUAGGGAGUCUACUGAAUAUGCUUUGAAGCAACAUUCUAUUGUGGUUACUAAUAUAAACUACAUUUUUUGUUAAAAUGAUUACAACUAAAAUUUAAAAUCGAAUUAGUUAAAUGCUUAUUAGUUACUGUUAUUGUCUUUAUUUCUCCUUGCAUGAUGACGUGAUAAUAUUUUACUGUACAAACGUUUCAAUUGAAUUGUUCAUUCUCUUUAUCAUCAUCUAAAUAUCAUUUCAAAAAAUUCUUAUGAAUGACUAAGUGACCUCCAAUUCAAGUGAAUUGUUCUAGAGAUGUUCUUUAGACAAUGAUAAAGGGUAUGAAUUGUUCAAACUAUAAUGUAUGUACUGUUUGAAAUAAAAAUAUAAAGAGAAUAGAGAGACAAGAGAGGGAUUAGGAGAAGGAAAUAAAAGUGUUACAUUCUUCUCGUUAGAUUGCCUAUAUAUAAGCAUAGGAUUUUCCAUAUUUACAACAAUGAGGACUAAACUAUUAAACCUUGCUUCGAAAACCCAGUGGGAAAAACCUAAGCAAAGGAGAAAAAUCAGACACCACGAUUAUGAAAUAUUGAUAUGGUGUUGGACUUGCAUAAUAUUGCCUCGCUAAAACCUUGAUAGGAAAAACCUAGUGGGAUAAAAACCUGGUCGAAAGGAAAAGAGCACAAUGCACUUGUAUGUCCAUUAUAAUAUAUUGUCGAACACUGUCCCUAAUGAAUAACUCCACUAAAUAAGUGACUCUCCUUUAUGAUAUUAGUUUUGAUUUGACUAGUCAUCACCGUCAAUUUGAAGUAAUGUGACUUUAGUCUUCAAGAAAUUAAACUUUGAGUAGAACUUGACAUGGGGAACUGCGAAAGUUUAUCGGGAGUUGACAACAACUGUUUGUGUUCUUGCAAAGAACAAAUAAAUAAAAAAUUUAGGAUAUAAAAUAUACUAGAAGUAGUGUACAAGUCCAUGGUAAUAUAAACCAUAUAUGCAAAUAGCCUUUUAGGCUCUUCAAGAGUUGUAUCAUAACUCUUAAAUCUUUUAAGGGUAUGUUUGCAACAACAUAAUUCAAUUCGAACUACCAAAAUUACUCAUUAAGGUAAUAUAUACCAAAUUUAUCUAGACUAGGUAUUGAGUACAUAUUUUGAGCUCUAUGCUCUUCAAUUGAAAUCUUUGAAUAAGAAUUUCAUGAAAUUCUCUAUUCUUUGAAAUUGCUUCGAGAGAGAUACAAAAACUUAAAAACUCAAGUAGUAUGCAGUUUCCACCAUGUUUAAGAGGACGCUAUACUUAUAAAAUGCGGUUGCACUUAUAAUAGUAGAUUAUGUCUAUACCAAGAAGUGUAUGCCAUACAAUGAUUUUAUUUCACUUUAAUACAAACACCCAAAAGUAACUUUUUGGGUUUAAAUUAUAUGUUCACUUAUUUCAUGUUUUUUAUUGCCUUUGAAAAAUGGAAUUUAGCUUUUAUGGUUUGUCGAUAUUUAAUAGGAAAACGGGAUUGAAUAGCCCUUGAUAAUGUGAGUAGCUACUAUAAUAAAAAUUAUUGAGAAUCAUCAAUUUGUGACCCUAACUCUCAUUCGCAUGCUUAUGCUUAAUUUAUAAGUUUUUCAUUGCUUGGGUACAAUGACUCUUUAGGGCUUCCAUUGCCACAUUUAGAACAAACAUCUUAAUUUGAAAUUACUUAUAGAUUUGGAUCAUACUUAUUUUCAAUUAAGGCUUGAACUUUAUUAAUCUCCAUUUGUGGCCCAAAGUUUAGAACAUAUGUGUGUGUGUGUGUGUGUGUAUAUAUAUAUAUGUAUAGUAUAGUAUAGUAUAGGCAUGCAACAGAUUAAUCUACGUCACUUAUAAGACCAGAGCGUAUGUAUCAACGUUGAUCCAUGACGUUUUUGAAACUGUCAUUUCUUCCACAUUUAGAACAAACAUCUUAAUUUGAAUUACUUAUAGAUUUGGAUCAUACUUAUUUUCAAUUAGGGCUUGAACUUUAUUAAUCUCCAUUUGUGGCCCAAAGUUUAGAACAUAUGUAUGUAUAUAUAUAUAUAUAUAUAUAUAGUAUAGUAUAGUAUAGUAUAGUAUAGGCAUGCAACAGAUUAAUCUACGUCACUUAUAAGACCAGAGCGUAUGUAUCAAUGUUGAUCCACGACGUUUUUGAAACUAUCAUUUCUUCCCCCUAACGUCACUUAGGAUUUUCCGUAUUUACAACAAUAAGGACUAAACUAUUAGCAUAUUACAUAGGCCCUAGAAUAUGGGCAACCACCUUGUAAAUAACAUUUACAACAUGUUUAAUAAAAUGAUUUCACAGCGCUAUAUAAAGAGGAAUAGCAUAACCCGUACCUCUUUAAUUUUAUAAAAUGAAUUAUAAUUUACCGAUUUCAAUCAUCAAAAUGAAGUUUUGAAAAUCAAUCACUAAUAAUUUUGACUAAAAAUUCUCAAAAAAGAUUAUACCUUAGAUAAUGAGGCCUGUACAAAAAGAGCAAACUAUGAAAAGAAAAACUGCCAAGAUGAUACCAUAAGAAAAGAAGUGAUGGAUAGCAACAGGUUCAUUCAUUCACCUGAUUCAUCAAUCAUACAUUGAAUUGAACUGUGGGAAUGAAAGGGACGGAACGGGCAAAGAAGAAGCCAACCUGGACCAUUUCUCUUCACCCCCUUUUUUUCUGUUAAUCCAUUUGACUGUUUCAGUCAACACUGAAAAACGCGUUCAUUCAACACUUGACCUCAUUCAUGUGCGGUCUCCGGUAUCAUUUCAUUGGACUCAUUUCAUUUAUUGUAUAUUGUAUGAUUAUUUUUCGUCAGUUAUUUUUUGUGUUUAAUUUUAAUUAAAUAAAUAAAUAAUUUUUGACAGUAAGAUAACAGAUGAACAGACACGAUAAAAUGAUUUAUGAAAUUCUAGAAAAUCCUAAAAUGAUCGUAUUCCCUCUUUCACAUACCUUGAUUGUCUCCUUUCCCCAUCUCAUACCCUUCCUAUCCUCUUCUAUCCCCAUCCCAUAUCCUUCUCAUCCUCUUCUAUUUCUGUGAUCACGGUUAAGGUACGUCAAUAUUUUAUAUUAAUUUUUUUAUAGAAAUAAUAAGAUAAAAAAUAAUGAAAAUGUAAAAUAUUGAUCUGGUUUAACAGUGACUGAAAGUUAUGAGAUGAGAGUAGGCAACAAUCCAAGUCCCUGUUUCACCCCUUACUCCUACCCCACCCCGUUAUUCAAUAUUAUUAUUUAUUAAUUUACUAUUCAAACUCCACUUACACGCCUUCCACCCCUCUUUUAUCCAAUUUCCCAGAACCAUCUUCCUCCCUCUCCUCUCUCUCUCUCUCCCCUUUAUAAAACUCACCUCAUCACUCUCAGCCUUCUCAAACCUUCUCAAACCUUCUCAGCUCCUCCUCUCUCAGCUCCGCCAACAAAAUAAAAUUAUAAAAAUAAAAACCAUCUUCUCUCCAGUUAUUUUUCUCCGACAUGUACGGCGACCAAGAUCCGACGACUCCGAUCCAAAAACCCAUCGUGAUCCGUGAAGUCUGGGCCCACAAUCUGGAAUCCGAAUUCGAGCUCAUCCAAAACGUCAUCGACGCCUACCCUUUCAUCUCCAUGGACACCGAGUUUCCCGGCGUCGUCUUCCGGCCCCCCGUCGACCCUACCAGUCCCUACUCCCGCCAGACCCUCCGGCCCUCCGAUCACUACAGGAUUCUCAAAUCCAACGUCGACGCCCUCAGCCUCAUCCAGGUAGGACUCACCCUCUCCGACUCCCGCGGUAAUCUCCCCGACCUCGGCUCCCCCACGCGCUUCAUCUGGGAGUUCAACUUCAACGACUUCGACGUCGCGCGUGACCCCCACGCUCCAGACUCCAUCGAACUCCUCCGCCGCCAGGGCAUCGACUUCGACCGCAACCGCUCCCACGGCGUCGACUCCUCGCGCUUCGCGGAGCUGAUGAUGUCGUCGGGACUCGUCUGCAACGACUCGGUGAGUUGGGUCACGUUUCACAGCGCCUACGACUUCGGGUACCUGGUGAAGAUUCUCACGCGCCGGGACUUGCCCAGUGGCUUGAACGAAUUUCUGAAAAUUCUGAGGGUCUUUUUCGGAAAUAGGGUUUAUGACGUCAAGCACAUGAUGCGAUUUUGCAAAAGCUUGUACGGCGGGUUGGACCGGGUUGCUAGAAC